rnacentral:lncRNA from 1 species
UUUUCUGGAUCUCCACCCUUGUCGGGAUGGUUUUUGAUGGCGGCUUUCUUGUAAGCCUUUUUGAGAUCUUCAGGUGAGGCGGUCUUGGGGACGCCGAGGAUCUCGUAGAACUUGGUGUUGUCGCUCUUGCUCGAAGGUCCUCUUCUGAACAUCUUUUCUCCGUUUUUAAGAAAACCCUAAAAACAAAAGAGGAGAGAUGCGAGAGAGAGAGAGAGAGAGAGAGGAGAUGGAGUUUGUUGUUGUGGCUGCUCUUCGAAGACUUUGCUUAAAGGUCUUGUGGAGCGGAACACUCUAGAUCUUUUUAUAUCCUUUUCUUUUUAUUUCUUUUUAUUAUUUGUUUUUUUAUUCAUUUCUUCUCCUAUGGGAAAAGGAAAUUUAACAAAACUAGUCAAAGAAUAUAAUUUUGAGAAUUACACUCAACAAGAAGUUCAUGUUCUCCUCUAUUAAUAAAUGCGAUGGAAAAAAAAUAUAAAGGUCUUUAUAUAAUUUAUAAUUAUUAAGAUUUUUUUUUGUAAUCAGCCCAGGUAUAAUUAACAUAUUACUGAAUUUUUAUAUAUUUUUAAAAUAUAAACUGAAAAUUUUAUCUCCAGAACAGUAUACAAAUUUUGUAGGUGUUUAAAGUAUAUAAAUUUGGAUAAAUUAUGAAUCUUGCGUGCUAUUAGUUUGAUAUCAACAUGAUUUGAUUAAACCAAAUUGUCGUUUAAUGAUAGAUUGAUAUUUAUAUCAGAUGACUUAUUGAUUGCGAUUUACCACGUUUGGCUAUAAAUUUUAGAAAUGAUUUACAAACACACACAAAGAAGCUCUAGUAUAAGUGGUAAAGGUUAUAAUUUAUAAACCAAAUUAUGUCAACGAACUUCAAAUUGUCUCUCAUUACAAUUAUGCAGACAUGAUCAUCAGCUACGAAGAAUGUUUGAUGAUAAUUCACAAAGUUUUUUUUCGAAAAAAAAGUCUGCUUCUGCAUUUUUCUUCUCAGGGACACAAAUACAAGCGGUUGAGUUGUUGUAGUGACAUAUGCAUAUCACACGAAACAAAGAUUUAAUAAGACACUCGAGAUAUCAAAAUUGCAAUUUUCUUCUUUUUGGCUCUUCUGGAGCUUGUUGCUUGUGCUGUACAUAGCAGUGAUGGUCUGUACGUACCAUUACGGUUGCGUGAAGGAAAUCUAUGAAGAGAACAUGCUUUUUUCUUGGUCUCUUGUCGUGAACAUCUUAAUAGUUCGUCAACACGAAGUAACACAAUGAUGAUAUAAACUUAUAAAGAGAUCUACAGUCAAACAUAUCUACAGUUCUAAAGACAUUACUGAGGCAAUAAUACGUUGUCAAAGGUCUUUACGCGUUUGAGAAGUGAGAUAAAUUAGAAAGACAAUGAGUUGGUGAUGGACAAAGAGAUACACAGACACAAGCAGUAGAACGAGUCAAAGGCCAAUCUAUCAAUGGCAACAACAUUAAAAAAAAAAAAAAANNNNNNNNNNNNNNNNNNNNNNNNNNNNNNNNNNNNNNNNNNNNNNNNNNNNNNNNNNNNNNNNNNNNNNNNNNNNNNNNNNNNNNNNNNNNNNNNNNNNNNNNNNNNNNNNNNNNNNNNNNNNNNNNNNNNNNNNNNNNNNNNNNNNNNNNNNNNNNNNNNNNNNNNNNNNNNNNNNNNNNNNNNNNNNNNNNNNNNNNNNNNNNNNNNNNNNNNNNNNNNNNNNNNNNNNNNNNNNNNNNNNNNNNNNNNNNNNNNNNNNNNNNNNNNNNNNNNNNNNNNNNNNNNNNNNNNNNNNNNNNNNNNNNNNNNNNNNNNNNNNNNNNNNNNNNNNNNNNNNNNNNNNNNNNNNNNNNNNNNNNNNNNNNNNNNNNNNNNNNNNNNNNNNNNNNNNNNNNNNNNNNNNNNNNNNNNNNNNNNNNNNNNNNNNNNNNNNNNNNNNNNNNNNNNNNNNNNNNNNNNNNNNNNNNNNNNNNNNNNNNNNNNNNNNNNNNNNNNNNNNNNNNNNNNNNNNNNNNNNNNNNNNNNNNNNNNNNNNNNNNNNNNNNNNNNNNNNNNNNNNNNNNNNNNNNNNNNNNNNNNNNNNNNNNNNNNNNNNNNNNNNNNNNNNNNNNNNNNNNNNNNNNNNNNNNNNNNNNNNNNNNNNNNNNNNNNNNNNNNNNNNNNNNNNNNNNNNNNNNNNNNNNNNNNNNNNNNNNNNNNNNNNNNNNNNNNNNNNNNNNNNNNNNNNNNNNNNNNNNNNNNNNNNNNNNNNNNNNNNNNNNNNNNNNNNNNNNNNNNNNNNNNNNNNNNNNNNNNNNNNNNNNNNNNNNNNNNNNNNNNNNNNNNNNNNNNNNNNNNNNNNNNNNNNNNNNNNNNNNNNNNNNNNNNNNNNNNNNNNNNNNNNNNNNNNNNNNNNNNNNNNNNNNNNNNNNNNNNNNNNCUGUUCUUUCUUUAUUAUGACUAGUGGUAUUCCGGCGCUACGCGCCGGGUUCGUAUAUUUUUUUUCUUAAAUAAAUUUACAAUUAGAAUCUUAAUAGUAAACAAAAUAUGUCAGAUGUCAGGGAAGUUCCACAAACAUGUAAAUAAGAUUUCGAUAGAGAACACUACCCCCACCAAAAAACUACAAAGCUCGCAUUAACAACCAAAUGAAAACAAAAAAAAAGGAGAAAAAAACAAAUCGAUCUUACAAAAAAAAAUGUAAAUUGUAUCACAAAAUUAAAUGAUACAAACUUCUAUCAUUUAUUUUUAAAUGAUACAAAAGAUAGAUCCACCAAGAUCGUACUUAGUCUGCCAAAUAUAACUUAAUAGAUGGUCUCUCUAGGAUAACAAAAAAAAAAGUUAAUUACGAUAUGGUAAGGUUAAUACUGGAGUCUAAAGCCAUGAACCUGCUGCUGUUUUUAAAAUGUGUGGGAUUGGUAGUGUUUCGGUUAGAAGUAUUGGGUUAAGUUCGGGUAUUGAUCGGCUGUAUUUCAUAGUCCCGUUAACAGUGUUGUGUUUUAAGUUUUUUAAAGUGUCAUUCACUUGGCUUUGCCAAUUGUGGGUGACCCUUUUUGUAGUGGAAAACUAUGUUGUUAGUUUUUUGGUCUCUUAUGCUCUAGUGGUUUGAUAAAUAACUUGUCUGUCAAGCAAUAUGUGAACCUUUAACUUAUUUUGUUUCAGCGAAUUGAUGUAUAAUAUCAUAUUUCUUUGACUGUUUUGAAGCAUUUUACAGUGGAUGUGCAAGAUCACGUCAUCCCAUCUGCUAAGCUGAUUGUAAACCGGACUGCUUCUGAAGACUAUAAGGAAGCUCAUGGGAUACACCAGUGGCGGAGAGACGACCAAGAGUUGGUUUCCAACAUUUAUUUGUUCAAAUAGCUCACAAAGGUUGAUUUGUUUUCUUUCUUUUCUCAAUUACAAUGCCCUUUAUUUUCUGAUUGAAAUUUUGUGAAUGAAGUUACAAAAACAUACAGAAAAUAUAUUUUUGCAUUGAACUUUUAAGAAAAAGAAAUAUAUAUAUAGCCUUCGAAAUCAUUUUUACUCAUAUAUCUUCUACAACUUCAAAAACCAACUACCAAAAGAAAACCAAACUCCUAAGAAAAGAGUGAGCAAAUUUGGUGGAGAAAACGGACAAAAAAACCCAUCCAAAGUAAAGUAAGCAGCUUGCUGCUGCACUCAGCAUGCGAUUCAGCAUGUGCUCGCAACUUCUGCAACACUGUUUUGUGAUAUCUCUUCAGCCACUUCUGCUAUCACACUGGUUUCCUUAGAUUUGUCUUUUGGUGUUGCCUUUUUGUCACUGGCAGUAAAAGAUUGCUGAAAGAUAAACAAUCUCCAUCAGAUAUUUAUCUAGAUAAGAGCACCACACUAUGAGUUUUGUUGUUUUUACCUGUCUUUUAUACAGUUGGUGUUUCUUUUUCCCAGUCUUUGAUUAUAUUUUCACAAUUCUCAUAGAAGACAAAAUCAUUGAGUAUGCAUGUCUUGCUCACAUGUUCCUUAAAAAAAAUGAUUACUUUGACUCCUUGCUCUAUCUUUACCUGCCCAUUUCAAAAUCCACAGAAACUAAAAUUUAAUUUUUUUUCACAUGACAGAGGGAGAAACUAAGAAAGGAAACCAGAAGACUCUCUAACCUCCUGUGUAUCAUGGCUAUUAGUAACAGGCUUGUUCUCAUCAUUCUCAAGCGUAAUAUGCCUCAAGGAACUAUUCAGGAUAUCUUUAACGAUGUGACACUUAACAGGGAAGCAACCAACCCACUUGUCCUGCUGCCAGCACUCCGCCAUCUGGUUCUAAUCAACUGGUCAUACCAUCUCCGCUAAACCAACAAACUGCCCACUUGUGUUUACCUGUUACAAAAAAAAUCAUUUCAUUUAUAUCCAAAUCGGAACCAAAUCAAAACAACCAAACUUUUGCCAUAUUUCACUUACAGAGAAGAUGAGAAAAACAGGACAGGAGGACUUGUCUCCAGCUGCUUCGUUAUACGCAGCGUUAAGCUUCUUGUUGCCAUUAGAGGUACUGGACCACACAUUAUAUUUGAUGCUUUUGUGAAUAUCAUCUUCGCUAUACGAUUUGAUCACAAAGAGCUUUGCGUUGGUGUAGGUAUUAGAGAAAAAAUCUUUCUUGUUGUAUUCCUUUAAAAAAGUACUCACCCGUUACACUUUAAGCACAAAGCCUUCCUAGAAAGCGAGAGCUUCUUCGUUGUCUCGAGAUAAAGAUCCUCAAGGGAAACCUUCAGAGGGUGAACAACAUCUUCACCACGCCUCUGCCUCCUUCCACGGCUGCUGCCACCUAAUCAAAACCAAAAAAUCAAACCUUUAUCAUCUAUUCAAAAGUCAAAAACUCAAAAUCGAUUGUGAGAUGAGAGACAAACCUCCGAAAGGGUGUCCACCACCACCACCAAAGAAGGAGGAGAAGAUGUCAAAGGGGUCAUGACCACCGCCUCCACCACCCAUUCCUUCCUUGAGCGCAUCCUCACCGUACUGAUCAUAGAUCUCACGCUUCUCCGGAUCGCUGAGAACCUCAUAAGCCUGAGCUAGCUCCUUGAACUGCACAGAGACAUGAACCAGUUAACCUAAAGCUAUCGAAUUUCAGAUCUAAUUACGAAGAUCUAAUCGAUCGGACAAUCCAAUUCAAAUUAUUAACAAAAAAAAAAAACUUAGAUUUUCCCAGACCGACACGAACUGAAUUUUUCAGACAAUCUGUGUAAUAAAUUGGGGAUCGAAGGAAUCAGACCUUUUCUGGAUCUCCACCCUUGUCGGGAUGGUUUUUGAUGGCGGCUUUCUUGUAAGCCUUUUUGAGAUCUUCAGGUGAGGCGGUCUUGGGGACGCCGAGGAUCUCGUAGAACUUGGUGUUGUCGCUCUUGCUCGAAGGUCCUCUUCUGAACAUCUUUUCUCCGUUUUUAAGAAAACCCUAAAAACAAAAGAGGAGAGAUGCGAGAGAGAGAGAGAGAGAGAGAGGAGAUGGAGUUUGUUGUUGUGGCUGCUCUUCGAAGACUUUGCUUAAAGGUCUUGUGGAGCGGAACACUCUAGAUCUUUUUAUAUCCUUUUCUUUUUAUUUCUUUUUAUUAUUUGUUUUUUUAUUCAUUUCUUCUCCUAUGGGAAAAGGAAAUUUAACAAAACUAGUCAAAGAAUAUAAUUUUGAGAAUUACACUCAACAAGAAGUUCAUGUUCUCCUCUAUUAAUAAAUGCGAUGGAAAAAAAAUAUAAAGGUCUUUAUAUAAUUUAUAAUUAUUAAGAUUUUUUUUUGUAAUCAGCCCAGGUAUAAUUAACAUAUUACUGAAUUUUUAUAUAUUUUUAAAAUAUAAACUGAAAAUUUUAUCUCCAGAACAGUAUACAAAUUUUGUAGGUGUUUAAAGUAUAUAAAUUUGGAUAAAUUAUGAAUCUUGCGUGCUAUUAGUUUGAUAUCAACAUGAUUUGAUUAAACCAAAUUGUCGUUUAAUGAUAGAUUGAUAUUUAUAUCAGAUGACUUAUUGAUUGCGAUUUACCACGUUUGGCUAUAAAUUUUAGAAAUGAUUUACAAACACACACAAAGAAGCUCUAGUAUAAGUGGUAAAGGUUAUAAUUUAUAAACCAAAUUAUGUCAACGAACUUCAAAUUGUCUCUCAUUACAAUUAUGCAGACAUGAUCAUCAGCUACGAAGAAUGUUUGAUGAUAAUUCACAAAGUUUUUUUUCGAAAAAAAAGUCUGCUUCUGCAUUUUUCUUCUCAGGGACACAAAUACAAGCGGUUGAGUUGUUGUAGUGACAUAUGCAUAUCACACGAAACAAAGAUUUAAUAAGACACUCGAGAUAUCAAAAUUGCAAUUUUCUUCUUUUUGGCUCUUCUGGAGCUUGUUGCUUGUGCUGUACAUAGCAGUGAUGGUCUGUACGUACCAUUACGGUUGCGUGAAGGAAAUCUAUGAAGAGAACAUGCUUUUUUCUUGGUCUCUUGUCGUGAACAUCUUAAUAGUUCGUCAACACGAAGUAACACAAUGAUGAUAUAAACUUAUAAAGAGAUCUACAGUCAAACAUAUCUACAGUUCUAAAGACAUUACUGAGGCAAUAAUACGUUGUCAAAGGUCUUUACGCGUUUGAGAAGUGAGAUAAAUUAGAAAGACAAUGAGUUGGUGAUGGACAAAGAGAUACACAGACACAAGCAGUAGAACGAGUCAAAGGCCAAUCUAUCAAUGGCAACAACAUUAAAAAAAAAAAAAAAGAGUCGAGAGACUCAGCCUUUCUUGACCGGCCUUUGGACGUAUGAUUUGUUUGGAUCCUCUGUCUUCAAUUUUGGAGGACGCGUCUCUCCCUUCUUGGCCUAAAGGAUGAAGAUAACAGAGGUUUAGAUUGCGAUCUCACCAAAAGAAAAAGACAAUAACUCAAUAAUUCAAUUUGGGACGUGUCACUCUUACCUUCUUUCCUGCUUUCAUGAAGUCUCUCCAGCUUGAUACCUGCACAUGGAAACCCAAACGUUAAUAAAAAAACACUUACAUCAAGGACAAAAAGCAAUUGCGUCAAACCUGACUAUAUCCUGCUAUAACUAUUCCAUGGUGAAGUAGAGAACAUGAGAAAUUGCAUAUAUCAUCUUUGUACUAAAUCAGAAAGUUCUCUUCAUAAGAACUAUCACCAGAUGAGUUCUCUUCUAUACGGCCAUUUCUAACCGUACUUAAGUGCCAAAAAGUGAGCUAAACUGGUUCUGAACUAGUGUGUAUUCAUAGGGAAGUUAGGAAUAUAAAGAUAAUGGAUUAAAAAAAGGUACAAACCCUGUUUUCUCUAGUUCCUUCCCACUGUUCUUCAUGCUCACGUUUUUUCUUCCGUAUCUCCUUUUGUUCUUCUUCAUCUUUCUUCAGUCUUCCCUCUUCUUCUGAUAUCUAAAUGCCAAGAAGCAGUAACACAAAAGAUGAAUGAACGAAUGAUCGUGUGACUUCUCACGGAGAAAUUAUAACGCAACGCAAACGAGAAACGCUAUAUACCCUCAUGGCCAUUUUUCUCCUACGCCACUCCUGGUCUGUUAAUAUCUCUCGGACCUUUAACUUCAGCUCCUUUUGAAACUCUUCAGAUUGCUCAUAUAUCUGCUCAUGCUUUCCCUGAGAGUAUCAAAAAUGUUUAUCACUAUAAGAUCAGAGGAAUCUGAACUGGAGAAGAAGACAAAUAGGAUUGACAAAAAAAACCCCAAAAACACAAUGUGAAACUGAAAAAAAAACUAGGACUUAUAAACAACGAGUUUUACUAUAUAGCGAUCAGACGAAACAAAUCCAUUGAUAUACCCUUUCAUCUAACACAUACAUUAACAUGAGCUACAUAUUCAUUAUUAUAAUUUUUAUUUCAUGCGCAAAUAACAAGCACAAGGGAAAUGUAUCAAGGGGGUUUACGUUAUAACAAUGUACAGCACGACAUUUUCAAAAUGUACUACUAUGCUCAACAUGCAUCUAGACAAAAAUUCUUUAAAAUUGGCAACUAGUCAGUAAAACACAGAUAUAUUAUACUCGCUGAACAAGCAAAAGCUAUUGGUUCAUUCCAGAAGAAGCCCAAUUUUGACAAAAGCUAAGGUCCUAAAAGAAAAUCUACAGUUUCAAAAUCGAUACUUUGAUAUUGAUGGCUAAAAUAAGCCUCCCAGCUUAUAUGAUAUCUAGAUCCUCACAUUGGAAAAAUAGAAAGGUAAAAAGAUUCAAGCUAAGUACGUUAAAUGUAAAACCAAAAUAAAACGGUUUCGUUACCUCAUCAACCAAGGACUUUAUUUUAGAGGCGGUAUUUUUCUUCAACUGUUUUUUUCUCUUCAUCUUAAGCUCUUCUGCAUUUCACAGUUGGAGAAAAGAAGGUUGUCACGAAGAGAACGAAUCCUACUAUAUAAAAGGGACUAAAUUCAAGGCUUUUGAGACUAUCCACCUCAGCCAAAAUAUUCUCAUCUAAAAAGAAUUAAAAAUAAAUAUCAUUUAGAAAAUAAUUAACUAACAUACAACUUUUGAUAUUUCUAGAAAUUUCAAAUUUGUAACUGCUAAUUUAUUAAUAGAAUCAUAUAUCUAUAUUGAAUUAUGUUAUAUUUUAAUAGUUAGACUUUAAGGGUAAAUAAAUUAUUAAUUUAUAAUAUAUAUAAUUUAUAACAUUAUAUUGUAGUUAUAAAUAAAGAGAAAAUAACCGGGAAGGAUGAAGAAGCUCAUGUAAAAUUAUGUAAUUAAAAUGGUAAAAUGGUGAGUAUGAUGAGGUGAAUCUAAGAAAAUUUGUUGUACAAAUUAUGGUGUUUUAUUCGUCCACUAUAAUGAUUUAAAAUAAAAUAUAUAUUCACAUAAAUAAGUCAAUAUUUGUUGUUUUUUUUUUGGUAAGAUGUUAAGAUUAUCAUUUUCUAAAAGGUUACACUAUUUUUUAGUAAACUGAUCCAAAGAGAUUAGUUUGUGGAGCUAACCAAACGAGGAUUAUAGUGUUUACUUUGGAAAAAGUAAUAGGUUGAAUGAUAGAUGGCGUGCGUGCCUUUUCACAUGGAAAUCUGCACAUAUAUUAAAAUUAUAAGUUUUGAAUCAUAGAGAAAAUAUAGUGUAUAUGACUGAAGUUGGUACAUUCCGAAACUAAAGAUGGCUGAAAUUCUUCUUUGUCAAAAUGCAUAGAUGUGAAUCUUAUAUGAAUAGAGUUCUCCAUUGCUUAUAGCAGUGUAAUAAACUCUGUGUGUAAAGGAGAAAAAAUGUUAUAUAAGUGAAAACAAAAAUUAUGAUUUUUUUCUUGUGCCUAUAGGCUCUUCGCAAUUUGAAGAAGAAAGAACAUAUUGUGUGAAAAUCUUUGGCUCGGUCAAAUUUUAUCCAGUUGUUUACAAAACUGUUGUUAUCUGAUUCAUGUAAUUUUUCAGUGUUGAUUUAAAAGCCCAAAAAACCUAUCUAUACUGACUUUUUUAUAUUUUUUCUGUGAUUUGAAUUUAAAAAGAGAUAAAACUUUCGAUAAGUUAUGUAAACUCAGAACAAGUAUUUAGCUUUAGAAAGCAUUUACAUGUUUCAAACUUAUAAUAUAUACAUAUAUAAUGUUUAAAAUUAUGCAUAUAAAACCUGUGUAAAAUGUGUCUGAAUAUGUUUCUCUUCUUUAAUGUGUUAAUCGUACUAUAUAUAAUAUUAUUUUAAAAUUUCAAAAAGUUUAUGUCACUAUCACAUACAAAAAACCAUCAAUAAAAAAUAUAAUUCUCCAUCUACAACAAAAAAAUGAAAAAUUAUUAACAUAUAAAUUUAAAUUAAGAAAAACUAACAUUGGAAAAACAAGAAGUUAAUAUAAAAGAAAAAAAUUAACAAAUAAUAUUAUAAAUAAAAUAAAUUUAUAAGACAUAAUCCGCGCGAAGCGCGGAAAAAAUCUCUAGUAAAAAAAGAAAAAAUGGUAAACUAAAAAUGAUCUAGCAUAAUGUGUAGUUGUGUGCACAUGGUAUGUAUCUCCAGAAGUGAGGGUGCUAGUACCUUUGGCAGCGUGGACUUGGGUGAGAAUAUAAUCUCUUUCUUGGUCGUUGAGCAGUAGCUGUUGCGCUUUUGCCAACGCUGUUCAAUAAAUCAAAAUCCAUAUAAACAUGACAAGUUCAUCCAACCAAACCAAUACUUUUAAGACUACUAACCUCCAAAAGCAUCCUGUGCUUGCGGAUGCUUGCAUUUGUCAGGGUGAACCAUCAAAGAUAUCUGUUAAAAUAUACAAAUUAGUCACAAAGUUUCAAGUGAACUCUCAAUUAGUUUCGUAAAAUUAAAAUGUCUUCGAGUGACAUAACUCAAAAAAUAAUACCUUUCUGUACUGCCUUUUAACAUCAUCCGUGGAAGAGUCGAAAGAUAAGUUAAGGUGCUCAAACGGGUUCAGCUUGAAGCAUGAGAGAAUCCUACAAAUUUUCAAUUUUUUUUAUAAGACAUGGCUACAACACAUCGACCAUACCAGUAACAGUUAUAACAGUACAAGAUAAGUAAUUUACUACUAAAAGAUAUGUGCAAAUUAUCCACACCCAUUCAAGAAACAGAGCAUAUUUGAUUAAAAAAAAUGAUAAGACCCAUAUUGAAAAUCAAGUGUAUAGUGAAGAAAACUAUAGAAACUCAGACUCAGCCUAACGCAAUAUGAAUUGCAUAAUAACGAUUAUACGUUGGGUCAGAUCAGAGUUAGAAAAACUAGGCUAAAGAAAAUGUUUUUGGGAAGGAAACCUGACGACUUCGUUGUCCCUCUCAACCUCGCCGACCUCCGCGAGGAAGGAUUUUAGAAUCGCAUCGUCGUCUACUUUAACAUCUCCCAUGACUUUCGGCUUUUUUAUUAUUAUCCCUCCCUUCCCCUUCUCGACCGAAUAGAGAAGACAGAGGAAGAAACCAAACGGUGACGUGUUCUGUGUUCCCAGGCGGGUCUUCAUUUGGGAUAUAUCGGGUCGAGUCUUUCGGGGCGAACAUGUAAUUUCGGGUUUUUUUAUUUAACAACCAAAAUUUAUUUAUUACUUAGAUUGUAACCAAAUUACAUAAAUACAUAUACAACAGAGAAAAAAUAAAUAACUAAAAUGAUGAGAGAGAUUCCUGCGAACUCAAAAUCUUUGUCGCACUUUAGAUAAAUUCAAGUUCUCAUGAGUGGAUAUUGGACAAUCGCUUAUUUAAUUCUCCAUCUAGCUUUGUGCAGAAUUGUUUUCUAAACAUGCAGUUAAUUUUUGUAAAAUUGAAAUACUCAACUCAAGUAUUUCAAUUUUACAAAAUUUAUAAUCAAUGGUUGAGUAACUCAAUUGUUGAUUAUAAAUUUUUAUUCCCUUCUAUAAAUUUCAAAUAUAUUAAUGUUCUUUUUUUUGGUCAAAAUAUUAUUGUUCUUUUCUAAUUUAUAUAUCUUUCUUUUUAACUUUUAAAAUCUCAAACAAAUGAUAUUUUUAACGUGUCAUACUCUGUUUUUUUAAAGGGUUUUAGUUCAAAAUUUAGGUUAAUGCCCUUGUGUAACUGUUACAUGGAGUAGUAGUUAUCACAUUAUGUGCUUCAUGUUAUUUCAUUAUAAUAAAUCUUCUUUUCAUUAUGUGUGCCCCAUGCUUUAUAAUUUGUUGGGUCCGUCGGUGAUGUUUAUUUAAACGAAUAAAACGAGUUUUCAUCUUAUUUGCUAGCAAUAUGGAACAACAAAAGUUUUUUCUUUUUUCUGACGAAAAACAAAAGUUUUGUACAAAACAUAACACUCUUCAUAAAUAUUUCUUUCUCCAACGAGGUCAUUAACCUCAUUUAGAAACAAUAAAUUUACUUUCUAAUAAUCUUCACUCUCUCACUUUCUUUAGAAAAACCAACAGCAACAACGACAAUUAUUUGGGUUAAUAUGCAUAUAUAUUCGAGUGUACAUACUCGCAUAUAUAUACACAAUAGAUAGGUAUAUCAUAAUGCUUAUGCUUCUUAUAAAUUACUCUUUGGGUAGCGUCUUAAAUUUAUGAAGUGGCAAUGCAGAAAGGCUCGACGGACAAGAGAGACCUCCUACGUUCCUUGCAACCAUUUACCCAACCGUCAUUUCCUACACCGAUUGAUUUGUUGAUAUAGUUUUGGGUUUUUGUGUUGCGGCCCAAAGUUUCAGUGUUAUUGAGCUUCCAAGAGUAGUCACACGUGUUGAAGCAAGCUGCUCCUACGGUGUCGUCCACCGUAGACGGUGGCUUCAUUGACCGAGCGAGCUGAGCCACCCUUGGUCUUGGUGGCAGAGAGUGGACUACCGGCGUCGACAGAUCCGUUUUGGUUUCUAACUCAUCCCAUCUCGAGUUUGUUUUCGGUACACCAAUCGGCUUAUGGGCCAGCCUAUGAACAGUUAUAGGCCCAAUGGGCUUUGGUGCCAGCUUAUACAUAAGCUCACUGGGCUUGUACGCAAACUCGUCUUCUACCUCCUCCUCCUCCUCCUCGACUUCUUCUUCUUCGUCGGACCACUGAAGCUCAUCGGUUUCGUCUUCUUCGUCGCUAACGAUGUCAAUUUCGCAAUCGGGUUCGUCGCUGAUUUCCGCAAAAGUUAGGAGGAGCCGUCCGUCUUGCCGCUUGGCGGAGAAGUUGUUGUGCGACGGCAUCGAGACAGCCUCCAGAACCAAUCGGCCAUUGUCGCGGCGAGUUUUCAUGUGCAGAGCCGAACCAGAUUGGCUCGAGAGAGAACGAAUCGGAGGAGGAAACGAUCCUCGUGGCAGCUCCAUGCAUGGUGAGUGAUUUGGAACCGUGAUUGCUUCUUCUUCAGCCUCAGCCUCUGUUUCUUCUUCCUCCUUAGUCACUGUAACGUUAAGAACGAGAUCCGCCUCCUCUUUUUCGAUCUCAGCAUCUGCAUACGAAGCGAAUCCUUCGCAACCCGUCUCGGAUCCGAGACUCUCAGUGCAAAUCUCGAGGCUUUUCUCGCUCAAGGAGCUGGCGCGUUUCACCAGAGGAUGAACGUACGGCGGAGGAACCGCGUCGUUACUCGACUCCGCCUUCUUCUUGUCGGAUAAGAUCGAGCUCCAUACAUCGGUUUGGUCCGGCUCGAUCUCCUCCUUGGUCUGAUUCUUGACUUCUUGAACCUGAGCCCAAAUGUCGAACCCAGAUCUUGAUCCUUCCUCUUCGUCAGCGACGGAGGAGGCAUGGAGCUUCUUCAUAGGAGAAGACUCGUUGCGAGAGAGCCAGUUCUUGGAGGACAAGUCGGCGGAGAAAGUCCGCCUGAGCGAAGGUGCAGAUGAAGUGUUCGACGAAAUGCCACCAAGGAUGGUCACUAUGCCUUCUUGCUGCUUCUUCAACGAGGAAGAGAAGCCAAGGCUCUUGCUUAAGCCACAAGCCAUCGUCUCAAAUAGGAUCAGAACCUCUUUCUCAAUACUAUUCCCUGGCUUUCCUGCACAAUUAACAAUAAUGAUAGUAAUGUUAAUAACCACUAAUUACGAUAAACAACUCAACAGACGAAGCUAACUAUUUCUCUAUAAAUAGCAAAUGAUGAUUCAGUUAUGGAGAUUAGCAUACCUGAUGAUUUGAGAAAUUAAUCUCUGAAUGGAAAUUCAAAUGUGUGUUAGGUAGUGUUGUAUUAAAGAGAGGAAGAUGAUGGUGGUGAUGUUUUGUGGUUAGAUGGAUGAGUGAGUCAUGAAGAGAGCAGAGUGAAGAGGCGCUUUAUAUAUAGAUGUUCUUCCAUUAAUGGAACCAUGUACUGUGGGGUCCUCCAAUGAGAUGAUCUUCACUGUUUUUAUAUAUUUUGUUUAUUUGGUUUUGAACAAAAUAAAUCUUUUUAUACUUGUAGGUUAAAUAUGUUUUCGGAACUAAAUAAAAUGCCUUCUUAUGUGUUCUUUAAAAAAAAAUCUUAAGCUUUAGAGUUUGUAUAGUAUUAGUGUAUAAUGGUUUUAACUACCAAUAUUCUGUUUGGUUAGUGUGUCAGUUAUCUUCUUUUUUUGGAACAAAUUGUGUCAGUUAUCAUUUUCUUCUUUUUGCAUUGUUACACAACUACAUCAAAAAAAUUGUUUGACCAAAAUACUUAUAUUUUUUUAAGUUUUUAAGUCCAUAACUAAAUUUUGACCCGCACUUUGAAAGCGCGAGUUUUUCUUUGGAUUAUAUACAAAAUUUAUGAAUUAAUAUUUUGAAAAUGUUGUAAAUUAUUAUGUUACAAAAUCAUAUGAUAUCAAAAAAGAUAAUUUAUUUAAACUAUAUAAUUCAUGAAUUAGUUUAUUUAAGAUUUUGUAUGUAUUCUUUUUUUGUUCAAAUAUAUGUACACUCUUAUAUAACUCUCUCUUAGAUAUGAAUAUUUUGUCAAACCUGUAAGUUGUUAAAAUGCUUUGAUGAAAACACUAAUUUGUUCUAUUUUUGUGAUAAAAACACUGAUUCAUUUAAAUAAUAGAUAUCUAAUAUAUGGUUCAUUAAAGUCUUGUUAUAUGAGGUAUAAUGUUGGUUUAUAAUAAUUUCAUACCAACAUUCGAUACAAACAUAUUAUAUAAACAUUAUUAAUAGAACAAUGGUUCAUACAAAACAUACGUACAUAUUUAAAAGGCUAUAGGUCGGCAGUUUAGAUUAUAAUAUUUAAAGUCAAUAAACAGUAAUAUGUUUUAUUUAAAUGUAGGAUAUUUUUAUUUGGUUGCUAUAAAAUAAGUUGGUUAUAAAAUUUAGUUAUAUAAUAGGUUGGACUAAAAAAUGAAAGAGUCAAACGACAUUUUAUAAGUAGAUUUCUCAAGACUGCUUCCCUUUUAAUAGAAUAGAUCUUUCUUAUACCCCAAAAUUAGAUAUUAUGAUUAAAAUAAAUAAAUUUCCGUGAUAAAAAUGGUUUGAAUCCAAACACACAAAAAACCAACUCUUUAACCAGUGUUACUACAACGUCACCAACACCUUGAUAAAAAUAUUUAUAUUAACCAUAGAAAAAACAUAAUUCAGAGUUAUAUAGCCGAUUAAACUGGAAACGGAGUCCAAACAAAUUAGUUAAUGUAAAAUUUAAAGUUUAGUAAUUUUUGUAAAGAAUUUUAUUAUUAAUUGCCCACAUGCGUAGAGCCUAUAAUUUGCAUAUAUGAUAAUGUGACAAACAAAGAUGAGAAGCACUAAAAAUGUGAUAUGUAUUCGGCUGUGUAAGAUACUAAGAUGCAUAACGCGUGUGUCGCGGAAAAAAUAGUAACCGAUAUGAAACUAAACGAGUAUAAAAGCUGUGUCUUUUAUCUAAAAAAGAAGAAAGAUGUUGACGUAUGGCAUCGAUACUCUGUUGAACCAAUAACGUGGCACAUUGUGGAAGUCACAAUUUUCAUCUUCCUUUUAGAGUUAAAACGAUGAGAAUGUUCCAAAAAUAUGCAAAAAAAGCUGGAUCCCAUUAUAGAAGAAGUUACCUUUCUACCACUUGGGUUUAUUUUAUUUUGAGCAAAACAAUGCCGUUUAAACCAAACUAAACCAACUUAAAUUACAUGUACAAUUGGACCAUCCUAAACCGGUUAACAAUCCCUCUGCUAUUCACAGCCUCUCUUUCUUAUUUUCAGCAAAAGAACAGAAGUUGGUGAGUAGAGUAGGAUACGGUCCGAGAAACAUAGAUGUGCGCAUGGGGACACGAAGACUGAAUAAUUUUGUUCUUAAGUGUACGUGGUUGCAUGUCUACGUGCGUAUAUAUAUAUCAUAUAUGUAUAUAUCGGUAUAUUUUGAUGUUGAUGGUAAUGAAGAUGAUGGUAUAUCAUUAUGGUCCUGUCCACAAAACGAUAUAAAAUGUUCUAAAAGUUUCAAAAAGACAUCAAAUGCCCUAAGUACAUACAUGUUAUAUUGUUCUAUUUAAAUCGAUUAGAGUAUGUGCAAGAGUUUUCUUAAUGGUGUGUGAUCGCAUCAUAUCUCCAGAAUAUUGGCCCGCAACGUCUAAUAACAUGAUUAAUCAGAUAAUUACUCACACUGAUACUAUUUUUUCUUCAUUAAGUGUAUCCAAUUAAUAUCUAAACUAUUCAGAUAUUUUAACCUGCCAUUGGGAUUGAUCCAUAUUAUCUGCCCAGUGUAUACAAGUAUACAAUGUUUCAUCGGCUAAACUUCCACAUUCUCUAUUCUCUUGCUUAAUUAAACUGAUCGGCUAAACUUCCACAUUCUCCAUAUUUUUUGUCCGGUGUAUAUACAAUGUUUCAUCGGCUAAACUUCCACAUUCUCUAUUUUCUUCCACAUUCUUUACAGUCACUAGCUAAUUCGCGUGAAUUACUCGGAUAUCAAGUGCAUUUUAUGAAUGAUUUCGUUUAUGUAGAUUUUUGUUCUAAUAUUUUUUUUUGCGUUGCAAAAGAAGCCGUUUUAAACGCCUAUAUCGUAACAUAAUUUUUAAAAUGAAUAUAGUUGAUUGGUUCAAUUACUUUACACUGUAAAUAUUUGUCUGCAACGAUAUUAUUUGUAAAUGGAAACUUCCCCCAAAAAUCACUAACAAAUACAACAACAAUAUAACAUGUGAAGUUUGAUUUUCAAUAGAAUUAUAUCUAUUACGUACUUUGAGUAGUUAAGAAGACAAAUGUAAGAAACACAUUAUUAUUUUGAUCAAAAUUAUUUUGGUUAAGUACCAAGAAGAAGAGAAUUUAAAAAUUUAAGAAGUCUUUCUAUAACCUUUUUAGUUAUGUAUCAAGAAGAAGAUAAUAUAAAUCAACAUUUUUUUUAACAAAGUAAGAAUCAGAAAAAUAUAGUUCCAAGAAGUCUUUCUAUAACCUUCCUAAAUCUAUAUAUACAACUUUUCAAAAUGUUUCUCAAACGACUUGGGGUAUUUUUGAAAAAAAAAACAUUUCGUAAUUCUGGAAACAAAUCAUCAAAAUUAAUCUUUUAAACAAUUGCCAAAAAAAGAAGGCACAAAGGCAAAGACAUUCAAAAAGAACAAACAUUUCCAAUUAGGCUAAAGGACGAUAGCGAGAGACACUCAUUGUGGGCAAAACAUCGCUUAAGGUGGAAGCAAAGGAAUCGCCUUUCUUCAUCUUUAAAGGACCAAAUUUAAUUGGAUGGACCAAUUAAUUUACCAUAAAGUUUAUCAUUAUAUAACUGAUCAUGAGAACAUCGGUUAGUUUUUUCUUCAUCUUCAGAUCGGUUAUUAAUUGAUUCAGUCUGUGUAUAUUUCAUGGUUUCUUCACCACCUAGGAAAUGUACGACCUACGUAAGAAUUAAGAGCUGAUAGUUCCGUUAAUUUUCAAACCUAUUUUGUUCCGUAAUUAUUUGCUUACGUACUUUUAAAAUAUCUCUAAUGUAAAACUUUUUUUUUAAAUACAGUAAUUUUAUAAUAGAGUUUUGUUUAUUCUAACGUCAUUUUAUUUUGGAAUACAAAAUGAAAUAAUGAACAAAAAAAUUACUCCAUUUAUAAAAUAAAUCUAUAUUUAUUCCAUUGUGAAAUAAAAAGUUAAAUUGGAGUUGAAACAUUUCUUAUUUCGAAAUUUUUUUAAAAUAAAUUAUGGAGUAAAGUUAGAAAUGUUCUUUUACAUGAGUCUGUGAAUUUUUUUGCUGUAAAAAAAAAGAGAUGUUCUUAUAAGUAUAUACUUAAUUUAAGCUCUGGUUACGGCCACAUAUCAGUGCAAGUGUGUGUUACACCUCAUGCAUGAAAUCAGUUAGAAGAACAAGAAACAUCUAGGAGAUACGAUGACAUAAAUGAAAAGACCUAAAACGUUAGAUAUAAUAGCACAAGAGGUUUAUUUGAUAUAUUUGGAUUCCUGUUUAUCUAUUUGUAUUGUUUUAUUUUGUUAUAUAUACGUGGAAUAUACACUCCGUAUACAUACUAUUAAGUCCCCUUCAUGUAGAUAUACGUAGCAUCAUGAUGGAACAGCCACACUUGGUUCUGAACCGAUAUAGUUCAAUGUUUAUGGAAUUUAUUCUCAAACAAUCUAACACAACAAUUACCAAAAUGCUGUUAGAUACAAUUUAAGAUGAUUUAUUCGUUUUACAUUAUUUAUUUGUUUGUUUGCAAAAGAACUUUCAUGUUGUACACGAAUUUUGCUAAAUAUAUUAUAAACCGUUAAAAUAUUAUAAAUUAUAAGCCCUUUUUCAAAAAAGAAAUAUUCUAAAUUAUAUUAUAUAUAUAUAUAUAUCGGACGAGCUUAUAUAAAUACAUAAUUCAUAUCUUCAUUCGCAGUAAAACAAUUAUUAGCAAAAAUACAAACUUUUUUUACUAAAAAUAUUUGAAAACUUCGAACACAGUUUUUAGGCAAAAUAUUUGAAACAUACAAUCGAAAUACAUUUGAAUUGAAAGCAAAACACAAACAAUAUGAUAAAUUUUGAGUUUCUAUGUAAUCAAUAAUAAAAGAAAAACUUUUCAAAAAAUAAAAUAAAAGAAAAAACAGUAAAAACAAGAGCUUACCCAACAGAAGAAUCACGAAAGUGGAAAGCAACCGAAAGCUCGUAUCUUGUUGUGUGCAUGUUGGGUCCUUUUGUCUCUCUUUUUCUCUGUCUACGAAUGUGCAGAAGAUGCUUCAUAUACGUAGCGUCGUUCAUCAGAAUAAAAACAAUUAACAUUAAUUAAACAAAAGGCCUCGAUGUUGAUCCCUUUCUGAGGAUUUUAUAAUAUUAGCGUGGUAACCAAAAACAAAUUAUAGAAUAUAUAAGUAAUAUAGAAAGUUGCAUGAUCAAGAGAGCUUUUAGGGCGUAGAAGAGAUAAAGAGCGCGUCGCCACACAUGAAGAGAAGGGAAAGGCGUAAGGCGAGACAUGGAUGCGUUUUAAUUUGUCUCUCUACCUAUAAACCAAAGCAAUACAACUCAAUAUCAAUUCUAUUACAAAUUAUUCAACAUCAACAACAUCUUAAUUUCCACGAUAUAUUUAUCAACUAAUUGACGCAUAGGCACAUAACUAAUUUUAUAUACAUUUUUUAAUGGUAGGUGAGAAAAUGGGAAUUGACGCAUAGGCACACUUUUCUCGUUUUGCAUGGCUGGAUAUAUAAAUUAUUCAAAAAGAAUCAAACAUAAAUAAUUUAAAACUAUACAUAUUAUUUUAGUACCGCUCAAUCAUUUUAAAACGCCAUUUCUGUACUGUUUAUAAUGCGUUUUACUUGUUUCCAGCCAUAUGGAUCGAUACCUAGCUAGCUAGUUGACUCUUGUUUUAGGACAUUUAAAAUGAAAAUACUUUAGGAUUGUAAUUAUUUAAAAAUAUAACAUUAGCUUAUCUAUUAGUGAUAUGUUAAUCUAUCAAUUCUCUUUAUUCUAGUCAACAGUAUUCUUGAAAAUAUUUAGUACUUGGGAUUCUCUUGUCCUAUAAACUCCAAUAGAUAUGAGACUAGUUCAAACAAUGGAUUUGUUGACAGUAUUUAAUUAGGGGGUUUUAUGCGUUUCUAAUUUUAUUUUCAACAAUGGGUCGUGAAUCUAUGAGUGUGGCCUAUAAAACUAUAAACAAACAGAGAGACUAGCCAUAGGCUAGGAUAAAAUUCCAGAACAAGUGGAAGCCAAUGAAACCUGAAGUACCAACUUUUCGUUAAUUUUAAAAUGUUUUACAAUGAGGGAAUAUAUACACCUUAAUAUUCGGACGGCCGCGGGUAUUAUUUUUAAUUAUAACAAAUAUCCAAUGAUUAUAAAAAUAUCUGAUAUAAGAAGAAUAUAUAUAUAGUUCAUUUUUAUCGUGAUUUAAUAUAACCAUGUUAUUUACUUUAAUUAUUUGUCAACUUACAAUUUUAUAGAUAUUACUAUUGGGCGUUUUCUAAAGAAACACUGUUCUUCAUGAAUGAUGACUUUUACUUUGAGUAUUAGGUUCCUUUUAAUUUUAUUUUAAUUAUAAAACAAAAAUUCUGAUAUAGGUACAUUCUGACCCCAAAAAAAUAAAGAUACAUUAUUGUUUUAAUUAUAGUUUACCCUAUAUUUCCAUUAAACUCAUGAGUACGAUGGUCAACGGUGGUCUACGACCCCUUUCCGAACAAAGCUACGUAGUCCCUCACUAACAAGGGCUUGAUUGAUAAGAGCAUCAGCAGUGGUAGUCUCUGACCAACUAAAAAGUAAAAACAAAAAAAAACAAAAAAUGAAAGAGAGAGGAAAUAUGAAAGAAAGAAGUGAGCGACGUCCCUUGGCCCAGAUAUCCAAAUGCCAUUUGUCUUGUCUUGUCUCUAUUAGCUAUGUAAAUUAAAAAUUAAAAUUAAUAAUUAUCAGAAUUAAACAAUAAUAUAAUUAUUUUUUGAGAGACUUAUGUGGUUUCUUUACAUCGCUGAUGCUCUAAGAUUUUUAAAAAGUAGUAUGUUUUUGCUAACUUUUUAUAAAGUAUUUAGGAAAGUAUUUGAAAACUACAAAUAUUUUUUCCCUUUGUGUCAUUUAUUUUGUUUUGGCACAAAAUGACUUGCCAAAUAUUUAAAUAUUCUUAGCGUUCAAAAAAUAUAUUUAAAUAUUUUAAAAUAGUUUCAUAUGAAUUUAUUGUGUUACAUAGCAUGAAAUCAUUAUGUUUAUAUAUAAUUUCAAUUUUAUAUUCUUAGAAGUACUUACAUUAGUUGAUUUUUAUUAAUUCUGUAAAAUAAAAUAAAAAACAUAAUUAAAUUACAAAAUAAUUGUUAUGAUAAAUAUAAUGUGCAUGAAGAAUCAUAUAAUAUUUCUUAUAAGUUUAUAUAUAAUAUUUUUAACCUUGUUAAUCACUUAAAAUGUAUAUCUUAAUCAUUAUAUAUAUAUAUAUAUAUAUAACUCAAUAACAUACUGCACCAUACUGUUUAUACUGAUUUGUACUGUUGUUCUAUCAUCAAGAGUACCAAUCAUGCCCUUAAAUAAUUUACACAAAUUUUAAAAUAUUUUUAGUCUUCCUCUUUUUGAAAAAUAUAAUUUAUUAGUUUAUAUAUAGAGUACUAUUCUCUUCUCUUCUUUUUUCUUAACCGUAAAUUGUAAGAUGUAUUCAUUAAUCAAUCUCAUAUACCCUGUACUUUAUUUUGUAGGAAAAUUACAUAUAUAUCAAACUCUGGUUCUGGUAUAUGUAUUUCGUAUUAGCUUCUUAAAUAACUUUAAGAUACCAAAGAAUAUGUUUCCCUAAAUAAAUACGCUAACCUUAGUCUGAAUCUCAACAUUAAACCAUGUAAUCAUAACAUUAUUUAUUUUUAUUUUUUUUCCUAAAAAAAAAGUUAAACCUGAAUCUAUUAAAGACAUAGACUAACUUCCGGGUGGGAGGUGCAUCCUACGGAUAGACCUUGUCUCAGAUAUUCAAAUGAACUGAAAAACAGUAGUCCAUAUCCGUGUAAAAUAACUAGGAAAAUAACUUAGUUUCGUAUGGUAAAUGGAUCAAACCUGAAAUGUGGUGACAUCCCAAAUCAUUCUCCUUACCACAAACUUCCGGUCUAUUUGUUCGCUCUUCCUUCAAUUGUUUAUAUAUGAAUAAAAUGAUUGUUGAAAACCUUCUUUUGAGAAGCAUCCUUAGAAAUGUAGAUGUUAAGUAAUUUCCAUAAGUCAUUGGACAGAGUAAUUACCUGCAUUUUAUAAUAUGAAUGAUGUAAUAUCGUUAUUUCAUAUCUUUAUAACCGAGAGGGAGAUUUUCUUUCAUUAUAAGUGGAGUGGAUGCUAUAUUGGUGGCAGAGGAACAAAUAGAUAGAUCGAUGAAGCCAAAUUUAACAUUCAAGAAUGCAUUUCGUGUUGUCAAUUAAAAAGUGAUAAAGAUUUGGGCGAAUUUUUCUUCUUUUGGAUGGAAUUUUUCCAUUUCGUGUUGUCUAUUUCAACGUAGCAAAUCUAACAAAUCAGAGGAUGCCACGUAUGGCAACUGAAAUGAUUUAAAAGCAAAAAAAUAAAAAGGAAGGAAAGAGAACAAUAAGUAGUAGGUGACGAUCAUUUCUGCAGGUGCUCCAAACGCAACAGUGAAAUACAUUUCUAAAUGUGUAAAUUAUUUACUGGUUAAGUUGUUAAAAAGUAAUUAAAUAUAAUUAUAAAAAUAAACAUCUUUAUUUUACUAUUGUUAAAAAACAUGCACCAUCUUUCCUUACUGUUGACACGUCUUAGUGUAGAGCAAAAAAAUUGAUUCAUUAGACGAUUUUCAUCCAAACUGAAAAACACUAUUUUAAUAUAAUUUUUACAUUAAAACCUUUCUAACCUAACUGAAAUAUCACAUUAUUUUAGCAUCACACUAUAAUUUCAUACCAAAUUUGGUGUGAUACUAUCCACUACACUAAAAUACCAUUCACUCCAAAAACACUAUUCAUUUAUUUAUUAAUAAAAUGUACAAUUAAAUAAAUGAAAAAUAAAAAAUUAAAUACAUAUAAUAUUAUAAAAUAAUUUUUGAUGUGAAAUUUAGUAUUGUGGUUAGAGAAUAAUAUUUUUUUAGUGCUGAAACUAUACUAAAAUAGUAUGGUUUUCACACUAGAAUAGUGUUAUGGAUUAGGGAUGCUCUUAAUACUUCUUUGUAAAUUUGUAAGACAUGGGUGUUGUAAACAUAUAAAAACAUAUCAUAUACUUUAUUAGCAAACGAUAAUGCAUUUUUUUAACCAAAAGUACCUACAUAUAAUGAAUUUUAGUAUAAGGAAAAAAGUAACCUAACGUCCAGGAACAAUGGUCUAGUAAGAAGACUUUUGAGCCACCGUUCCAAUGGCGGUAAGAUCAACGGCUCAUAUUGGUUUCGAUUAACUGGAGGAAUCAAUGGAAGUGAAGUGAAAUGAGUAAGGACCGAACGCAACGUACGUGCCACUAAGAUAUAUGCUAAACGGCGUAGGAAUUUCAUAUUUUCAUAAUAUUCUUUGCUAUCUCUUCGAGAUGAACUAAAAUUAAAGAGAUGAUAUUAUCACUUUACUACUACGUACUCUCGACCAUCCAAUUAAAACAAGGAUAUGAUGUCAUGCAAAUUCGUACGGUAACGUUUACGAUAUAUUAUAUUCCCAUGAGUCUUGUGGAUCCCUAGUCAUUUGCCAUUUUUGUAUGUCACCUUAUGAGUUAUGGAUUGGAUUGGAUUAAUGUAUACAAUUUAUUUAAUAUAUUCUUCACUCUCUUGCACGAUUUAGCUCAAGAGCUGUACAAGUUGUAAUUUGCUACCCUUUUCGUUGCAUAUUAUUAUUAUUUAUACGCGAAUAGCAUUUCAUGUAAGAGUGUGUGUGGUAGCAUAGUGGUUUCACCACUAAAAAAAAAAAUAGAAAUUAGUUCCAGCUACAGAAUUGAUCAGUUGUAUAAGAAUAUCGAGUUACGUUAUUUAAGAUGUUGCAUAGUGAAACCAAUAGGAAAAGAAGUAUAAAGGUGGCCGACAACAAAUAAGGAUUCAGAAGGCACCGAUUCAUGAGACUAGGCAUACAACAAAACACUACAAAGCAGUUUCAUAUUGUUAUAAAAUAUAUUUUAUAUGUGGUAACAGCUUAUUUCUAAUUCAAAAUCUUCAAUUUUGAGAAUAAAGAAGCAAGGAUCAAAUAACACCUUACCUCACGCAACGCAAGUAGCAACAAGCAAGUAGUUCAUCAUCAGCUUUUUGAGAAUGUUAUUCAGAAAUAAAAUUUAACAAUACCAUUCAAUUUGAUGCUUACAGUUUAAUUUUAUAAUAAAGAUGCUUAUAGUUUUCGGAUACCCAAUUUUCAUUGAAUUGGUUCUCGUUACUUACCAGGAUUAAUUAGUUACAUUUCAGUUGUUAGGUGAUUGAAAGAGUUUUACUAUUUUCUUUAAAACUAAGAAGAAAGACCGAAGAAUGAGGAGUGAGUCGAGUGACGCGAGUUAAGAGUACGGACAAAACGUUGCGUUAGAUCUGAUUGUCCGUACAAUUUAUUGAGGGUUUGAUUGUAAUUAAGGAAAAGUUGUAACUUCUUUUGUUGAUCUUUUGUCGACGUGACAUCGAUUUUAUUGGUUUAUGUUUUUUGGGGACAAAAACUAUAAUAGAAAUAGAAAUAUAUCACUGUUUGGUAUAUUUGGUGUUUGGUGAUCGGUCACACCGAUGUUUUCUUGUUUUCUUUCCCCCUAACCAAUUGUAUCUUCGUAAGAACUUUUACAAUGGUAUAAGCCAACUUUGAUUCCAUUCAAAUCAUAAAUAUUUCGCCACUCGAGCCAUUGAAGAUUUUUCACCAUUACUUUCGAAAUAAGGAAUUGAUUUUUUUUUUUAAGUUUUCAAGGCUUCCUCCACCUACACAAAAUAAUAAAAAAAUAUAUCAAUUUGUGGAAGCACAUCACAAUAUGCCACACCAGAUUAUCAGAUCUUCCACCAUAAAACACCAUUCAUUUAACCAUCUUCUUUGAUUAGCUCACAAAAUUCUUGAUAUUAUUAAUAAGACUAUAUAUCAACUUAUUUUAUCUACGUCUUCUCAAUCAUCAGCGAUACAACUUGCAACAAAUCUUCCUGGGAGGUCAGAUAAAUGGUUUCAUCUUAUGGUGCAUCUGAAGUAGAAAGUCAUCUUCAACGUUAGACAGUGUUAUCAAGAAAAAAUUAAAACUUUAGUUUCAACCAUAUGUACAAUUAAGCAAGCAGUGGUAAGCUGAUAAUAAAAAGAGAAUUUGGAGUAAAGCACAAAUCCGUCAAUGUUGGAUUCGAAUUGUGCAAGGAACAAAAUUGCCAUUUGUUUGGCCAUGCGAAAUGAGAUUUGCUUACACCUCAUUUAGAGAAACCGAGGUUUAGGUUUUUUCCGUACUCCAACGCAGCGUUUGGCCAUGCGAAAUGAGAUUUGCUUACACCCACAAUUUUAAAGAGUUAAAAGCCAUAUGCAUAAUUUUAGAAGAUAUUGAGAUAUUGGUUAUGUAUAGUAACGGGAAAUGGUUAAUUUUGUUUGUUGUCAAAGCAAACAACCAAUAAAAAAGAGAGCAGUUAGUGGUAAUUUUUAUUCACUGUCCUAUAUUGGUUUUUGCAAAUGUGACUCUCAUAAGCUCAGUCUUUAUUCGUGUGUGCUCUGAUCGCAACAAAAGUAAUAAAUAAGGGAAAUUCAGGAAUUUUGGUUUUAAUUUGGGAAAGGUUAUUUUUUAGUUCAAUUUGUCUCGGUUUAAUCGGUUGUCAUCAGUCAUCACCAUUUUUGAAAAUUUGUAUUUCUUGUUGCUUUUUCCUUAAUAAAAUAAAUAACAACCACUUAAGAUAGACAAUUUUGUGAAGAUAAAGUUAUGCACUUAUACAUAAAUGUUUCAUUUCUCAACAGUUGGAUUUUGUUUCUCCUGAAGAUCUUGAUUAUGUAUUAUGCCACACUCUUUCCAUUUCACAAAGAUCCAUGUUUCAGAAAAAAAAUAUUUACACUUUAACGUAUUUUUAUUAGAUACUAAGGGUAAAUUAUAAACUUCCAUAAAUAAUCAAGUUUGUUUUUAAAAAAUAAAUCAAGAAAGGUCCUCCACUUAUGAUUACUUCUCUAACCUUUCAUUUUUGUUAUUUAUUUAUAACCAUCUUAUCGAUAGUCCAAGAUGGAUCGAGCAGUGAUUUUUAACAAAGUAUGAAUGAAAAUCAAUUUCAUCAAAAAGAAAAUAAAACUCACGCAGUACUGAUUACAUUAUUCCUUGAAACAACCAAAAGAAAGAAAAAAAACUUAAACAAGAUGCACACGCAACAUCUUUAUUUUAUUUUAACCAUACAUAGAAACUACCAUAAGAUGAAAUUGAAUAUCCAAUACCUUUAGAGCUGCAAAUAAAAAAUACAAACGGCAAAAGAAAUUAGCACUUUUUGUCAUCACUGUUACACAGAUAGAUAUGAGGUUUCGUUACAUAAAUUAGUGACAUGUCAUUUACAAAGUCUCAGUCACAAUGUCACACCUACUAUUGAUUAUUAACACCGUCCACAUCAUCAUCACAAAAAAAAACAUUCAUUUCAUCCUCUCAUUCGAUUCACGCUGAUAACUCACUAUGUUAUUGAUAUCGUUACCGGUGUCACUAGCUUAUAAAAUAAACCACCAUUACUAUUAAUAUGACUAAAUUUUGACUCAUCUUAUAGAGGGACACUACAAGAAAACACAAGUUUUACGAAGGCAGUUUUCCUCGCUAAUUCGUCGUAAAAGCAGUGUUACGACGAAUUAGCGAGGAAACCCGUUUCGUCGUUAUAUGUUUGUCGUAACGCAUAUAUCCUCGUCAAUUCGUCGUAAGUUAGCGAGGAAAUAAUUUCGUCGUAAAAGCGAAGGAGGAUAUUUCGUCGUAAAGACCCCGUAAAGAUUCCUCGUAAGGACGUCGCUAAUUUUCCUCGUAAAGACCACGUAAAGAUUCCUCGUAAGGACGUCGCUAACAUUCCUCGUAAUUACCACGAAAAUCAUUCCUCGUAAGACACACGUAAAUAAAUACUCGUAAAAUUGACGUAAAUACCUUGAAAGCUUUCCACGUAAAGAAAACGUAAAAACCUUGAUAGAUUUCCAAACGUUUCCUCGUAAAAACCACGUUAAGCUUCCACGUAAAGAAGCCGCAAAAUUAGCUACGAAUUUACUUCGUUUCAUUAUUUUAUAGAAAUAUAAAAAAUUAUAAUUAUAAAUAUAAUUUAAAUUAUUUAAAUUAUUAAUGAAAUUAAAAUUCUAAAAAAAUCAAAACCAAAAUAUUUUAUAUAUAAAUAAGUUUUGAAUUCAUAAUACAAGAACCGAAAUUAAAAAGAACUUGGGUGGUCGUUAAUUAAUCGCCUCGUAGAAUUCAUCACUCCUCGCCUGAACAUCCGCCUCGGCAUGUGAGUCGUCGGUCGGUGACUGGCCUGGGAUAGGAUUUUCUUGUCGCAUGGUCCUCAACAAAGUCGCCCAUUCCGGAUUUGUGGCCGCUACAACGUCCAAGAAGCCCUCGAGUCCACCCAUACGAGAUCGGAGCUGAGUAGACUCUAUACGCAGCUGAGUAGACUCUCUACGCAGCUCUUCGGACUCCCUACGCAGCUGAGAGACUUCAUCAUCCCGUCGCUGAACAUAAGACGAUGUCGCUCUCGGAACAUCGUUGACGGAACCAAUCCCCAACGUCCGUCCCUUUUUUUUAGGGACAACCUUAAAAACAAAAAAUAAAUUUUGUUAGUAAAAAUUUAAAGUUAAAUUAAAUGAAUAUUUAAAAAAAUUAAAAUUUUAGAAAAUUUACCUCCUCGUAAAGCUUAUCCACUUCAGGUGUGGAUAAGGUGACGGGUAAUCCAUCGGUGGACUGUUGGGUCAGCUGGGUCUGGCGUUCUUCAACCCGAGCAGCCAAAUCGUUGUAGAUUUGUUCGGACUUGCCAUCUAUAAAUCGGCCCGCCUUGUUCUUGUGGGUCCUCUCGUAAAGUUGCAUAAGAGACGGGAAUUCUCCCGUCUCUUUGGCCUAAAAAAACAUUUAAGAAAGUUGUUAAUUAGAAUAUAUAUAAAAAUAUACUAAAAAUUUAAUAUAAUUAAAUUUUUAAUUACCAUUUCCAAACGGACACCGGCGUGGGGUUUUUGGCCCGUAGUGUGAAGCAUCGGCCCGUUCCCGUGCUCAUCGACUGUGUUACGGGAGUUAGAGCAAGACUGGGCGAUUCUAAUGGAAUCAGGAAGACGCCAAUAUCGGAUGAGGCCAUCCCAGACAUCCGUGGUGAGCUCAGCGGGUUUGCCACGCUCAUACCCCUUCACGAUCCAGUCACCCUUCCAGUUGGAGACCGUGUCCAACAAGCGAACUUUCGCCUUCGCUUCAAACUUCUUCCUCACCCUCUCAGUGAUCCCCAAGGCCCAAUUAUAUUUUUGCUGUUGGAAAAAAUAAUUUAUAAUUAGUUUUUCAGAAAAAAAUAUAUAUAUAAAUAAUAAAAAAAUUUAAAGAUAUAUAUUUAAUUAAUAGAACUUACAGCGUAAAUUUUGAACCACGUCUUUCUGACGUAGUGGGGCGUCAUUUUCCAGUUCGGAUGUGCCAUGGAGAAGUAACCUUUUAUCGUAUCGGUUACGUCCGAUGCAAGACAUCCGUCAAUCCCCCACCUGAAAAAUACAAAUUUAAAAUAUAAAUUAUUUUUUAAAGUUAUAAAAGAAUUUAAAAAGAAUAAAAAAAUAAUGAAACAUACCAUAAAGUUCCGUCCGGUCGGUCGGGGUCGAUGACUGGUAAACCUUCUCUGCCUGGCAGACGGAGAAUGUCCUCUACGGUGUACUGCGAGUAAGGAGCACUCGGAGGCACCAUCAAAUCGGGAUGAAUCUCGGCCGCGGGCAUCGGAGGUGCCGGCAUCGUAGGAGGCACAGGAGGAGGAGGCAUCUGGGGAGGCACGUGAAGAACCGAUGGUGCACUAGAAGAAGGAGAUCCAAUGACUCUCUGAGUGUACUGAGUCUCGGGGACAGUCUCCUGACCCGAAGAACCGGGAGCUGAAGAAGACGACGGGUCUAAACGACUACCCGGCUCACCGAACAUCUCUCUGUAAUGGGCAGUAAGUCUACCUUUUCGAACCUGAGAAAAAAAUUUAAUUUUUUAAAUUUUCGUGAACAUAUACUUCCCAACAUUAUCCACCUAAUCAACACUAAAUAACAUAAGAUCCGUAAACCUAUCUAAAUUCCCUAUACUAACCACCUAAUCUAUCCUAAACUAAUCAAACUAGAGAGGAAUUAGAGAGACUUACCAUUGCUACGAAUUAGGGAGGAAGUGGAGAGGAAGUAGAGAGGAAAGACGGAGCGAGCUCGCUCGGGAUAUAUAUAAGAUUACUUGUCCUCGUAAAUUCCUCGUAAACUUACGAGGAAUUACAGAGGCCCGCGUUUUCAGUUACGACGAAAUAGCGACGAAAUACAAAGGCCCGCGUUUUCGUUAACGACGUUUUUACGACGAAAAGGGUUACGUGGAAUUAACGAGUUAACCAGUUACGAGGAAUUAGCGAGCCUUUAUUUUCUAUAAAUACCCACAACUUUCCUUCUCAAACCACACACACAAACUCACAAAACACACCCUAUCUCAAAUCACACUCCUCACCAAAAUACUUUUCAAAUUAGAAAUAUUUGAAAAAAAAAAGAAGAAAAGAAGAUAUUAGAAUUUAUGUGGGUGAGACUUAAGUCUCGCCACAUAUAAUUCCAGUAUCUUUCUUUUUUUCUUUUUUUCUAGUUUUUAUACUAUGAGGAAGUAGCAAGUCCCGCUUUUCACCAAUUUAGAAAAUUUGGAAAAAAAAAGAAGAGAAGAAGAUAUUUGGAACUCAUGUGGUCGAGACUUACGUAAGUCUCGCCAAAUGUGAUUCAAGCAUCUUUCUUCUCUUCUUUUUUUUAGUAUUUUUAAUAUUUUCGUCGUAAUAUCGUCGUUAGUUUACGACUCUUUUACGACGAUUCUUGCUUACGUGGAAUUAGCGUGCCCCGCUUUUUUAAUUUCGUCGUAAAAUCCUCGUGCCCUUACGAGGUGUUUACGACGAAAUCAUCCUACGUGGAAUUAAAGAGUGCCUCCUUCGUCAUUUACUUUACGUGGUAUUUACGUCAAUUUACCUUACGAGGUCUUUACGACGAUUCUGUCCUACGUGGAAUAAACGACGAUUUCGUCGUACAUUCGACGUUAAAUUACGAGGAAUUAACGAGCAGUACGUUUAAAUCCCUAAAAUCCGAAACCCCAAACCCCAAACCCCCAUAUUCCUUAUCUUCUACUUCAUAUAUUUCAAACCCCAUGUUUAUUUCCAUUCCAAACCACAAUUCCCACAUUUACUUAUUUAUAAAACAAACUCCCACAAUUUCUUAUUCAUAAAACAAACUCCCACAUUACCUUAUUCAUAAAACAAACUCUCACAUUACCUUAUUCAUAAAACAAACUACACAAAAUCAAAUACAUCAAUCGGAUACAUCGACAUUCUCGUCAUCACUAGAAAUAUCAUCAUUUUCAUUAAACUCGUCUUCUACAGCUUCGUCUGUGGCAUCAUCGGUAAGAUCUUCGUAUUCGUGAUUAUGCGGAUCAAUGAGAAGGAUGUCAUCAACUUCUUGUUCAGGUUCCUCGACUUCAUUUAUCUGUUCUUCUUGCAAUGGUGGUUCUUCUCCACUGAUGAUUCGUCCUCGAGGUGUAACUUUGAUCACUGCUAACCAAUUUAUACCCGAAUCUCUCAUCCGAGGGUAUGGAAGGAAGCUAACUUGGUCUGCUUGUGAAGCUAAGAUGAAAGGCUCGAAUUUGUUGUACCGACGUCCACCGUUGACAUCAACUACACCAAAUUUGUUAGACCGAACACCUCUGUUGACGACGGGGUCGAACCAUUCACAUUUGAAGAUGACGCAUUUCAGCUUCAGUAUCCCUGGAAAUUCGACUUCAAUAAUCUCCGUCAAGAUCCCGUAGAAAUCUGUUUCCCCUUUCACACAUAUUCCAUAGUUACUGGUCGCCCGCUGUCUACCAUACUCAUAUGUGUGAAAAGUGUAGCCUCGUGUGAAAUACAUCUGUGAUGUGGUGACCUUUACAAGUGGAGAUUGAAUUACUUCGUGUAACCACUUAGGAUAAUCUGCAUCGUCGUCAUAAUCAACCUGCAAAAAUAAAGAGAACAUUAAAAUACAAAUCAUGUAUGAAAAAAUAGUUUGAGUUAUAAUACCUGAUUCCGCAACCACUUAAUGAAGUGCUGAUCUUUCCUUUUGUCUACGUCACUUGUGGAUAUACCAGGAAAUGUUUCUUCGACUUGAGAAACAAAUAGGCUGUAAAAUUAAUCACAUUUCAUAGGAAUGAAUCUCUUGCAAUUAUAUAAUUAAUUAUAUGUGUUUUGAAGUGUCCAUAUAUGUUACCUUUCAAAAUAACGCAUCAAUGGAUCCUCGCAAUUGAGUAGAAUAUAGGUGUGUGCACUAUGAGCGUCUUGUUCACUCGACCACCAAACCUCUUUAGACUUCCCACCGAGUCGUCCAAUCUGGCUAAAGAUGUCUGGAACACCAGCAACUGCAUAUGUUGGCGCAACUCCACCAUCAUCAUAUCUUCUUGGAGCUCUUCUACGGGUACGUACUUUUGACGCAAAGUAGUACGAUGUGAAGUGAGAAACUUCUUCCGUCAAACUUCCAGCAAUUAUAGAACCUUCAACUUUGGCGAGGUUCUUUGCUUUUCCCUUCAAAUAUUUCAUGGCUCGCUCAUACUGAUACAUCCAUCCGUAAUGUACAGGUCCACGAAGCAAUGCUUCAUAUGGGAGGUGGACAGCUAGAUGCUCCAUGACGUCAAAAAAUCCAGGAGGAAAUAUCUUCUCCAAGUUGCACAAUAAGAUGGGAAUGUUCUCCUGAAGCUGUUCUACAACUUCUUCUUUAAGAGUGCGUGUGCUCAGAUCCCUGAAAAAUGCUCCAAUGCCUUUUAUAUUCCAAAAACAAUUAAACACAUUGUUAGUCGUAUAUUAUUUUGCAAACUAGACCGUUAUAAAAUUAUUGUGAUAUAAAACACUACGAACCUGCAAGUGCUUCAUGUACGUUUGUUGGAAGUAGCUCCGCAAAUGCAAAGGGCAGUAGUCGUUGCAUAAAGACAUGACAAUCAUGACUCUUCAUCCCAGAGAACUUUUGACCCUUUUCAACACAUCUAGAGAGAUUUGAAACAUACCCAUCGGGGAACUUCACUUCUGAUGCCACCCAGUUGAACAACACCGACUUUUUUUCUGAAGACAGUCUGAAUAUCGGAACGGGAACUUGUCCAUUGCUUUUAAUAUGUAACUCGCUUCUUGAGCAAAUAUCCGGCAAGUCCAACCUCGAUUUUAUGUUGUCUUUUGUCUUCCCUGGGACAUUCAAUAUUGUAUUCAUGAUGUUCUCAAAGAAAUUCUUCUCUAUAUGCAUCACAUCGAGGUUGUGGCGCAGAAGAAGAUCCUUCCAAUAUGGCAACUCCCAAAAUAUACUCUUCUUGUGCCAGUUGUGAUGAACACCGUAAGAAUCAGGCAUAUUACGAGGGACAUGCCAAUUACCACCCCAACGAACUGUUUCGUUAGCUCCGUAGUAGUCGAUUUGUGCUUCAAUUUGUUCUCCAGUUAGAUAUGGUGGAGGAGUGUCUCUCACAACCCUUUUGUGCCUAAACAAAUUCUUGUUUCUUCGGUAAGGAUGGCCAAUGGGAAGAAAUCGACGAUGACAAUCAAACCAACUUGUCUUCCUACCAUUCUUCAGUUGAAACGCAUCUGUCGUUCCAUUACAAUAUGGACAAGCUAAUCUCCCAUGUGUAGUCCAUCCAGACAACAUCCCAUAUGCAGGAAAGUCACUUAUGGUCCACAAAAGCAUAGCUCGCAUCGUAAAAUUCGUCUUCGUUGAACAGUCAUACGUCCUCACCCCUGUUGACCACAAAUCCUUCAACUCUUUUAUCAGUGGUUGUAGGAAAACAUCCAGGGACCUUUUUGGAUGGUUCGGACCAGGUAUCAAUAUCGUCAAGAAUAGCAACUCCCGUUGCAUGCACAUCUCCGGUGGCAGGUUGUAUGGCGUAAGAAAGACUGGCCACAAUGAAUAUUGUCUCCCUGACAUUCCGAACGGACUAAAUCCAUCUGUGCAUAAUCCGAGAUACACAUUCCGGCUAUUGCUAGCAAAAUCCGGAUGUACUUUGUUGAAAUGUUUCCAGGCUCUUGCAUCUGAUGGAUGAGUCAUCUCACCAUCCGUCUGAGUAUGCUCGGCAUGCCAUCUCAUCUUUGCAGCAGUCUGCUCUGAUUGAUACAAUCUUUUCAAUCUGUCUGUAAUUGGUAGGUACCACAUCCUUUGGUACGGUACCCUAUUACGUCCCCGUCCUUGCGGUUUGAAUCGUGGCUUCUUGCAGAAUCGACAUACUUCUAGCUUCUCAUCAUCUCCCCAAUAGAUCAUGCAGUUGUCGAUGCAGACAUCUAUCAUCUCCGAAGGCAACCCAAGACUAUAAACUAAUUUCUGAAUCUCAUAAUAAGAAUCAGCAGACACAUUGUCUUCCGGCAAAUACUCUUUAAACAAGUCCGCCCAUUCGUUCAUGCAACUUUCAGGUAGAUUGUGAUCAGUUUUAAUAUUCAUCAUUCUAGCAGCCAACGACAAUUUAGAGAGACCUUCUCUACAACCACUGUAAAGUGGUUGAUUCGCCGCGUUUAACAUUCCGUAAAACUUUUUUGCAUCUAUAUUAGGUUCUUCAUCUUCAUCAUGAGCUACGAAUGCAUCAGCUACCAUAUCAUGAACCCUAUCAUAAUCUACCAUCUCCUCCUGAUGGUAACUAUGUUCAUUAUGCAAAUGAUGAUUAACCGGUUCUUCCUGAAAAUUGCUAUUACUACUACUAGCUUCAUUCUGAUCAUAAUUAUAACCUUCCCCAUGUUGAAACCAGAUAUAGUAAUUUGGCGUGAAACCUCUAUUUAUUAAAUGCUUCCAAACAUUUUCACGGUUUGCCAAUUUCGAAUUGUUGCAUUUCCGACAAGGACAGAACAUCUUACCACUUUCUUGGGCGAGCGGUGUUGAAUCUGCUUGGUGCAUAAAUGUCUCCAGCCCCGCAAGGUAUUCUUUCGUCACUCUCCCGUUAGCAUCUCUAUGCAUAUACAUCCAAUUCCGCAACUCGUAAAUAGUCCCAGAGCCAGCCAUUUUUUUUUCUUUCACGUUUUUUGUUGUUGGUGUGUUUAAAAUGAUGUUCCAACAUCCAUAUUUAUAGAAAAUUUCGAAUCUGGUAGUUGUAAUUUUACUAUGAAAUUACGACGAAAAUUAAUUGUAUGGCCAAAAAAAAAACGUGAGCCACCUACCAAGUUGGUGGAUUCAAAAUUUCCUCGUUAAGUACACGUAAAAUAUUUCGUCGUAAAGCACUCGCGAAAUUUACGUGGCUUUUACGAGGAAAAACUAUUUCCUCGUAAAAGCCACGUCAAUUUACAUCGUCUUUACGACGAAUUUUUUUUGUCGUUACCUUACGACGAAAUAACGAUGCUUUUCUUUCUCAACGUAAUUUCCUCGCAAAAUCAACAUUUUUUUACGAGGAUUAUUUUUCCUCGUUAAACUUCCUCGGUAAAGAUACGUUUUCUUGUAGUGGGAUGUUUCAUGUAGUGAAGCCUUUUAACAAAAAAAAGGGAUGUUUCAUGUAGUGGUGCUUCUGAAGUAGAAGCAGUCAUCUUCAACUUUGGACAAUGUCAUAAAGAUUAUUAAAACGUUAAAUCCAACCAUACGCAUAUUUAAAAAGUUGUAAAGGAAAAAAAAUACAAUUUCAAAAUAAAAAGCCUCAUAGAACAACUAUGUAUCUAAGGCCUAAAGCUCAUAUGAGCAUAUGAGGCUUGGCUGGUUGGCAUAAAUCCUUACUCCAACUUAUGUACAGCAGUAACUUGAAAAACACAAUGACACUUCUUUAAAAGCAUGUAUUGUGAUCAAAGCCCGUGGAGUAGCUCCAAAUGGAGGUGGAGAAGUUCUCUUUACAAGUUCCAAAUGUGCAGUUUCUCACUGUAUUUACUUCUUCGUUUGGCUUUAGACCUGACACAGUGUCAGGAACUGUCAAUAAUCACUUGCGUUGGAAUUUGGAAGUGGUUUUAUUAAUUUCUCUAGGAAGCUGUGUUAAUUCUUCACAAUCAGCUUCACAGUUUGUCUUUAUAAAAAAAACGCUUUUCUAUAGUUGAAAACUUGCAAAUAGAUGUGUAUUCUUUGUUUUAUUCAAGUCUGUUAAAGAUGUAUUCUCACAUUUGGUAUAAUUGUAGAGAGUAACAAAAUUUAUGAAAUGAUCCACAAAAACAAAGAAAGCAAACAACAUUUAAUUAGUAUCACUCAGAGAUCUCGCAAAAGAAGAGCAGAGGAGGUUUCAUACCAUCUAAAGAGAGGAGAGAAUCGAUGGCGUAUAUGAUUUUGACGAAAACAAAGGGUGUUUGCAGCCAGACACAGCAAACACUACCCGUCCAUUGCUGCCUUGAACUAGACCAUGUAUCUGAGCUCCACUCCACAGGAUGAUGCAUAACAAGCCUUCCUUUUUUUGGCUUCAUAUGGAGAAGUUUUGCAUUGGAUCCGCCUGAGUGAGAUGCUACAAGAGAGCCUCCUACAAGCACCCGUGUCCAUAAAAAUACACAAGGAAACAGCAUUGCAGACACUAGUUCCUGCAGAUCCAAGGCACCAAAACCAAGUUCAAUACUGAGUGGAACCGGUUAAUCACCAGUAAUCACCACAAGAGCAGACUCCAUCUUUAAAAUGAUGAAACCGGUUUGAAUCUCUCACAACGAUCUCUCUCUCAGUGAUCCUCGACAUGAACUUAGUAACGCUAUGACAAUCGCUACACACCCUCAGAUUCUUAAAAAUCUGAAUCCUCGUCUUCGGAGGAGUGGUAACAAGCGCAAAGGCAAUAGCCAACCUUUCGCUAUGACUCAUCAGUAUAUGCUCUUUCUCAUCGUCCUCAACAUCCUGCAGCACGAACCUAUGGUCCGGCACAUACCCAAUCAUCUUCAUCUUCUCGUGCAACAACCUCAACUCCUUGUAGAUCUCCUCGUACAUGGGAUGCGUCUGGUUUCCCGUGUAAAAGACUUCGACCUUGUUAUUUACUUCCAUUGAGCUCCAGCCUGGUGUCUUCCUUAAACCUUUGCCACGUAUCUCAUCAACCCCCUCCCAUUUUCCAGCGCUAGCGUACAUGUUCGAGAGCAAAACGUGAUAACCAACAUGCUCAGGCUCAACCUCGAACAGAUGCUCAGACGCAACCUUCCCCAAGUCCACGUGUCCGUGUACUCUACAAGCGCCGAGGAGAGCUCCCCAGAUGGAUGCAUCAGGCCGAACCGGCAUGGCUUUGAUGAAGCUAAACGCGGUUUCUAACUGACCCGCUCGGCCAAACAAAUCCACCAUACAACCGUAAUGUUUCAAGCUCGGCGCUAUGUUAUAAUCUCUUUGCAUCGUCUCAAACAACCAUCGACCCUCGGUUACUAAUCCAGAAUGGCUACAAGCUGACAACAGAGUCACGAAUGUUAUAUGAUCAGGCUUCACUCCUUCGUCAAGCAUCUCUCUAAACAGCUUCAUCGCCUUCUCCCCAUGCCCGUGAAGCCCGUGGCACGCUAUCAACGUGUUCCAUGGCACCGAGCUGACUCUUGGGAUUUGAUAGAACAACGAGAGUGCAUCCUCUAGCCGUCCACAUUUUCCAUACAUGUCAGCAAGGCUUGUUCCAAUGAAAACAUCCGAACAAAGACCGUUCUUCAAGAGCCGGCCGUGGAUCUUCACGCCUUGGCGCAAGGCUCCGGACUGAGAACAAGCGGGCAGAACGCUCACCCAUGUCCCUUGGUUAGGUGUCAUCUCUCCUCCUUCCUCCAUUUCGUUAUACAUCUCAAUGGCUUCAGCAGCAAAACCGUUUUGCGCAUAACCAGAUAUUAUUGUAUUCCAUGAAAUCACAUCUUUGUUUGGGAGAUAAUCAAACACCGCUCUCGCUGAAUCAACAAGGCCUAGCUUUGCAUACAUGUCAACGACCGUGUUUCCAACGGUCACAUCUUCCAAAAGCCACCCCUUCCGCAACACGAAGCCUUGGACUGAUCUACCACCUCGAACAUCACCUAACUGCGCGAGCGUAGAAGCCAAACUAAUCAAAGUGAGGCAAUCUGGUUGGAUUCUGUUAAACCGCAUCUCCUCAAACAGCCUAAGCGCUCUAAGCGGCUGCUCAUUCACCUCAUAGGCCUUGAUCAUAGAGUUCCACGUAAUCAAAUCCCUCACAACCAUCUCAUCAAACACCUUCUGGCAACCCUUGAGGUUGCCAGACUCGGCGUACAUAUCAAUAAGCUUGUUGGAAACAAACAGCUCAGAGUCAAGCCCGUGUUUAAUCGAGUACAAAUGAAUCAAAACUCCUCUAACGAAGUCUCCAGCCUCCGUGCAAGCGGCGAGGAGGCUCACGAUAGUAACAGCAUCCAUGCCCUUCAGCUCUUUAGAGAGAGCUAACGCCUCCUCGGCGUUCCCGCUUUGACAGUACCCUGAGAUCAUAGCGUUCCAAGAGCCCAUGUCUCGCACAGGCAUCUCAUCGAAGAGUCUCCGCGCGUUCGCCACCGGUCCGUACCUGCAGUACAGAUGAACCAACGACGCGGCGACGAAGACGUCCCACACAAACCCAUACUUCAAGGCCGAGCAGUGAAUCUUCAUCCCAUCAAGGAGACUUCUACAAGCUUUCAAGACCGAAGGAAAAGUGCGGUAAUCAGGCUGUAGUCCUGAAGUCAUCAUGAAGAGACUAAAACACUUAAUAGCUUCCGAAGAGCUUCCCGAACGGACGUAGCCAGAGAUCAUCGCGUUCCAGGCGUAAACGUCUUUGUUCUGGAUGUUGUCAAAGGCGUGACGAGCCAAGGCGAGGCUCCCGAGGUAACAGUAGAGGUUGACAAGCUUAGCUGAGACGCAGACGUUUUGGAUGGCUUGGGAGACAAUGAGACGCGCGUGAAGGCACUUGGCUGAGUGGAGUUUAGUGCAGUGUCUGAAAAGCAUGUGAACGUCAUCAAUCCUUUUACCGAACUGAGUUUCAAUUCCAUGAUCUUUCGUAUAGUCUUGCAAAGCAUUUGCAGGUGCUGAGAAUUCUCUGAGAACUAAUGCGAAAACUCCGGUAAAGCGCCCACCUUUGCAGGUCUGAAAUAGUCUGAACAGAAGAGAAAACAUCAAGACAUAAAUCAAGAAGAUAAUAUCUAGAAAUAUUUUCUAAGUUGUAUCCAUUGGUACCUCAACAUACAUGCAAUUAGAGUCUUGCAAACUUGGGAGGAUUCACACCAAAAGGCUUCAGUGAAAGUCGCAUAAGAAAGAUUUCAGAGUGAUAUCAGCCAUGUGCCAUUUGCUGAGUCAUAUAACAUUAAGCUCUUGAUCAUUUUCGAUUCUCCAUCAUCUCAGAGAUCUCUCCAAACAAUCCCAAGAAGACGAGAACCUAAGUUGGCCUGCAACUAACACAUUAAGAAAAGAAAAAAGAUAAAGCUCAAAGCAUGAAACUUUGUGCUCAUAAUAAGCUGAAAGCAUGAAACUUUGUACUCAGUAACAGUUUUUUUUUUAAUUCUAAGGGAAUAUGAUAAUCUAUAAGACUCCUACUGGAUUCAGUCGACGCAAUGAUUCUUUUAACCAAAUCCGAGUACGCGGCCGCUAAUGCGUUGAUCGGAGACUUACCGUGGCGAGGAGGGGACAAUCGGAAUUGGAAAAGAUCGUCGAGGAAUAGCUCGAAAUCGAGUUGCUAAAUCUCACGAAACUAGCUUAAUAGGUUCGACCACCGGAUUACGUCGAGCAGUGUAAAAAGAGGCUGAGGGUUACACACCUUCAUGAAAUCUGAAGGUGGAUUUGUUUAAACCCUAAAAAAAAAAAAAAUUAUUUGAGGAAGACGAAGGCAUAUUUACAAUUUUGCCCACUCAUUAGUUAAAAAAUAAGGAAAUUAGGGGUCAUGUCCAUAACAUAUCAAAAAUUAAGAAUAUACACAUAACAACGUUUAGGCUACGAUAUAAUACAUAUUAUUAUGAAAUUGGAUAAUAAUGGCCUUAACUGCACGUGAAAAAAAAAGUAUCUUUGUGUUUUGCUUCAUGAAACUAAUAGAAAAAAGAAUUUGAGUAGCAGCUGGAGAACAUAAAAGAGGUACAUCAGAAAGCGACAAUUACAGAGUGUUCGUAGAAAUAAGAGAAUCACUUAACGGCACGACUACCGAGGAACCAGCUGAAUCUCAGUAAAUUUGUUAUGAUUGAAUAGAAUCAGGGGAUCAAGCAACAAUCUCGGUUACCGUGAGACAAAUAUGUGAAUCAAUAUCUUUAAAAAUAUGAAGAACAAUGCGAUGGAUUGAAUUGGGGAAGAAGAACAGUAUCUUAUGUCAUGGAUUCCCUUUCCCACCUCCCCUCUCUUCCCCGGUCUCUCUCUCUCCAUUCCUCCUUCAUUUCCUCCAUACUUUUAUCUUUCCUCCUUCUUCCUCCUCCCUUCCUGUUUGGGUUUGGUUUUACAAUUUGGGUUUAGGGUUUGGGUUAAGGGUUUACGAUUUGGGUUUAGGGUUUAGAGUUUGGGUUUAGGGGGUUUAGGGUUUUGGGUUUAGAGUUUAGACCUUCAAGGUUAAGGUUUAGGUAGCUCCGUUAUAGGCGAUGGUUUGGUUUUACAAUUUGGGUUUAAAGUUUGGGUUAAGGGUUUACGGUUUGGGUUUAGGGUUUAGGGGGGUUAGGGUUUAGGUAGCUCCGUUUGGGUCUAUGGUUUGGGUUAAGAAUUUGUGUUUAGGGUUUGGGUUUAUGGUUUAGAGUUUUGGUUUAGGGUUUAGGUAGCUAUGCUAUGGUUUACGGUUUGGGUUAAGAUUUUGGAUUUAGAGUUUGGGUUUAGGGUAUACGGUUUGGGUUUAAGAGUCUACCGUUUGGGUUUAGAGUUUAGAGUUUGGGUUUAGGGUUUAGUGUUUAGAGUUAUGGUUUAGAUAGCAGGUUUAGGGUUUAUUUGGUUGUGUUUCAUUAUGUUAACUAACAUCAAUUGCCAUGCUAUUCUAAAUGAAAUAUAUUAUACUUAGAGUGAAAUUAUUCGUGUGACUAUACUAAAUAGUGUGUAGUAUAGUAUGAUAAUUUUAUCUUCUGCAUUUCAACAUCAAGCGCACGCGCUUGGAAGGAGAUUUUAGUCAUGUUUUGCGCAAAUUGUCCCAUCCAUCUUGAGUUACUGUAUAAUGGCUAUAUUCUUCAUUCUUUUACCUCUUAUGAAUAUUCAGCAAAUUCUCCUUAAAAAAUAAGCAAAACAAAAACGGCGACAAUGAGAGUCCGUCUCUUCGAACCUAAGAAAUCUGAAAAAAUGCACAACUAGAACUACUGGACCACACUCAUUUAAUUUGUCUAGAUUUUUAUACUAAUUAAACAAUAAACAAAUAUCCGAAACUUAAGAAAAAUAUAUAAACUUAGGUGAUGAAUAUCUGUGGUUUUUGUUUUUCUAAAAACUAAAAUUUAGGGAAACUAGAUUUUUUUUUUAACCGAUCUGUGAAGAAAAACCAAAACUAAAUUUUGUGGGUUUUUAAUAAAAACAAACGAAAUUUGUUUCUCUUUGUAGAAAGAACUAAAUUUUAAUUAAUUAAUAAUUAAAUAAAUAAUAUUUUCAUAAAUAUAAAAUUCCCAUACAAGUUUUUGUUGAUAAAAUGUCAUUUAAACAAUAAUGUAAAAUAAUUUAUUUCAUUUCAUAUCUGUAAAUAAUACUUAAAAUAAAAUAAUUUAAAAAUGUUAAUGUAUUUUUUAACUUUAAAUAACAAUCAUUAUAUUUUGAUUAGUUUUAAUGGUAACUUCUAAAUAUGUUAUUGCUAUUUUGUUAUUAUUUUAAAAUAAUGUAUUGAUUAUCUUUUGAAAAACUAAAAAAAAAUUUAAAACUAAAAACUAAAAGUUAAAAAUCAAAAUAAAAUCUGAAAAUUAAAAAUCAAAAUCUAAAAUCUAAAACCAAAAUCAACUAGCUAGACCUACACCUGUUGCUCGACUCAAGCCUAUAUAUAUCAUAAGUUAUAUGAACAUCCUUCCUUUAUUAUACAGCUUGUUAUUAUAACUUUUAUGAAUAUAGUUUUUGCCGAAAAAUUAUAUUUUCAAAGAGAAUUUAUUUUGGUAGAUAAUAAUAAAUAAUAUAUAGGUAUGCAUUAGGUACAUAAUUGUCAAACCUUUUUAACUAAGUAACUAACAAAUGUUUUGAUUAACAACACAAAUUUUUGUCUUCGGACUCAUCAUUCAACAAAAGUGAUUAACCAAUCUUGUUUAAAAUAAAACCUUCCUUCUUCUUUUUUAUGUCAACGUAUUAUCAAAAUAAUUUGUAAAACAAAUCCAAAAUCAAAAACCACACGAUGUUCUACAUUCAUCUCUUUCUUCUCGUCCACCAGUUACUUAAUCCAGACUCCCCGGUACAUAUGUCACAUCUCACUUAACCAUAAGCUACCUUUUACUUUUCAGACCUUAUUAAUAACCUUUUAUAGAAGACAUACAUUAUUCCCAUGCCUUGCAUAUCAUUUAAGCAUACAGAAUAUACAGUUUCACUAAAGCCAUCAUCAUUCAUCAAAAUGAAGAUUCACUUGGUUAUCCUCCUUGUCCUAUCCAUCUAUGCCACACCAACACUUGCCAAACCCGCUCGACCAUUUAUCUUAAAACUUGUUCGGCACAAAGCCGAGAAGAAUUCAAAGUUAUACAUAACUAAAGAGAGCGAUGCAACAAUCUCCCACCUCACUCCUAACCGUGAACCACCGGUUUUUCUAGCAAAGUUAUCAAUUGGUGAGCCACCAGUUCCACAACUGCUGCAUGUGGACACUGGUAGUAGUUUCACAUGGGUCAAAUGUGGGGGAUGCAUCACAUGUCAAACUCAAUUUCCGGGGUAUAAUCCAACGGCAUCAUCAACAUACAGUAGCGUGAGUUGUGACGACUCUUCUUAUGAGUCAUCUCCAGCGUUGUCCCCCGUCAAAAGAACCGGAGAAUGUCAUUACCGACAGAUGUACUUUGACGGCUCAGAAAGUAGGGGUACGUUAGCCAAAGAGACUAUACUGUUUGACACGGAGGACGACGGGAUUGAAUCUGUGUCAAAUGUUGAAUUUGGAUGUGCGCAUGAAAUCAUUGUUGGGUUUAAUGUUGGAACUGGUCUACUCGGGCUAGCAUAUGGAAAGUUCUCGAUUUUAAAACAAUUUAGCAACAAAUUUUCUCUAUGUUUUGAGACAUUUAGUGACGACCCGAGUUCCGGUCACAGCUUUCUAGCAUUAGGAGAUGGAGCAAGGACCACAGGACAAUCAACGUCAUUAUUUAUGAGGUAUGGUCAUUACCAUGUGGACAUAGAGAGAAUCAGUAUCGAUGGAAGAACUAUAAAUAUUCCAAACCAGUUGACACCGAUAGGAAACACAAUCAUCGACACUGGGACUAGUAUGCUAAAUUUGGCUGAAGAAUCGUACAGUGAGUUUAAGACUCAUAUAGACAGCCUUCUUGACGGACACCUAAACAGCUUUAUGGAUGGUCAUUUGGUAUGUUACAAUGGGACCAUUCAACAUGAGCUGCCUCAAUUGCCUACCGUUACAUUGACCUUCUACAAGGGGGCCUCUUUAGAGUUAGACCCAACCAGUCUAUUUCACCAACUUGAGGAUGAAUAUUUCUGCUUAUCUGUGAUGAUGAGCCCUAAAAUUGAUCUCAGCAUUAUUGGGACAAAUGCGCUUCAGAGUUAUAACAUCGGGUUUGAUCUUGACAAUGAAACCAUUUACUUUGACAAAAUCUCGUGCGAUUACCUUGACUAGAUUGAUAUAAUUCCAAUGCUUUUUUUUAUAAAAUUGAGUUCCGUUGUUCCACACCGUGUUUGAUAAUUAAUAAGAGACGAAUUUUCUUAAAUUGCGAAUAUUUCAAUCUUUUAAAACUUGUUGACAAAUAUUUUUAUUAAAAAGAAAACAUAGACACAUAAUAGAAGAACUGUUUUACUAAAAUUAAAAUGCUGUAAAAUUAUUCUAAAAUUAUAGUCUGAUGUUGUAGCAUGGAGAUAAUUUCCGAAUUAAUUCAAGUAUAUAUGUAACAGAAUGGAAUGAUAAAUAUAAGAUGGAAUAGAGUUGAUGAUGAUAUUGUUAAAAAAAAUCUCAUUUUCAAUUAUUUUAGAUACAAUAUUGUAAAACGCGGUAGGUGCUAGGCAAUAGUACCAAACUGUUGCAAAGGCCGUGUGCUUCGUGGUUUAAUAAAAUGAAGUAUGUUUGGGUAUGAACCAAUGAUAAGAUUGAAAUUUAAGACAUAAUAAGCUGGAGUAUUUUCACCAAAAGAAAUGCAAAAAAGAAAGAAAAUGAUAAAAAUGAAAAAUGCAUUUCAAAGAAGAAAUUAUUAGAAACUAGAGAAGUUCUAAUAACAUGUGUCACUACGUAAAUAGUUUACUUUUUUCUGCAUUUAAGUUUUAAAUAUAUUAUCAAAUAGUAAUAUAUAAUAUAAUAUAGAUGAAAUAUCAUAUUUUUCCAAUGGAAUGUUCAUAGGAGUACCAAGUAUUACAUUAGCGACUUGAUGUGUUUCGUUACACGGUAGCGUGAUAUUUAACGACUUAAGUGCUUUGUUGUCUAGCUUUGUCUUUACCUUUCCGACUGAACAUACUUUCUCUGGACUGAGAUAUUGUUUAAAAAACAAUAUUUUUUGCUUAAAGUGCAUGUGCACAUUGUUGCCCAGCCCUUAUUUCUCAGGACUUUGUUUUAAACAAUUACAUGUUUUUUGAAAAAGGAAACAAUUACAUGUUGUUUGGUUGAACAUCCCAAAAGGAUCAUAAGUGCAGGCAUUAUAGUUUAUAUGUAUGUAGACUUUUCUAACGAUGUAUUAUUAUUUAGGUGCUUGCGAUUUAGCAUGGUUCAAACGAUUUAUCACCAAAACCUUACUGAGCUCUUUUUGAAAGGCAUAUAUCGUGAACUUUUAAAAUAUGAACUUGUAUCAUUUAAACAAAUAUGAUCUACUGAAAGCUAGUAAAUAUCACAUUUUCAACAAGUUUUGUCUGACAACAAUUCUUGUUCAACAACCAUUUAAGAACUGUUAUUACUAAACCAGUAUAUAACAUAACUACAUAACUCUUCCAAUCAUAUCUUCUUACAUCACAUUUCCCUCGAAUGAUGAAUUUCAACAAAAUAUACUUUUUCUUGUUCUUUUUCCUUUGCACCUACCAUUGGUGCAUUAUGUCUAGUAGGCCCACUCCAAGACAAGCGUUAAGCUUAGGAGGACAUAACAGGAAGAUAAUACACGUAUUUCUUAAAAAGUUUCCACCAGCAAUUUUUGCUCGUGUUAAUAUCGGAGACCCACCGGUCGAAGUUUGGCUCCAUAUAGACACAGGCAGCGACUUGACUUGGGUAACUGACGAUUCCCGUGUCGGUUACGAUCCACUAGAUUCUUCAACCUUCAGCUAUAGAAGCUGUGAUGGACUAUCCAAAUCCCCUUCUGUGACUCCAAGUAGAAUAAGGGGACAAUGCGAUUACGUCCAACGACUUGCGGACGAUGCAGUAUAUGCAGGUACUCUUGGAAACGAAACAUUUACUUUUGAGACGGGAGAUGGGGGAAUAGGCAUGUUAAAAAAUGUCUUGUUUGGAGUUGGAAAAACAGUCGCGGGGAUGGCAACUGGAAUGGGCACCUUAGGGUUAAGUUUGGGAGAGCUAUCCAUAAUCAAAUCAAUUGGUACAAAAUUCUCAAUAUGUGUAGGAAACUUUAAUUAUAUUAGUCAAGGGAAACAUUUUCUCGCUUUAGGAGACGAUGCGCUGCUUGUUGGGAGGAAGAUAUUGUUAGAUACAAAAGGUAACACAUAUAGAAUCAAACUGAGUUCAAUAACCAUAGAAGGACAAAGUCUGGGUAUAGAAAACGUUUUGUCUAAAACCAAGUCAAUAUUGGACACCGGGACUUCUACCAUUAGUUUGGUACAAGAAGUAUAUCCUGCUGUUGCCGAAAAAAUCAAGAAAAUAAUGAGCGAUGCGGGGUAUGAAGAGUCAGACAUAUAUAAGGAGCACAAGUUCAUAUGUUACAAAGGAGUGAUACCAGAACAAAAGAAACUACAAGUUAGCCUGAAAUUUGGGAAGGUAUCAUUGGAUAUGGAUUCAACCACUCUGUUCAUCCAACUCAAAUCCAUAGCUGAAGAAGUCUUUUGCCUAUCUGUGAAUGAGUCACCUAUAGAAGAAAAUCUAAUCGGGAUACCGAUAUUCCAAAAUCACAACAUAGGUUUUGAUACUGUAAACAACAAGCUUUACAUCAAACCAGGUGAAUGUAGAAAAUUGUAUGAUAGCUUUAAAGAUGAGUUGGGUCAUCCUGAUCCAUGAUUACAAAUUUACAAUGUAUGAAUAUGGUAAUAUUGACAUAUAUAAAUUUUAUUUAAUAACGUCUUUUGGUGUUUGUGAAUCGACAAAAAGAAGAAAAAUAUUUUAUUAUCCCGAAUAUUUUUCACUUAGAAGUAAAUCAAAUAUCAAUAAAUUAAGAAGAAAAUAUUUUAUUAUCCUGAAUAUUUUGCCCUAUCUUAUUAGGAAAAGGUUAUCAAAACCUAAUGCAAAACUUAUACGAGAAAGGUGAAAACUUAUUCUAUUUAUAAAACUAAAACUCCAAAGAGAAUUCCCUAAAGAUUUUUGUUUUGCUAUCUAGGGAUUAACAAUGUGGUGUGCAUACUCAAUAGCAAAACUGCUCUUUCUGACUAUCUUGCUUUUGGUGGAGGCUUCAUUGGGUCGAUAUAUUCCAUGUAUGGAUGAUAAUUGUAAUUGUGAUUCUUCAUUGCAUGGUUUCAGUUUCAUGAAUUUACAUGUUUUUCUUAUCUCGUGUAUAUAGUUAAAUUUCCAGGAGGGUAUGUGACGAUAUGGUGGGACAUCAUGAAUGAAACUCGUGGUAGCUACUCAGCUAAUGUCACAAUCAUCGACUACUUGAAGAAUCACGACAUUGACGGGCCAUGGGCACUAAGCUGGGAAUGGGCCGAAGACGAAAUUCUAUUGAACACUGUGGGUGCUACUGGUACACAACUUGGGAAUGACUCAUCAGUAGGUGACAAUAAGUGGCCUUUGAAUAGUAAUUUGCCACCACGCGGGGAGAAAGUAUCAAAAUAUUGCAAGGGCGGUGUGAUUCCCUCGUGGUGUACUAUAGAAGCCGACCUUCCGAAAAGCUCUUCUUCGUUCCAAAUUACUGUUGGCCGAGUUGGUAUUGAAUAUUAUCCGCCAGCAUAUGUCGACUUUACUACACCAAGAUCAAAUUUCAUGUGUUUUUCAAUGAUGCCAUUUACUAAGAGACGGGGUUACUUGAGUAAGUUAAUUGAUUUUAUUGGCAUAUCCUAUGUAUAACCUUUACUUUUAUAAUCAAUUCAUGUUCCUUUUGUUUUGUAGAAACGUGGAGGGCGGAGUGCGGUCUCUUAGAGUUCCGCAAGAUUGAUAACAAAGAAGAUCUAUGAAGUUGUGGUGGCUGUUUGCAUUUUUGUAAUGUUUUCGUGCUUUAAUACUAUUUUUUGUGUUCAUGUGAUGCGACUAUGAUAAUAAUUUGAUAUCAUACAAGAGUGCCCAAAUGACAUAAAUAUAUAGUCAACCAGGCCAAAUAAUUUAUUAAUACCAAUUGGAUUAACGGUUAGUCCAUAAAAUAUUUUAUUCUUUAAUAAAGGAAGCAUGUAUGGGCAUGGAACCUAUGAUAAAAUAAAAAAGUGAAACUUAUGACCAAGAAUUAUGAUUAGAUGAAUUGAUGUGUUUACAUUACAUGGUAGUGUGAUAUUUUAAGACUUAAGUGCAUGGCAUUGGCACAUUGUUGUCUAGCUUUGUUUUUUCCUCUCUAUCUGAACACUCUUUCUCUGGGUUGAGACAUUGUUUACAACAACAAUUGUUGUUUAAAGUGCAUGUCCACAUUGUUGCACAGCUCUUAUUUCUCCUGACUUUGUUGCAAAGUAGAAGUUGUUUGGUUGAACGUCCCAAAACCAAAAGGAUCAUAAGUGCAUGUCAUUAUAGUUUAUAUGUAUAUAUUUUUUUCUAACGAAAGUAUGAUUAUUUGUAUGGUGGUACACGAUAACAGCAUGGUUAGAUCAGAAACAAACGAUUUAUCACGAAAACCUUACUGAGUUCUUUCUGAAAGGCAUAUAUCGUAAACACUUGAAAUUCUAACAUAUCAUUUAACAAAUAUACCAACGCUGAGUUGGCCUAGUAGUAAAAGCCCGAAGUUAGAAAAAUCCGAAAAUGUAGGAACGCUCGUGGCCAUCUGGGUUCAAUCCAGGUUGGGAGGAAACCAUAUAACAUGGGCUGGUCUCCCCCGAAGAGGCGACUUUUGUCACCUUUUCAUGACAGCGUCUUUGCUCGCUUCAGUCUCUAGUCUGGACCACUACAGUGGGGCCAAGACACUCGGUUAUCAAAAAAAAAAAAAAAAAUCAUUUAACAAAUAUGAUAUAUUUGUAAAUUAUUAGUGAGGUCACAUUUUCAACAACUGUUGUUCAACAACCUCUAGUGGGGAUAGCAACUGGAACGGGCACCUUAGGAUUAAGUUUGGGUCCACGCCUUGGAAGACAUAUCAAACAAAAAGAUACACCAACAAAACUUGCAGAUCAAGAAUCAUAUACAAAAACCAUAGUUCCAAGGUCCUCAAUAUAUGAAACGACCCAACAAACAAAGAAGCAAACAGCUUUGGAACAGUAUCAGUCAAGUUUCUUAACAUUCUUUCUAUCAGAGGACACAUACUGUCUGAAGAGAGGAGAGAAUCUAUGUCGCUGUAUGAUCUUGACAAGGACAAAUGUGUUUGCAGCCAGAAACACCAAACUCGCCAUCCACAGCUGUAGAAAGACGUUAACCCCCUUGAACUCAAGCAUGUAUCCCCACAACAGCCAAUGCGUCUGAGCUCCAAUCCACAGAAUAAUGCAUAACAAGCCUUCCCAUUUCAGCUUCAUACGGCUCCAUGGUAGAAUCAGAGGUAGCAGGCAAUAGAACCACACAAAGUACUGCGCAGUUAUCACCUAGAGCCAAAUUUAAACCACUACAUCAAAACCAGAAGGUUUAAGCAUUAACAUUGACUCUUUAGUGCAUACCUUAUUGAAAGCAACGAAUGCGACGGUUUGAAGAAACAUACAGAACACUAGAUCCUUAGAGAAGCUGAAGACUAAAGCAAGCUGUACCGUGAACUGAGGUAAAAACGAGAUGAGCUUCUCCACAGCUGAAAACUGACGCUCGUAGUGAAGAUAAAUGUGGUAAAAGUAGAUUGAGAAGUUGUGCCUUGGAUCCGUGCGAGUGAGGUGAUACAAGAGAGCCUCGUGGAGGAACUCAUGUCCGUAAAAGUAGAAGGAAACAGCAUUGCAAGCUAGGAAAACUCCUCCGGAUAUCAAACCAAACAUGAUUCUCUCCCUCGAAAACAAACUUUUUAAGCGGAGUGUUUUCUUAUCCGUGCUGCUAGUAUGUGUAUUCCAAUCCUCAAGAGGAGGCUUGUGACCAGAUCUAAAUAACUUGGAAUCGAGGACUAGGAUGAUUGGUAACGCAUAGAUAAUAGGAUACACCCUGAAAUGCACAACAAGGCCGUACCAAAAUGCAGCUUGUGACAAAUUACCUACACAGUAAACACACAUUGUUGCAAUGUCUUGUUAUGAUCUAUUUAGGCUUCGAAUGGUAACACAAGGAACCAAAGAACCGCACCUAUGUAUCUAUAAGACGCCUAGUGAUUUUUAGAACAUUGGUUAAUAGUAACAAAAAUCUCUACAUAUACCUAUGUAUCUAUAUAAGUUUUUGUAACUAUUAGAACCGCGUGGCAGUUGUUCCGAAUGUUACUACUAUUCGGAGCCUUAAUGUGGAACUCUCAGGGGAUAAAAGAGCUGCAAACUUGAUAUAUACAUAUGUGUGUGAAGUAGUACCUUUCAUUAGGGAGAGGAUGAUCCAAAGUAUCAUAGCACAAACUAUAGGUUCACAGUUGCCUCUGGUUCCAAUUGUGAACGUAAACGGAUUAAGAAGCCAAACCAUUACAGAAACAGUACACACCUUCUCAGGCACCUUACGUAGUUUCAGAAUCUCACGGAUAAACAAACCCACCAGCAAAUCUAACGGACAUAAACAGAUUCAGAACGAGACGAAUAAAAGGUUGAAUCUUUAAGGCUUGAGAGAGAGAAGCAUACCAGAAGCAGAGAAAAUAAACUUUCCCCAAGAACGAUGGAAGAUUGAAUUGGGGACGAGAAGGAGCGCGAGGAGAGGUGAGUAACGGUAAGUGGUUCUCUUGUAAGGAGAUUCACCGGAGGCCAUCAAGGAGGCGGCGUCGGAGAAGACGGUGUAGUCGAUGUCUGUGUAGCGGACCUCCAUGUGAGCGUCUUGCCAUUCUCCGUAGAUGAUCAGGAACACGCGGAGGAGCAUGGAGGAUACGAGCAGGGUACGGAAACUCAUCCCUUAGAUGAAAAAAAAGAAUGAAAAUUUCAGUUUCGAUGUGCAAAUCCAAGACAGUGGAGAGACUUACAUUUCGGUGAUUCGUCAGGUUUUUCUGAACCACGGGACAUGUCGUUCGUUACUCACGAACAAGGAAGUGUUCACCUUCUUUCACGCCUCUUAGGUCCUUCUGAUUCAGGUUCUUCAGCAGAAAGGCAGUCGCCGGUGUGUGACUCCGUCGAGAGAUCGGCGAUUCAACCUUUGAAUGGUUCGAUUUCGUUUUUUUUUUUCCAACUUGCUGGUUUUUGUUUGAUUUCCGGUUAGGUUUUGGUUUAAAUCCAAAAUAAACCAAAACUAAAAUAUAAAAUUUUAAUAAAUUAUCCAUAACAAAAAUAAACUAAUAAAUUAAUAUCAAAUCACAUCAAAUAGUUUUGUUAAUAGAUUCAGAUGACUAUAUGAACUUUUUUAUUUUUGAAAGAAGCUGAGAACUUAACUUAUUUAUUAUAAUACAUAAUAUAUUUUAAUAAUAUAACUGAAAUAUUCAAGAAAAUUAAUAAAAAAAUUACGGUAUUGGUUCAACCAGUGAUCAAUUGGCACUGAUCAAUUGUUCGGGUCGUAUUUGGCACGAUUGAAAUAGUUUGGGUCGAAAUUGGCACUUUUCCCCAUCACAUAUUCGAAUGCUUUAUCAUACCCACGGCGCAGUCUCACUCUGGUACUAUUUGAUAUGUCUCAUAACUAGAGGAUACAACAAUUAUAUUGAGAUAGAACAAUGUUCACAAACUGAGAGAUAUUGAGUAUGUCACUUCACAUUAACAUGAAUAAUCCAAUCUCUAGAUAAAGUGUUUCUCUAAUCCUUACACACCUUUUUAUAUUAGUGAUAAUUACGUACUUAAAAGACACAUUAAUCAUGCCCAUCAACCACUGGUGAUGGAUGGGCCUUGGUAGCAGUAUCAGAAUGUUAAACAGAGACAAAAAGAAAACUCAACAAAUAAAUUUGAUUGAAUGAAAGUGAAUUUUCAACUCGAGACAUUGCUUUUUUUCUUUAAAACUCGAGACAUGAUCAAACAGAGAGAAAACACGUUGAUUAACAUAGCCAAUGAGGAAUUUUUAUUAAAUGAUAAGAAUACAAUUUGACAUUAGCGUCUAUCUUUUUAUUUUGAGACUAACCAUCAGAUUAUACAAAACCCUUAAGCGGCAACAGGCUAAUCAAUCUCACCGUCUGGUUGCUGUUCAUCCAGGUCAGCUAUUCCUCUGUCCACAAACACGUUGGUUCUCCACAACACCAUCUUGCUUUCCACUGUCAUGCCUUUGAUUAGGUAGAGUCUCUGAAGCAGAGGCUUAAUCAAUUUGUAUUCGUUCUUACCAAACCAUUCCAUUUGCUUCUUCACGAUGCUUUCCACAUCUCUGAAAGCUCUCCUCACAAACCCAACUUCCAUUUCUCUUUCCACAAGCUCUCUCACUGAAUUUACCAUCUUAUCUUCCAUCUCCAUCACAAGUCCAGCGUAACAUUCCAUCUCUAUCAAAUGAUUGAUGGCACAGAAGGCACCCAAAAACGCCAAGACCCAGCAACUGUUAUCUACCAACACCUCUCUCGGUGGGUUUAGCCUUUUGUCUAUCUCUGGGAGAAGUUGCUCCAGUAUUGGAACCACAAAAUCAUGUUCAAGCCAUAUUGCUAAGCACUGGAAGAUGUAAACCGCUCUCUCAAACUCUGUCUUGCUGUUAGAUGCAAUAUAGUCGCGUAGACCGUUCCAUGUCUCCAAAUGGCAGUUCAUCACCUCGUAUGACACGUGGUAGACAACCUCACCAAGGACUUUGAACAUGCUCUCAGAGACUCCUUCUUUUUCCCAAAGGCAAGAGAUGAGCAAUGGCUGAAGCUCUCUCAACACUGAAAUGCCUGUUGCUUCUUCCCUGGAGAUGUGAUCAGAGAGUAACACGUUGAGCCGUCUGAUUGCCAAUUCUCUGAACCUCUCUUCAACAUUAGUGGACGCAAAGAUUCUUAACAUCUCAAGUGGCGGUAAGCUGUUCAAACGAUCAAACCAUUCACGUUCAGAACAUGCUCCAUGACCUUGUCGUGGUUGUGAUGGGGUAGGCUUAACCAAACGAUGGAUCUUCCCCGUAGCCUCUUUGGUUAAUGUUCCCAAGUCUUUGAUCUUGAACAAGAAAACGGACACAAAAACACAUUGAUCCUUAUUGUAAUUACACAACUUCUUGUCUUGUGACAAGAACAUCUCAAGAUCAGCAAGCCCUCGUACCAGAAACUCUUCCAUACCCUUGUCCACAAGAUCACUCGCUGCCUUGACAAGAAGAGCAAGAAGACCCUUCACCAUAUCCAAUCUCAUCUCAGAAUCCAAGACUUGGAUCCCAAGUUUCACAACAGCUUGCAAACCUAAACUCCAAUCUUCAACUCUGCCUUGUUGAUCACGCAUAAGCAACACCUUCUCUGCUAUCUCCACGAUCGUCCGGAAACAACUGUGGAUGAAUCUUCCGUACACUGGAGGCAAAUCCACGAAGACAUGCAAAGCCUUUAGAGGCUCUUCGGUGCUCGAGAGCUCGACGAUAAAACCGCUGAGCUCGUCCCACCCGCCGUUGUCAAGCAUCAUAACGUCGUGAGCGAUGACAGAGACGAUUCUUCUGAAGAGUUUGGUCUCGGCUUCUUGCGUAAUCCUCAAGCAAGAGAUCACAAGAGGUUUGAUUACGUAAAGAGCGACGAGAGAUAGGUCGAACCUGCGGUACUUAUAAGCGGCUAGGGUUUUUAAAAGGAGAAUGAUCGAUUUGGAUCUGAGGACGCCGUUGGAAGAAGAGGAACGGUACAUCUGUAGAAGCUUUAGGGUUAAGCAGUUAGCGAAGUUAUGAGUGCAGAAGAUGAAGAGAGGAAGCGCCGUUUGAUAUUCGGUGGUUUCUUGACACGUUGAGAGAUGAAUGACAAGACUCUCUAGACGUUCGUGGUUUGGAGUCGCAAGAAGCUCUCUUGCUUGCAGCAUGAGAUUCGGAGGUUCCUCCAUUACACGCCCCAUUGCACCUUUGUGCCGAUUCUCGAGAGCUUUUCUUCGUUCAAGAUGGUGGUGAGAUCAGGUAUAAAUAAGUAAGAUUUUGUUUGUUUAUUGGAUAAUUAUGUACAUGCAUGAAAAAAAAAAAAUUAUGUACAUGCAUGGUACAUACUACCCAGAGUUACUCCCAUUGUAUUCUAAAUUAUUUUAUCAUUAUUUAAAGAGUAAUCAUGACCCGCAAAAAUAUUCUUAACAAAAUUUAAUUUACAAUAUCAAUCGAUUUUAACAUUUUUUGAUGAGUAAUAUUUUAAUUUUUUAUUUUAGUGUAUUUAUGAAAAUACAAACAAAAUAAUCUACUAAUUUAAUUACUUUUUAUGUUAAAUAAUUUUUUUAAGUAUCUAAACCCACAGAAAUAAUUAUAUUUAUUUUCAACUUCUUAUAAAUAUUUAAAAGAAAAUAAAUAAAUAAAAUUAUUGGAAAGGUAUGAUCUAAUGUUUUAUAUUGUUUGAUCGCAAGAUUAAUUAUUGUGUUGUUUGUAAACACAUUUAGUAGUAUAAUGUUAUUUCUCAUAAUUAAAAUAGUGAAUCUAACUAUAUAGUAGAAAGUUGUAUUUAAUUUAAGAAUUAGAAAAAGAAAGGUUGGGUCCAUAAGAAUGAUUAUGUUUUAAUAAUAAAGAUUAGCAGAUUUAUAAUUUUAAGAAAUUAAUGAUUUUUAAAGCUAAUAAAUAAUUUUAAUUAUUAUUUGUAAAUCUAGGUUUUCCUCAAAUUUAUAUUUUAACAUAUGAAUUUUAUCAAUCUAAUAAAACUAUUUUAAAUCAAAUCUAUGAAUAAAUAUAUAUGAGUAAUAAUACCAUAUUUCAACUGAUAUUUAAAAAUCACCAAUUAUAUAACACAGGAUUUUUUUUUUUUUGCAAACAUUUUUCGUUUUAAUUUUUAAAUCCACUAAACCAAUAACCCAAAAUCAAACUACUAUUCUUUUUUUUUUUUUUUUGAAACACAACCAAACUACUAUUCAUUGGUUUGGUAUAUAGUUGUAUCUUACAAUACUAAAAGGGGAAUAUGAAGUCCUCUGAGCUAUGCCACGUCAUUAAAAAUAAUCAACGAAUAAAAAAGCUUUUAGUGGCCACGUCAGAUUAUUGUUUACUCGACACAAACUUUUCACGGGCUAAUUAUGUGGGCUGAUAAUAUUGAGAACUGGUCCAUUUUUAAAAGUGAAACCUAUCUUCUCGCCGGUGACUUACUACCAUCGUCUCAUGGUCUGCCUCCAACUCCUGGCAGUUACUAUCGAUUCUGAUGCCCCUCAAAGAGCCAUAAAGCUUAUCACUUUACUGUAGAAAUCCAAUCGGCCUAAAUUUAUUUCAAUCUCAUCAUCUCCCUCCCAUAAAAUAAAUUGAUGAAUUUGAACACAAAGGCCAAAAUCAUCUAACAAUACUAAAAGCAGGAUAUCAAGUCUUUUUAGCUAUGCCACAUAGGAUCAGAAAAUCAGCCAAUCAUAUCCCCGAGACUGUCCACGUCAGCAGUCGGUGGGAUCCACUUAUUUGAAUUUUUUUCCUACGAUGAUUUUGUGUUACUCGAGCAGCAUCUUAUAUCAAAUGGGCUUGAUAAUAACGAGUUUUGUGAGACGUAAAAUGGGCUUCGUAUCAAAUAGUAAAAGAAUGGCCCAGAUGACUUAUUUGGUUGGUCAACUUUCUCCUCCAUGGAAAUCUAGGGUUUCUAUCACCCGAUUCAGAUUCUUCGAUCUCCGUGACUCUUUGUGUUUCUAUGGAGCAGUCUGGCUUUCCCAAGCGCUACAUCUCCCCCUAUUUACCCUGUUCAUCAUUAAAGUUUCUAAUCGUUACAUCUUCGUUCUUCGUCCCUAUAUAUACUUCAUGUUAAGCGCUUGAACCAUGCAUCUCAAAUACACUCAUCGAUUUAUCUACUCGGCCCAGAUUGUAACAACUACUCGAAAAUUAAACUAGAGAAAGAAGAAGGUGACGGGAGGUGUAGACUCACGGUAUGACCGUAAAGGAUGAAGACGUAGAAUAGUGCCAUAUCGGCGCAUGACACACCGCUGCGGGCAUCGAGAUGUUUUCUCCAUUGCAAUAAACACUGUAUCAGGUUAAGCCAGACAUAAUUCGUAUUUGAAAGUUACUAUUUUUGAAAUUUGAUGUUUUAUUAAACUGUUUCUUAUAUUUCUUCUGUGUAGGCUGAUCCUUAAACAGAAGCUAAUAGACAGAAAGCCAGCUCGACAUGGCACUUUUUCUGUAACCUUCACGUAUGCCAGUUUUAUUUUUUUAACUGAGAAAUUUUGCAUUUUAUUUUUUUCGGCUCAUCGUGAACCAACCUAAUAAGAAGGGAACCAUGGCAAUCAGCAUAAUCCAGAUCAAGUGAGAGCACCAUAAGAUGCCAAAAGGUGUGCGUGGAAAUUGAUUUGUUUUCCCAGUUUGGAACUAAUCUAUUUUUUCUGUGGGAUAGGUUGAUGGGUACGACGACUCUGUUCUGAUGGCUAGAACGAAGUUAUUUGGUUGCUAGCACAAACAGAGGCUGUAAGGCUAUGUACGUCUCAGGCGGAGCUACCAGUACGGUUCUCAAGGAUGGAACGGGAAUGACAAGAGCACCUGUUGUGUCGUGCUAACGUGCUACAGAACUUGAGUCUUCCUUGGAGAAUCCAGAUCACUUUGAAACUUUGGCUGUCGUUUUCAACACGUCUACCAAGAUGUAAACUUUCUUUAUGUUUGUGGAGUGGGUUGAUUCGAGAUCGAAACUUUUGGGAAUAGGCAAAGAAACACGCAUGGAGGUGUUGGGAAUGAAGUCAAGGAGAGUAGCGACAAUAGUGGCAUGAGCAGUUUAGCCUGAGAGAUAUCUCUAAUAUCAGCAAUUGCAGUUGGUCAACUUACAAGCAGUUACAUGAAAUACAAUAGAUAUCUCUGGAGCAACUACAUGGACAGCAAUAACGUUAUCCGAAACUUGAACUUUCAAAAAGAUUGAGCACAAAGAGUUUAAGUUUGUACCUUUUAUCUUUUCAAGAAGUUGGAGGAAGCAAGAGCAUACAUCUAUCGUCUUCCAAAACCAACACAAAAAGCAGCUAAAUUUUGAUUAUGUAUGUUAUUCAUAAUACAUAUUAAAAUCUAAUAAUCCCGGAACAUAUAAUUAUUCUUGGCCUUUUGUGAUUGUGGCACAACCCAAUAUGUGCACAAAAAUAUGUAAAAAGGUUAGUGAUUUAAAUAGAUUAUGGAACAAGUUUAUUGAAAAGUAAACAAAGUCACUAUUUUUAAUGUUUUAUCAAAGCAAGGUCAACCAUAAUGAAAAAACAAGUGAAUCGAAGAGUUUUUCCGUCUCUUUAAUCAUCAAACUGAAGUUAAGGAAAACUAAUAAUAUACUGAGAAAACACAACAUAUAAUUUACUUAUAAUCAAAAUAAAUGGUAAAAAUUAUAACCAAAUAUAACAAAAAAAUAAUAAUAGUAGACAUUAGAAAAUAGGAAAAAUUAGUUUCAUGAUAUAAACAAUAGACUAAGGUAUUUUUCUAAGUAAAUGUAACUUAAAAACAAACCGACAAUGGAAAUAUAAGAAACAUAAAUAAAAGUAAAUGACUGAGAAUUAAACAAAAAUAUCAAAAGAUUUAUUCUAAUAAAAUAAAAUAAAACAUAUCAUCGUUAAAAUCACUCAACAGUAAAUUGUAACAAGAUUAUAAAACUAAUAUUGAAUAUCCUAACAUCAAACAUUUAAAAUCAGAAAGAAUGAUAAAGUAAAAACAAACAAUCAAGAAAAUAAUAAUUCAUAGAUAAUACUGGUUAAAUAGUGUUCAGAAAUAGAUAUGUCAAUUAAGGCUGAAGUCCAUAGUGCGAGUUCGCCUAGCCUUAAAAAUUAUUAGUCUUGAGCUUAACUUUAUAAGUCCAAAAAACUGUACUUUUCGACCCAAACUCAUGUGGACCUGAGUCCGUUUGAGCUAGAACUGACCCGAAUACCCAAAACUUUAAAUUUUAGUUUAAAUAUUAUUAAUUUUGGAAUCAAAACUAUUAUUAGUAUUGACAUAUUAUUUUAAUAUUUUUAAUCCAAACUCUACUAAAACAAAGAUAAAAGUAAUAUUUUGUAACGUCAAAAUAAUAAAUGACUAAAAAUAUAUUAUGUUAAUAAAAUAGAUUUUAGAUUUUAAAGACUUCUAAUUCAUGUAAUAUUACAAAAUUUAAAAAAGAUUUAUUACAAUUAAUAUUUUACCAUUUGAUAUAUUAAAAUAAUAUUAUAGAUCGAUAUUCAAUUGUCAGUUUUCAACUAUUACACUUAAAAAAAUAUUAUUAAGUACGCUUUUUUUUUUAAAAAAGAGGGUUUUAUAUUUUAAAUAGGUUAUUGGAGUAUUUUUUAUUUUUGUGAAUUUAUUUGAGAUGAGAUUCCGAUUUUUAAACUAAGAUAAUUUAUGUUUUAUACAUAAUUAUAUAUUUUUUAAAUAACUCUAAAAUCUCGAACUAGAUUUUUAUAUUUUAUUAGUUAAUUGUGUUACAUAUAAUAGAAAUACUUACUUCAAACUAAAAAUAUAAAAAAAAAUUAAAAUUUUUUAGUUAUAAAUAAUUUAAUAUACAAAAAUUCACAUAUAAAUAAAAAUGAUAUAAUGUAACAAAUUUAAAUAUAUUAUCCGCGCGUAGCGCGGAGAAAGGAUCUAGUUCAUUUAAAACUUGUAUCAGUUUCCAUAUGAAUUUUUCCCGUUUAGUUUUUUUUUUUCUAAAGGAAGAAAAUUUGAAAUCAUAAGUAAAAGAAAAACUAAAACUCAAAAUAAAUCCAUUAUUAUACAUCGAGAAUACACACAAACAACAUAAGCAAACCAACACUCACUCCACACUGAAACCAAUGAGAUCAACACACAAAGAAAACAAACACAACCAUGAUUACAUAUGUGCACAAUAGCCAUCUCUCCCCCAAGAUGAAACCUCUGAGACACACUAGAGAACUCAACCUUGUACAAGUUUAGGACUUAGCCCUCUUGCCUUCCUAGUCUUCCCUACAAAUAAAUCCUUGGACUUGAUCAAACCAGGGAGGCAACCAACCACCGUCACAAACGGAAACUGAGCCACCGAGUCUUUCCUUCCUAAAGACACAAUAGCAAUCUCUGGCCCUGGCUUGUACGUCGACAACCUCUUCCUUUUCCCGCCAGACAUCAUCACUUUAAUGUUCUUCACAGCCACAUUAGCAUGACUCUCCGCUAUAUAUCCUUGCUUCAUCUCCUGUCAUUACAAAAAUCACAAAAAUCAAAACAAGAUACUAACUAUGUCUUCAUGAUACAAUGCACUUACCGGAAUAUUAGUGAUAUCUCCAAUGGCGAAUACAUUCUUUCGAUCCUUAACCCGCAAAUGCUCAUCGACCAUGACCCUUCCUUUACCAUCCAAGCUAUCUUUCAAAACGGUUCCACUCAGCCACUGAGAAGACAGAGGCUUCCCAACACAGAGGAAAUGACAAUCUGCGUGUAUAGUCUCUCCUCCUGAAGUACGGUAUGUUUUGUUUCCCUCUGAAGCUGAACUCAAAUCCACGGACUGGUUCAGUAUCACUUCCACUUUCUUUGAUUCUAACCAGUCAAAUGCUUUGUCAGCAGCCUUUUCUCCGACAAACUCGAGUAGUCUUGGUCCUUUGUGCACCAGCGUGACUUUCUUCUCCGGAAAGUCAACUGCGAUCUCAGCAGCUAGCUCCACACCCGACGGUCCUCCACCGACGAUCAGAACUGAUUGGGAAGAUACGAUCUUCUCAUAUUCUGUAACCAAAAACAAGAUCAGUUGUUGCUAAAGAGUUGCGGGCCCUGAGAUUUUGGAGGCCGUAGGUAAUGUAUUAAAGAAUUUAAUAAAAAAUUUUUUACAAAUUUGAAAAUUUUAUGUCUAUGUAUUUUUUUUCAAAAAAAUUAGAGACCAUAGGCCAAUGUUUCAUUUGGCUUUGACCAAGAUCCGACCUGGACAAAACCUAGCUUGUGUCUUAAGUUUCUGACAAGCAUGAUGAUUCAUGUCUUUACCUGUUUGGUACUGUGAGAGCUUCUCUUGUCUGGUUUUGGGGAGCAAGUCGUUGUGACCCGUAGCGAUCACUAGAUAAUCAUAUCCAAUCACAGCUCCGUCUUUAGUCGUUACAUCAGUCUCCGUGAUGUUGAUCGCCGGAGAAGUAACAACACGGCCUUUCUUGAAGUAGUUCUUGUGGUUGAUAACUGUUCUUUCAGCAAAUGAAGGCUCCACCAUAGAUCUCAAGCUCGCCCAUGUGAUCUCAAAGUACUCCUUCCUGGUUUUUUACAAGAUUUGAGCUCCUGACGAUGAUCUGAGCUUAAGAUACUGAAAGAAAAAAGAACUUACGGGUCUAUGAGGGUGACGUCAGCAUCGUCCUGAAGCAGUUUUGCGGCGAGGGAGCCGGCGACUCCGCCGCCGAUCACCACCACCCUCUUUCCUUGUUUAGACGUAGAUACUAUCCCUGCCAUUUUAGUGAUUUAGGCUCCAAUUAAAAUCGAAACAAUGAAGGUUUUGUAUUUUCGAAUAAUGUUUUCUUUGUUCUUGGAAAUGGAAUCCAAGAUUGAAUAUAUAUAUAUACAAAGAGAGUAGAAAGAUUGUCAGAGAGGAAAAGGGAUUUGUGAUUGACGUGUUUAGUGACUUCAGAUACCUCUGUAGAAUCUCACUUUGGAGCUUCCUUUGUGCUUACAUCAUCGAAUACUUCAGUGGCGGCUGAACAACGUCUUUUCAAUUUUCCUUCCUGAUGGAAACUUCGGCCUUUCAGUUUAGCAUAUUGGGCCGAGAACAUAGCUAUCCAUUCUUAUAUGGGCCGAUAACAAAGCUAAAGGACUUUCAUGUAAUUAUCUGAUGCCCAAUAUCCCCUACUUAAUCAUAGAAAUACAUAUAAUCAUUUGUUGAUAGUGAAUCAAUUAACAUUCACAUUUUACUCCAUCAAUAAGUUAAUAGGCAUCUAAAUCUUCCAUAAGUCGUUCAAAAAUAUUCUACAGAUCGUUGUCAUAUUGAGAUAACAAUUAAGAAAAAGUGUGAUAGUAAAUUUUAUAUCAAAUAAGUAUAAAAAGGUAUUUUAAAUAAAUAUAAAAAUGUAAUAAACCUUAAAAUUAUUGGCUGCAAUUCAGAAGAGGAAUGAUAGAUAUUGUUAUGCGAUCUAUAAUGAAUGUAAAUAGGACAAUUCAAUCAUUUAGCUAUAAAUAUUGCCAACCAGAACAAUUUAAUCAUGUCAAAAACAUAUAUCUCAUAUGGUACAUCAGAUCAUCUGUUUCUUAAUUUGUUGAAAAAAAUUAACUAAUAUUUACAUUAGAACCGAAUUCAAACGAAAACACACAUUGCUCCCAUUUCACAUAAUAAAUAUCCCUCAGAAACUCCACUACAGUUUAGGUUAAUCUCUUCACCCACCAAACAAACAAAUCUUUUUUUAACAAAACACUGAACGCACCCAAACGCUACAAUGGCGGAGAAGGAGAAAAAGUGCGAGAUCGACUACAGCAAAUAUGUGGACGCAGCGACAAAACGCAUAGUAUACGGAUGUAUAGGCCUAGUCGUUACGGUUGCGGUUGUGGUUUUCUUGGUAUGGGCCAUACUACACCCACACAAAAUGGAUUUUGUCCUACAAGACGUUACCAUUUACGAGUUCAACAUCUCACAGCCAAAUCUGCUAACUUCAAAUCUCCAAGUCACACUCUCUUCUCACAACCCAAACGACAAGAUCGGAAUUUUGUACGAACGCCUAGACAUCUAUGCCUCGUACCGCAACCAAGAGGUAUCGUUUUGCGUUUUACUGCAAUUGUUUGUGUGAAAUGUGUUAUCCAUUGACCAGUAAUAUUUUAACGUUUAUACCGCAAAACAUUACACAUCUUAAUGUAUUGUCUAAACAAUAUUUAAGAACCAUUUUCUUAACAAAUGUUUUGAUAAUUUGAUUCACCUUUUACUUGUCCCAUUGAUUAAUUAGGUGACUUUGGCGCAUCUAUUGCCGGAAACGUAUCAAGGACAUCUGGAAGUAACGGUGUGGUCGCCGGUUCUGACUGGAACGGCCGUGUCAGUGGAACCUUACCUGACUCCAGCACUAAACGAAGACAUAAACGCCGGGAUGGUGCUUCUAAACAUCAAGAUCGACGGUUGCGUUAAGUGGAAAGUGGGCACGUGGGUAUCUGAAUGUUAUCGACUCCUUGUCAAUUGUCCGGCGUCCAUUCCAUUCUCCGGUCAGUUAGCAGGUACCGGUCCGGCGAUCAAGGACCAGCUUGCUCAGCAAUGUGCUGUUGACGUAUGAAAAACAAAACUUCAUUGUUUUGAUAAGGGGUUGUUCAUUACAUUUUAAGCUUGAAAUAUUUUUUGUCUUGUAAACUUGAAUGUGGGCUUCCCGGUUAUUAUUUUAAAAGUUGUUUUAUUUUAUUUUUAGCUUUAUAAAUGAUUUAUUUUAAUUUAUAUUUUAAAUUUGCAGAAAUUAUUAGUUUUUUUUAUGAGAUGAGCACACUAUAUCACAUAUUAUAUUAUUACUGUUAGAUUGCAUAUUUUACUGUUUUAUAUAAAAAUUGAUAAAACGAGUUUGUAGAUUUUUUAUAAGUAAACGAGUUUGUAGUUAAUUAUAUACCACAGUCAAAUAUUAUUAUUACUGUUUUAUAACUCAUUAACAGCAAAAACUAUGAUUAUGUUUGAAUUUGUGUAGAGACUUUUGGUAUAAAAAAUAUUAUUACUGUUUGGUCUAGAUAAAAUUUGAUUAAGAUCUACUUUGAAUGAUUUCAUUUUGGUAUGAAUCCUUUUAUAAGAAAGUUAAGGGAAACACCAGAACACAAGAGGGUAGUUAUUAGUUCCAAAUGAUAGCAUGACGUGCACAAUAACUUUAACUUCACCGAAUCAUAUCGAAAUAUUUUUCUUACAGAAAAGAGAAAAAAUCCAUCAAAAUUGUGCAUUUCCCAAGCAAGGAGCAAUGCUGAAUCUUCAAGUUAAGUUUUAAAAAAAAGAAGUUCCUCUUUAAACAAACCUUUUCCACACCAACACCCUCCUCACUCAAUAAUCUCAACUUCUUUUCCCUUCCUCUCUUUUUUUAAAAAAUGCCUUUGAAGAAGAAGAUGAAAUAUACACUCAAAACCAUACUCAAGCCCAUUUUCAUGCCCUGUGGUUGCGGCUCCACCGUCCCGCCUCCAUCUCACAGCCACUACACCCCAGGACUACCGGUUUCUCCCACGGUGUUACGCAGCCCAUGUCCUAAGAUUGAUGAGAGCGUCGCAAUGGCUAAGGAAUCAUCCAAUCCAUUCGAAGAUUACAAGAUGUCUAUGAAUCAGAUGAUCAAGGAGAGAGAUAUUAAAACAGAUGAUGAUCUUAAGGAGCUUCUUAGGUGUUUCCUGGACAUAAACCCUCCUCCUCAACACAAUCUCAUCGUCCGGGCUUUUGUGGACGUCUGUUCAGUUCUUGGGCCACCACACGACCGCCGUGGAAACUCACUUGGCAGAUUGCUUCGUCUUUAUGUUAAUCCUGUUGAUGAUAAUGAUGAUAACUCACACCAAACCUCUUCAUUUAAGAUGAGAAACGGAUCCCCAUGAAUGUGUCAUGUGUGUUACAAUAUUGUGAAUAAUUUGAUUUUAUUUUAGUUCUCUUUACUAUAUACAGUAUGUUUUAUGAUUCCAUCAUGCAAGAUUAUAUGUGAACCAUUUAAGAAAUAUAUAAAAAUCAAAGAUGUGAAUUAUGGUUUCCAGUUUUAGACGAGGAUGAGUAAAUUAUGAUUUACAAUUUUCCUUCUGAUUUCAAAGUUAUACCUUAAAGGAUGUGUUAACAAAUAUUCGGGUUUCAAUACGAUUUUCUUACAUAAUAUAUUUGAACUAACUUAUAGGAUAUCUGUAACUUAAUAAAACAACCUUGAAAGUUUAAUUUGGUUUGGUUAAAACUCAGUUGAUAUAUGAAUAAUUGAAAUAAAACUAUAUAUAUAUAUAUAAUUAUAAAUCCAGUUAUAGAAAUAUUUAAAAAGAAUUAUUAUUUAAAUAUAUGAUCUUCAAUAAAAUACUUUAAAACAAUUCAAAAUUGAUUAUAUCACAUCAUUUUCCAUUGUUUUUUGUUAAACUAUAUUAUCAUAAAUUAUUUUCAUCAUUUAGGUGGGUCCAUAUUUGGUAAAAACUAAAACCAUAGAAACUCGAAUAUCGUAUAUAUUAUGGUUUAAGUUUCUGGUCGGUGUUACAAAAAAAAAGUUUCUGGUCAAUUUAUUUUCUGUUGUGAUGAUUCAUAAUUUCAUAUAUGUUGCUGACUCUGAAGAAACGAGGAUGAAUAAAAAGAAUUUUCAUUUUCUACUGUAUAAUUAAAUCCCCAAGCCGAAUUUUUUUUUCUUUAAAAAACCUCUAAACCGUACAAAACCCCGGCAUGCUUCUCCGGCCCAUCCUUCACAAAAUACAAAUCCCUCAUCCUACGAAACGCCUGCCACGUCAGCAAGCUAUCCGAACCGGCCUGAUGACAUUUCCCAACCUCCCGGUUUACCUCAAGCGAUCUAGCCACCCGGUCCAAACCGCCAAACAACCUCCGCUCGCAGAACCUCAUCAUAUGCUUCACGUCGUACACUCUCUCCCCAAAAAACGCCCUGAGCAGCCGUAGAAACUCCCCCAACGACCCCGGAAGCUCCCGGCGCGUGAGGAUCUUCACGAGGUAACCGAAAUCGUACGCGCUGUGAAACGUCACCCAGCUCACCGACUCGUUGCAGAUCAGCCCCGACGACACCAUCAGCUCCGCGAACCUCUUCGCCUCGACGCCGUCGCUGCGGUUGCGGUCGAAAUCGAUCCCGUGGCGGCGGAGGAGCUCGAUCGAGUCCGGCGCGUGGGGGUCGCGGUCGACGUCGAAGUCGCGGAAGUUGAACUCCCAGAUGAAUCGGCUCCCUCCGCCGCCGCCGCCGAGAUCGGGGAGGUUUCCGUCGGCGUCGGAGAGAGUGAGACCGACCUGGAUGAGGCUGAGAGCGUCGACGUUGGAUUUGAGAAGCUUGUAGAGGUAACCAGGGUUUAGACGGCGGAGAUCCGCCUUGUAAAUCACGCCGGGAAACUCCGUGUCCAUGGAGAUGAACGGAUAGUCUUCGACGAUCCCGCUGAUCAGCUCGAACUCAGAUUCUAGAUUAUCCGCCCAGACCUCACGAACCACCACUGAAGGAGUGAUCAUCGUUAUCGAUUCAAAGUCUCUUCUUCGUCUUUAGAUUUAUUAUUUGUUUCUAAUUUUGACAUGUGCAGAUUUUGAGGUAUAUAUAGGUGUUUUGUGGAAAAGAAAAGUGAAGUGAAGAGUUACGAGGAAAGGAGAGACGUGAAGAGAGGAGGAAGUGGUGGUAGAGUGUGAGAAACGCGUCGUGGAGAUUGCUUUGACUCUCAGGGUUGUUGUUACAAAUGCAACUUCUGUGUUUAGACUCGGUCCAAGCUGGCUGCUUUUGUAUCCCCCAAUCAUUGUAUCUGCACAUCCAAGUCGUUAUUAAUUUAAUGAAUGAAAUACAUCUCAUCUCCAUUAGUUAGUAUAAUACAAGGGAUUAUAUAUGUUAGAUUGUCUGUGCGGUCAAGGUUACAAACAAUGAAUAUCUAACGUAUUUUAAGAUUACAUUUUGAAGAAAAGGUUACGUUUGGUCCAAAAAGCUGGAUAAUUGAUUAGGAAAAGGUAACGUUUGGUCCUAAAAGCUGGAUAAAGUACAAAAUACGAAACUACUCUAUGUACGCUAAGUAUAUUUUAUGAAGUACAAAUACAAAUGUGUAAUACUAAUAUGUUUUGUGAUUAUGGUUUUUCUUUCCAUGAAUAGGGGUUUUGUUGGUAAAUUUACAUAUUAAUAAGUAUAUUUCCUUCUUUGGUAUUUUCCCAAAUAAACACACGUUGAAGUAUACAGUUAUUUUUAAGAAGUAGAUAGAAGUAAGUUUUAUAACAUGAAUGAUUUAAGGCAAAAAAGAGUAGAGGAAUAAGAUGUUGGUCACAACUUUGAAAAAGAAAAAUGCGAGGAACUUCUCAUUGUGUUGAACACCAAGUCACCAACACACCUUGUGUGUUGCCAUACUUCACUUAUAUCACAACACACCAUCCUCUCUCCAUCUUCAAUCCUCUUAUCCUUCUUCUUAUUAUCUUCUUCAUCAUAAUAUUUCAUCACAUAGUGUUCAUAAUCAUUCCCACACUUCCAUCUAACACCAAUCUUUUGUUCCCAUUCAAUGUCAUUUCAUGGACCCUUGUAAUAUUCUCCUUUGACCAUCCACCAUAUGAUAUAUACAUCACGUGAACAUUUGACACAUACAAAGAUAAAUUAAAGAGUGGGAAUUUUUAAUCUUAGUACGUAUACUUGGCCUUUAAACCAGCGCAGAGGCGAUCCCACAACUCCAUGACUUGAUGACCGGUUAAGACGGAACCAGACUCGAUGCCAUUGAUAGAGAGCAAGUGGCCGAAUCCGUUGGAGUGGAAAAAAACAGUGAAGGACGUGGCCUUGAAGCUCCACGAUAUGGGAUACACUUUCCUUUUCGGGAAAGGCGCAGCCGCCGCCUUCGAGUUUUAGAAAGGCGGCCAUUGUUUCCUUUGAGGGGAUCACGAAAUGGUACUUCUUGUUUGCAUUUCAAUUGGUUUCCCCAACCUGUUAGGUUCCAUAAGUGAUAAAUGAAGGCAUAAUUUAUUAUUUUGAUUUAUAUAUAACAUGUAAAAUAUUAGAAAAGCGCUGCUUCUCAAUCUAAAAUUUUCAACCUUUUGACAAACUCAUUGAACAAUAGUCACAUUUGUUGUUAAAAUGUUUUUUGGGAUGCAUAAAUUUGACAUUCUUUUUAAAAAACGUGUACAUGUAUAUUCUAAAUCCAUACCUUCAGCUAAAUUUGGCAUAUGAAAUUAAUUUUAUAAAAACCUUUUAACCGUUUUAGUUUUCAACACUUGGAUCACCAUAUCAUUUUUCUAGCUUGUUAUAUUUGUUCAUCGAUACGGAAAGAAAAAUUUUUACAUGUUGAGCAUCAUCAGUUUUUUAUUGCUAAGUUAUGAUCGGUGAUCAUAUAUUCAUAUCUACGGAUGUAUUAGCAUGCUUAUAUAUAUAUAAUAUGUAUAGAAAUGAAAAAGAUGUAAACUUAUAUAUAUAUAUAUAGUGACAGAAAUGAAGAGAAAAAGAGAGAGGACGUCACCAACAUAUUGGCAAUGGUUGCCACGGAGAUUUCGAUUUCGAUUCACAUGUAAGUAUGCAACAUAGCGUAGCUGCAUACUUCUUCAAACUUUGGGCGAUUUUUAAACUCAUUAGAUUAGGUUUUUACUUUUUACGGAGUGAUGGGGAAGUAUAUGAAUGUAACUUGUGGCGACUAGAAAAUAAAAGAGCCGAUAACCUCUUGGUUCAUGGAAAUCUUUUGUAUUGGGCCUUGUCAUAAUUACUAUUAAACUCACUGAAACUAUGGAUAAAAGAACACAAGAGACUCAAAAGAAGUUGGUGUCUCUAAUCGAUUGGUGACCACACAAAGGAAUAUGGAUAAAGAAAAUACUCAAUGAAAGGAAAUCAUAUAAAGAAAUCACUAAUAUGUUAUUUUGUCUAACUUUUUGAUUGGAAGAAGUAAAAUCUUUGCCAACCAUGUCUUAAAUUUUAUUAAAAAACCAGGAUAAAGUAUAAAGUAAUCGUUGAUACUAUUUUUAUUAAGAUUAGUUAGGUUUGAGCCCACCAUCUCUCUGAUUAACAAAAAAAAUAGUGUUAAAAACUUUAUGAAAAACUCAAAUUUUUGCUAAUUUAUGCGAUUGAAAAAAAAGGGGUAGUAGACUAGUAGAAAAGUAAUACGUGUUGUUUCUUCUGAUAGUUUGGAAAGGAACGAAACACACGUAAUGCUGAACCCGACAUUAAUGUGAAAACCAACAUGCAUUUUUAUAGUAAGUUUAGGUGAAGUUUUUUCACAUUCAUAAUAAGAACAACUCUUCUUCAAGAUUUUUUAGACAUUUAAUAUGUUGGUUCAACAACUUUGGAAACAAGUAAACCAAACCUAUUUAUUAUUUGAUGUAUGAUGUGUGUAUAUAUCUAAAUGACUAUAUCUGCAUAUAGUUAUCUUUUAAAGCUAGAGUUGCUAAGUGCACAUGAAGGAAAAGAGAAAAGUCAUUGUUCCACAUUUUUCAUAUUAAACACGUAGUUAUGUCACGUACAAGUACAUUGAACUUACAACAAGUCAACAACAACUAAUUUUCCUUUUAUAAAAUUAUUAGGGUCCAAAUUAUUGUUCGUUGCAAUUGUCAGGAAAUAUCAAGUACCCAAAAAGGAAUAUUAUCAUUGUUUUGAAGAGUAUAUGCGUCCGUCAUUAAUAUCCAUAAUUUCAUCGCUAAAAACAUUUUUAUUUUGCUAAAAACCGCUAUAAGAAACAAGUUUAUAAUGGUUAUCGACGUAAUCACCUGUUGAAAAGUAAUGAAUAAUACAAUUCUUGGAAAACAAAUGUGUCUAUAUAUAUUUAUGUUUUAUGAACACAUCCUUGCGUCGUAUAAUUUUAACUAUCAAUAUAUGUGGCAACAAAACAAGAAAAGAAAAACAAAGGAAAGAACAUUUUUAAUUGGCUUUUUAUUAAUCACUACUCUUCUUGCUACAGUUUCCUGUGAGAAAAUCAAGCAAAACUUGGCUGUUGCAUCUAGGGCAUCUAGGGUUACUCUCCAAAGACAUGAUGAUGUACAUGAUGCAGUUAGGACAACCAACAACCACAGCGUCUCCUCCUCCACCUCCAGUUUCUUCCGAGCAUAACGAUGAAGAUGGACUCUCUCUGGGCAAAGAUGAAUCCAGUAUAUUUAGUUUCAGAUCAAGUCCAAGUGUACUCGCAGCUUCUUGUUGAUUCAUGUUUCUUGCCUUCCAAGAAUAAUAUAGGAACCUGAAUAAAAACACAAUAAAAUUAAAAUCAAUGCUUGCGUCAGAAAAAAAUUGCGACGGAGGUUGAGAGGGUAUAUAAAACAUGUACAUAUAUAUCAUGAAAACUAAAACACAGUAGAAUUGAUCAAUCGGAUGACUAAUUUGUCUAUCAAUCAAAAAGUGAAGACCAAAAUAACAAUAUUUCAGCAAAAUUACUUGAAUCUAUGUUCAAAGUAAGCUCACCUUGGUGAACCUAUUGUUCUUGUUUUUGUUCUCGAGAGUUAACGAAGAAAGUUUGAGGUCUUCAUGUUAUUGGCUGUUGUUAUAUAUAGGCAGAUAGACACACAAGAUGAGAGAGGGUUUCAUUGAAUGCAUAUUAAUUAGUAAGUAGGAUUAGUUUUAUCUAUCUAUCAAAAUAAAUACUCAUGAGAUUUUUUUUUUCUUUUGUAAAAAUGAGAUGUUUCUAACAAUAAAUGUAUUUGAAAAAUAUUACUAAAGAGAUGGAGUAUAUGACUUGGCCUUUGAAAUUGCAUUUAUUACCAAAUAGUAUUUGGAUAAAUACAAACGAGAUACUUUGUCUUGUUUCAUACUAUUUUUAAUCAUGAAAAUUCAAAUUCAAAUUGAGAGAGGAAAAGACCAUUUAUUUCGAACUUGUAAUUCUCCAAUGUAUUUUGCUAUUUUCACCUCUAAAAUAGAGGAACUCUAUAAUAGAGGUGAGAUAUGCUCCAAUGUAUUUUUCUAUAAUAACAAUUUUCAAUUAUAUAGUAAAAAAUAAAGGAAUGCUAUUUCUUCCUCUAUUUAUAGAGGAAAAUAUAGAGAUCUCUAUUAUAGAGGAAGAAAUAUAGGUGGUUUGGAGCAAUUUCACCUUUAAAUGCUAUUAUAGAGGUGAAAAUAGCAAUGUGUUGGAGAUGCUCUAAGGUAAUAAUGUAGCUAAAUAGGUGUGACAAAACAAAUGCAAGUUAUAUGGGUAGGUGAUAUACUGAUAUGUAAGAUGCUAGUAUAACCUUCUUUUUUUUUUGAUCAAACUAGUAUAACCUUCAAAAUGAUUUGUUUUUCUUACAAAUAAAUAUUCUUAGAUGAUGAUUUUUCAAAGAACAUUUCAAAGUAUCGCAUCAAACAAUUGUUGAAAAUUGAUUAAUAUUGGUGAAUGUGAAUUUGGACCGCUAGACGCACGGCCAACAAUGAUGGAGUGUUGUGGUUGGUGAGAUUUAGGCUCUGACUGAUGGAAUCAUGAAUCAUAAAACAAAAUUUUCAAAUAGAAUGGAAGAAUCAUAUGACAUAAGAUUGUCUUUGUCAUCUUAGACUUUUGUUACCCUGAUUCAAAGUAAAACCUAACAACAAAACCAAACUUUGACUCUACAAAGGCACACAUGUAUAAGAUUAUGUCAAUAGUCAUGUGUGUAUAUGCUUUGCUAAUAAUAGCAUCAAACCAUAUAAAAGGAUUAUUACAAGUACCCUAACCCUCAAAUUUCAUUACACACUCGAAUAUUUCAACCUUAAUUAAGACAAUCCUACUAAUCAAAUCAUCAGCGCAAAAGAAAUAAAAUACAACAGUUGGAGCUUGGAAAUUUUAAGAUUGCUUCCCCACAGCUUUUACGUACCAUUUGGGUCCAAACUAGUCUUCCACAAUGGGUUUCCUCUCGAGCUCAAUAAACUCCUUGUUGAGAUGGGAGGUUUCAGUGGCGUUUUGUGUCUCGUUCUCUCCUCUGCAUCGCAGUAACUGCAUUUGAAGACUUCGUACAAGGUCAUUUAGCCUCUGAAUAUGUCUCUCUUGUGACAAGAUGAUCUGUAUCGAUCAACACAACAAGAAGAAAAACAAAACAACUGUUAGAAUGUAAAAGUCUUUGCAUCUUAGUGAAAAAUAGGACAAGCUGUAAGGUAUAUUCAGGUUCAAAAGUAGGCUCGAAACAUAGACAACUAGAAUCUAUGUUGUUUUUCUCCAAUAAUCUCAUGCAAUCAAAGAAAGCUCAAACCAAUUUUUUAUAAUGCAGUAUAAAGAAUGCUUUAUCAGUCACCAAUGGCCUCAGGACAUAUUCUCAAAAAGAGGAAAAGUAUAAAGAAAUGAGAUUCAAUUCUUUAUAAGAAAAACUAACUGUGCACAAAAUUAUAAGGUAAGAGACUCUAUGCAUGUCUCUUGUUAAAUGUAACACUAGUCUCCAUAAGUUAAGAAUCAAUGAGUACCUUCUCUUUGACAGCUUCUUCCCUCUUUGCAAUUUGCUGGUGUUUCUGAGACAGGCUAGAAGCAGCAUCAAGCUCAAGAAGCGGUUGCCUCCACUCAAACUGAGAGGUGACAAUGAGUAUAACUAGAAGAAAGACGAUCAUGAUCGGCCUCGACAUUUUUCUUUUAUUCUUAAUUUAGCUCCUACAAAACCUGUUCCAAGAUAACUCCAAUUACGCCACACAUCCAAGAACCAUCACACCUAAUCUAAAGGUCAAAACUUGAAGAGAUAAUGUGACUUUAAUUCACCUAUCCAAAAGUAGAAACAAUCUAAUUAAAAAAAAAAAGAUUAAAUCAAUCAAUGAAAUAAAAUCCAAAUAUAUAUGUUCAACAGGGAUCUCCAUAAUCUGCAACUAACUAAUAAUUAUCUACCAAUCAUCAACGAAGAGGUGACGAGACGGUUACGAUUGGCGCAGAACUUACAGAUCGAGAUUGAAGACUGAAACCAAACUUCAUUACCGGAUGACGCAGUGAAGUAGUUUGUUGUUUUGUGUUUCUCCAAAACGGAUUCGAGAGGAAAGAAACGCAAAGCAGAUAUUUUUUAACGGCGGCGGAGACAAAUCUACCGUCUUGAAUAGACGGAUAGAAUAGUACGGAAUUAACACAAAAAGACUAAUUUUACAAAAUUACCCCCACCAUUUUAUCUAUUUGUGUUUGUGAUUUAACACACCUAAUAUUAUUUAAACAUUUUUCGUAAUCAAAAACCAUUAAACAUUUACUACUUUAUUUUCAAAUCUUAUCUCUAUAACCUGACCUGAUCCAACAUUCAGGAUAACUAAUUUAAAGAAUGUUAAUAUUUUGUAGCUAAGAUGACUAAACAAGAGAAUCAAUCAACCUCUUGUGUUACCACUAAGUUACGAACAGUACUAUAGUAAGGAAACUAAACUGAAACAGGUUGUUUUUAAAAGAAAUAUAUUGAAUAAAAAGAAUGAUUUAUUUUGCAAAUUAUUUAUUUUUAAGUUUCAUUCCGAAAAUGAAAUGUUUGGAAUUGAUUUUAACAAGUUUUUAUUUGUAACCGGUAUAAAUUUCUGGGAUUCUAUAGAAUGAUGAAUGAUGCAUUCUGAUUGGUUGCAACAACUCAUCUCUCUGAUUCUCUGUCGGAAUAGUUAUGUGGUUCUUAUUCGUGCUCUGUUUUUUUAAGGUCGUUUACUUAAACUGAGUGUGUUUCUUUGUACGUUGUUUAUUGGUGUCUUCUGCCUUUCCUUUUUGUCUGAACCUCCAGCUCAGUUAAUCAAUAUUAUCAAGUGUGACAAAACCAGAUUUCGAUUUAACAUCAGUUCAAUAAACCGAACCAAAAAGAGACAUAUUUGAAGUUAAAACAUUUAAAUCCAUAAACAUAAACCGCCUACACAAAAAAAAAAAACUUCAGACAGGAUAUAUAUGUUCUUUUCUCAACAUCGAGAACAACACAUGACAUUGGUUCUUACUACAUUCCAUAGCCUUACUCUAGACAAAAGAACAUUACAAUGAGAGCCACUAAACAUAUAAUAACGUCCCAACGUGCCCUGUUUACAGUUUUGAUCGAGUAUAUCCCCACGAAGCAACUUGACAGUUGGUCUGUGCCACUGCUCCCUUUACAUUUCUUCUGCUCUGAUGGUCUUUCCUCUAACAGCGAAGCCAUCUGUUUGUCUAUCAUGCUUGGUAAAGGAAGCACCCUUAUAGCCUUUGAUGCUGAUUCAAGUGUUGGCACUUCGUUCGCUAAGUUCCCCGUGGUGACCGCUUCAUCAACAUUGAUGAUUUCAUCCUUUAGUAUAUCCGCAAAGAAAUCGUCCUCAGUUUGCACCUAAACACACACACACACACAAAACUUAAUCAACAACUACAUUAAUUAAUCAAGAACCAUCCAUCAUGCGCUAUGUGAAAAGUUAGUUGGGUAGAAACAACUAUAUGGCAUAGAAAGUGGAACAUAAGCAAAAAGAAACAGGAGGUUAAUUGUACCGAUCCUGGCAAAGCCUAAUGAAAUAUUCAGUCUUAGCCCCUAAUUUUAAGAGCCAAUCUACAUAGUCCUUACGCCCACAAUUACCUUUUAGCCCCUAAUUUUGAGAGCCAAUCUACAUAGUCUUACGCCCACGAAUUACUUUUUUAAUAAAGAUUUACGCUAAUUGUGGCCCCUAAAUUAGGUCCUGCCUUGAGGAGAGGGGACAAACCUGUAGAUUUUUUGAUGUUUCUGCCAUCUCGUUGAGAAGCUCCUCCCCUGACUCACCGGCAAGGUAAAAAUCAACCAUGCUGUCCCAAUCAGUGAGGCUUCCAGAACUAGCAGCACCACCAUUUUGCAUGACCAUGUGCUUCUCUGUUGGUAAAUCUGGCUCUGGUGCCUUCUGACUUGUAGAAGUAUGAAACUCUUUGUUCCUCCUAAGCCGGCACACAACCAAAGCAUCAUCCUAAAAUUUCGAAAAAUCAAUUAAUUAACUGGAGACAAAGACCAGAACAUCUCAAGUAGCCAAAGUUAACUCUUAAUUAUGUUAAAACAAUGUAUGACAAAGAAAGGAGUCGCAGAAGAGUUUACCAUAGAAACUCCUUUCAUGCAGUACUCGUGCAUAAGCCAUUCGGUUCUUUCGCCUUUUGGUGCACGACCGAUAUGGAAGACAAGCGUCCUCUUUGUCCCAAUGACUUGAGAAGAAGACUUCACAUCACGUUCUUUCCCAGUGGCUUUCCAGUAUCCCAUCUUGGUUGCUCUCCUGUUCUGUGACCCAUGUGGAUACUUUUUGCCUCGGGCACAGAAGAAGAACCAUUCCGUAUCAGAUUUAACUAUCGACUUAUCUGCAAAUUAAUAAUAAAAAAAAGAAUAUUUCAAGAAAACAAGAACUCUCUUAUCCCACUCCACAAGAACAGAAAACGACAAUGCUUAGAGAUUGAAGUGGAAGAUAAUUAAUUAAUUAUGAACAAAUAUAACAAAAGCAUGUCAUAAGCCAAGAUUUGUAACACAAACCGGGCAAAUCCCAAGGCUCGAAGUUGUAAAUAUCAGUUUCCGGUAUAACCUCAACGGACCGCUCCAAACCGUCCAUCUUCCGCUUCAGGUAAUACGAGAUCAGCUCCACGUCCGUCGGCGAGAACUUGAACCCCGGAAACACCGUGGCCGCUUCCACUGACUAUUUGAAGUUAAAACAUUUAAAUCCAUAAACAUAAACCGCCUACACAACAAAAAAAAACUUCAGACAGGAUAUAUAUGUUCUUUUCUCAACAUCGAGAACAACACAUGACAUUGGUUCUUACUACAUUCCAUAGCCUUACUCUAGACAAAAGAACAUUACAAUGAGAGCCACUAAACAUAUAAUAACGUCCCAACGUGCCCUGUUUACAGUUUUGAUCGAGUAUAUCCCCACGAAGCAACUUGACAGUUGGUCUGUGCCACUGCUCCCUUUACAUUUCUUCUGCUCUGAUGGUCUUUCCUCUAACAGCGAAGCCAUCUGUUUGUCUAUCAUGCUUGGUAAAGGAAGCACCCUUAUAGCCUUUGAUGCUGAUUCAAGUGUUGGCACUUCGUUCGCUAAGUUCCCCGUGGUGACCGCUUCAUCAACAUUGAUGAUUUCAUCCUUUAGUAUAUCCGCAAAGAAAUCGUCCUCAGUUUGCACCUAAACACACACACACACACAAAACUUAAUCAACAACUACAUUAAUUAAUCAAGAACCAUCCAUCAUGCGCUAUGUGAAAAGUUAGUUGGGUAGAAACAACUAUAUGGCAUAGAAAGUGGAACAUAAGCAAAAAGAAACAGGAGGUUAAUUGUACCGAUCCUGGCAAAGCCUAAUGAAAUAUUCAGUCUUAGCCCCUAAUUUUAAGAGCCAAUCUACAUAGUCCUUACGCCCACAAUUACCUUUUAGCCCCUAAUUUUGAGAGCCAAUCUACAUAGUCUUACGCCCACGAAUUACUUUUUUAAUAAAGAUUUACGCUAAUUGUGGCCCCUAAAUUAGGUCCUGCCUUGAGGAGAGGGGACAAACCUGUAGAUUUUUUGAUGUUUCUGCCAUCUCGUUGAGAAGCUCCUCCCCUGACUCACCGGCAAGGUAAAAAUCAACCAUGCUGUCCCAAUCAGUGAGGCUUCCAGAACUAGCAGCACCACCAUUUUGCAUGACCAUGUGCUUCUCUGUUGGUAAAUCUGGCUCUGGUGCCUUCUGACUUGUAGAAGUAUGAAACUCUUUGUUCCUCCUAAGCCGGCACACAACCAAAGCAUCAUCCUAAAAUUUCGAAAAAUCAAUUAAUUAACUGGAGACAAAGACCAGAACAUCUCAAGUAGCCAAAGUUAACUCUUAAUUAUGUUAAAACAAUGUAUGACAAAGAAAGGAGUCGCAGAAGAGUUUACCAUAGAAACUCCUUUCAUGCAGUACUCGUGCAUAAGCCAUUCGGUUCUUUCGCCUUUUGGUGCACGACCGAUAUGGAAGACAAGCGUCCUCUUUGUCCCAAUGACUUGAGAAGAAGACUUCACGUCACGUUCUUUCCCAGUGGCUUUCCAGUAUCCCAUCUUGGUUGCUCUCCUGUUCUGUGACCCAUGUGGAUACUUUUUGCCUCGGGCACAGAAGAAGAACCAUUCCGUAUCAGAUUUAACUAUCGACUUAUCUGCAAAUUAAUAAUAAAAAAAAGAAUAUUUCAAGAAAACAAGAACUCUCUUAUCCCACUCCACAAGAACAGAAAACGACAAUGCUUAGAGAUUGAAGUGGAAGAUAAUUAAUUAAUUAUGAACAAAUAUAACAAAAGCAUGUCAUAAGCCAAGAUUUGUAACACAAACCGGGCAAAUCCCAAGGCUCGAAGUUGUAAAUAUCAGUUUCCGGUAUAACCUCAACGGACCGCUCCAAACCGUCCAUCUUCCGCUUCAGGUAAUACGAGAUCAGCUCCACGUCCGUCGGCGAGAACUUGAACCCCGGAAACACCGUGGCCGCUUCCACUGACGCCGCCGUGUCCUUAAAACCUCCCAUCGCCUCCGCCUCCAUGAAGAAGUGUUUUCCGGUCUCUAGAGAGUUCGAAUGUAAAAACGAAUUUCUGAACUUGUCAGUGCUUACUUAACUUUGAGUUCUGAAAAAGACAUAACAUGUGUUUUUGCCUAGGUGUUGCGUAGUUAUUGCAUGAUGCAUGUCUGAUUGCCACGUCACUAGAGCUAGUUAAAAAUAAGACUUUAUUUCAGUUACAUCCUUGGUGUUUUCGCCUAGUUUCAAUUUAAGACUUUUAAUUUAGUUUACAACUACAAAGCCCUUUCUUGGCUAGUGCUCACAUCACAUUGGCAUCAAUGUUUCAUUCUUCUUAACAAAGUAUAUUGAUUAUAAAAACUAUAGAUUAUAAGACCCCAACACAUCACAUACUAUACAUCAUAGUGAGCCAAAAUAGAGAGACUGUAAAUUACUACAAAAGAGAAAAAAAAAUUACAAUGAUAAUUGUUUAUUUUUGUGAAGGUAACAUGAAGCCACAAAGCGGACACUUGUUACCAACUUGAAACCAUUUUUCAAUACAAGAGCUAUGAAAGACAUGAGAGCAGCAAGGCAUAGAGGUUGCUUCUUCCGCAAGAAACAUCUCCUCAGUGCAUAUCACACAAGGCUCAAGCCGAUCCAUGUCUGGUCCAAGCACUUUGAAACGCUUCAACCUGCAAACCGUAGAUCUAUCUGCAGGUACCGUACAUCUAAUCGAUGCAAUCUCAAUCUGAAUCGCCUCCAACAUGGCCUUAUUGGCUCUUCUAGACACAUAAGAGUGGUGCAUAUAACGUGUGAAGCCCAUCUCAGAUAUCACUUCUCUUAUUUGAUCUUCCCAUGAAGACAAAGAAAGCAAGUUCUCGUUCUUCUCCACUCUCUUCUUGAUCAAAAACUCUAUCUCUCUCUCGAUGGACCGUUCCCGAAAAAUCGAGAGCAGUGUCUCGUGAUCAACAUGCGUUAAAUGGUAUUGUAAGAUGAUUUGAAGUUUAAGAGUCAACCACUUAUCGUCACAAGAAAACUUAUCUUUCUGGAUGAGUUUCAACUCCUCCACAAGACUUUCGGUAACGUCAGGCAUGUGUCUAACAUAGCCAAGAGAGGAAGGAGUCUUCUCGUAGAUCUCCCUUCUUAUAACCUCGUACGCUUUCGAAGUUGCUAUAGAAUCUGUAGACUCUAUUUCUGUGUAGAGGUAAGAACAAGGGAAACGAAAUCUACUAAUGGAUGUUGUUGCGGACUCGGUGAUAGUGUUGCAUACAGCGAGCAUCUUAAACUCAACCUCUAUACAGAACUGAGGAUACGUGAGACUCUUCUCGCACUCACCAACAUCAUUAGGUAAUAUCAUCAGAUUAAGUUGGCAAGACGUUUCUACAGAAGAAUGUCUUAGCCAAGGGCCAUAGACAUGAGUUCUUGACGUGGCGUUCAAGGCACGUUCUACAGGGAGCUUAACCUGGACGCAUUUUUCUCUCACGUGGCCUAUCAUUCCACAGUUGUAACAGAAGUCUCCUAGGUUCAAGUACUUGAACCCCACGAACCGGUUUUGGUUUUGGCCUAUGUAGAAUCCUGGUCGGAGUGGCUUCUUGAGGUCAACAUCUACUCGGAGGUAGAUGAACCUGUUGUUAUUAGACAUUCCGUGAAAAACGGCAUUGUUGUCGCCAACUUGUGAUUGAAGCGUGGGGAGAAACUCAUCAGUGCAGAGGUACAGUGGUAAUCCCACGACAGCGACCAAGAAGGAGUCUGAAGUGAAGUCAAUGGUGUCUGAAGAGAUUAGAUCCUUUAUUACAAUGAGGACUCCAUUGACGUUAUAAGGUCGCCUUUUAAGAAUUUUUUCUUUGUCAUUCUUUUGUGUGAACUCGAACAAGAACGUAUGACCGUCGUCUAGCUUUUUGACAGUCAUGUCGCCGGAGAAAACCCAUUGUUUCCGGAGUGUUUGUUCUGUGUCUGCAGCAGACGGUGGAGUUGAGUUCGUGAAGAACUUCCCGACGAGACAGUGUGAAGAAGAGCCGUCGAACAUGUUUUGCUUUCAGAAGAUUUUGAGUUAAUUAGUUUGAACACGCCAUGGUGAUUAUUACUGGAGUUUAUAUAAAAAAACAGCAAAACAAAUAGGGAUUACUUUUUCCUUUUCCUUGUUAGAUCUAGACAAUAUUUAUUUAAUUGAUUCUUAUGUUUUUGACAGAUUCACAAUUAACUUUUUUCUUUACUUUUCCAAUUAUAAAUAGGAAAACAAUAUGAAAACAUGCAUAAGGAAUAGUUUUCCAAUUAUUAUCGUUUAGAUGAGACUAUAAAAUAAAAAUCUAGGACAAAAUUUAAAGUCUCGUAAUUUUUAGAUUCAAAAUUUCAUAAAAUAGUCUUGGACAUAUCACAUUCUACAGAUCAUAUAUUUCUUGUAGAAAUUUUAACCAGCUAAUAAAUGUACCAUCUAAAUUAUUUUUCUUUAUUUUUUUUUAUUUCUGUUAAUACUUAUGUCAACAACGAAAGGUGCAACAUGGAUUAAAAACCUGAUGUGGAAAUGAUGCUGAAAAUAAUUUCACAUUCUAAAUAGCAUAUAUCAAAAUUUGCUUGUAACAACUAAUUUCAAUUCAUACACUUAUUUGUGGUUUAUAUAUACUACCUCCAAUUCCUUGUAUGUUCGAUAGAGCGAAACAUUUCUCCAGCUUUAGGAGAUCGAGAGAGGAUUAAUUUUUUUUUUGGCUGAGGAUGGCCUAUGGUGUGUGUUAUUUGAAGGAAGCACGUUUUUUCGACCGCGGUGCUAUGAUUGCCGGAGCCUCUCCUCGUUCCAAACAGAAUCCCCUUAGUAAGAGACGUUCCUUUCAGUCGGAAGACUAGCGUUUUUCGAGAACAGAAUCAGACAGACUAACUAUCUAUCGAUUGUAAAUGGUAUGCGGGUACAGGUCGAAGAAGAGACUCGGGUGUGAGCUCAGCCCUAUCCCUGCCGGUCUAGCUGGUACCCCCAAACCUUAUCAACUCACCAAAUCUUAUUUAUAAAAAGAUAUAAUUAUAUUCAACUUUUAUAAUUCAGUAAAGCAAUAGAGGCAUACGUAAUACUUAUCUUUAUUGGAAAAGAGGUGACGUUGGAGUGUUCGAACUUCGAAGAUUGAAAGUGGAUAUUACCAGGUGACCUCUCGGGACCCUCCGGAUACCACAUCAGAAAAAUUGACUAGAAUUUUCAACAAAAGUAUCAUCAAAUUAAUAAUUUCCACAGAACCCAACAAAAACCUUUAUCAUGAACCCCGAAAUGUUAAGCAUAAAAAGUAAAUUAGGGCAUUAAUCUAAAUACGUUUAAAGCUAUUAUUAUAUUUCAGUAUGGCCGAAUAAAAAGAGCUACUGAGACAACUAGGAAUAUAUUCUAUCUAAACUGAUACAAUUAUUCAUACCUUGUUAAAAAAUAUUCUGAUUAUGACACGAAAAAGCUACGAAUGAGCAUAUAUUUAUCAUAAGCAGUAGCCAAGUGUAAACAAAAUUUGUAACCAUACAAAUCAAAUAUAAAAUAUUGAGUUGUUACCUUUCUUGUCACGGGAUUUGUUACCUAACCACGAUAACGAUAAACAAGCAUACUUUAAAUUAUUUUUUAAAAAUAUUAAACGAAGAAAUAACUAGUUUUUUUUUUCUGAGAACAUAGGAGUUUCGAUCUAUGUCUCGCAGACAAAAACGAGUUACGGGACCUAGGAUAUUUAAUAAUAAUAUAAUAUGGAUCAUGGAUGCAUAUAACUGGUAGCGAAGUACUUGAAGAUGAUAGCCGCCUUCAUAAAGGAAUCAUUCGCCAACCAUGACAAAGUCAAAAGAAACAUAUACCUCGUAAGGUCAGCGUCAGAGACGUAAGAGAAAAUUUAGAGAGAUUCGUUUUUGUCGACGAAUAAAGAUGACGUCACUUGUAUGAAAAAUUGAAAGAUUUUUAGCUCAAACAGCGUGGAUUUUAGAGUUUUGCUUGAUAUUAGAGUUUAAAAUAUAAAAAGAAAGAAAAAAAAUGUUUUUUAAGUGCAAAUUAAUUCGACUUGGUCAUCAUAAAUCUAUAUGUUUUCGGAUUAAAUAUCAAUGUAUUUUUAGCGAAUUUAUGUAAAUUUACUAACCAUUUUCUCUAAGUUUAUGCAACUUUUUCAAUUUAUAAAUUGUUCAACUUGUUUUUAAAAACAAAAAAUUAACCAUACAAAACAAAUGAAACUAAAGUAAGUAAUAUUAAAAUGGUGAGAUAAACGUUUCGAAUUUAUAAGAGAGAACCACAAUCACCCGUUUCCUUCCUACAACAACUACACAGAGUUUGAUCUCCUUCCUUCCAUGUCCACUCACCAACAAGAUAUGUCUCUCGUCACGUCCACUCCUCCGAUCAACAACGGCAAUCAAAUCUUCCCAGAGAUCGAGAUGUCCGGCGACUCCUCCUCCAUCGUACGAGCAACCGUCGUCCAGGCAUGCACCAUCUUCUACGAUACUCCCGCCACGCUAGGUAGGUUCACCUUCCUCCAUUGUUUUUGUUGGUUGUAUGGUACUCUCUGUGUCUUUUAAUAUUUUUGAUCUUCCCUAUGGUGUUGCAGAUAAGGCGGAGAGGCUACUUGCCGAGGCGGCGGAUAAUGGGUCACAGCUCGUUGUGUUCCCGGAGGCGUUCAUCGGCGGAUAUCCUCGCGGCUCCAGCUUCGAGUUGGCCAUUGGUGCUCGAACGGCUAAAGGAAGAGACGACUUUCGCAAGUAUCUUGCUUCUGCUAUUGAUGUUCCCGGUAAAGCUCAAACCUUAAGUGUUUACGCUACAUUGUAAUUUUUUUUUUUGUAACUUAUAAUUUGUUACAAUAGUUCGAACCCACGACCACUAGGUUAGGAGCCUUGUACUCAACCAACUGAGCUAGACGGUCUUGUUAAGUUUACACUACAUUGUUGAUGAGAUCAAAGAUGUUGUCUUUAGUUACCAGAUGAAUGGGGUUAAGUUUGAGUCUCUAGUUAGUGUAAAGUAUAUUCCUUUUUGUUUUGACUAAUCUUGGUGCUAACUCUUAGGCCCUGAAGUGGAACGUAUGGCGGAGAUGGCUAGGAAGUACAAAGUGUUCUUGGUUAUGGGUGUGAUUGAGAGGGAAGGUUAUACGUUAUACUGCUCUGUCCUUUUCUUUGACUCACAUGGUCAGUUCUUGGGUAAGCACCGGAAACUCAUGCCUACGGCUCUUGAACGUUGCAUUUGGGGGUUCGGAGAUGGAUCAACCAUCCCUGUUUUCGAUACUCCGAUUGGGAAAAUCGGUGCUGCUAUUUGUUGGGAGAAUAGGAUGCCAUCUUUAAGAACCGCUAUGUAUGCCAAAGGUUAGUCUCUCUUUAGAUUCCAUAGAUAGGGACAAGGCCGGUCCUGAGAUUUUGCGAACUAGAGAUAAUUUGGUAAAAGUUUAUAUAAUUUUUUAAAAAUAAAUUUGGUAGCCUAUGUAUAUGUAAUUUAUUUCUAAAAUGUUGAGGGUCGUAGACGAAUGCUUCACUAGCCUAUGCUCAUGACCAAACUCGGAUAUGGAGAAUGUGUAUCUUACAGGCUUGUUAAAAGUAAGUACCAUUGUGUUAUGGUUUAUGCAGGCAUUGAGAUAUAUUGUGCACCUACUGCUGAUGCUAGAGAAACUUGGCUAGCGUCAAUGACUCACAUCGCUCUUGAAGGAGGCUGUUUUGUUUUGUCAGCUAACCAAUUCUGUCGCCGUAAAGACUAUCCUCCACCACCGGAAUACACGUUUUCCGGUUCAGAAGAGAGCCUCACACCGGACUCUGUUGUCUGUGCUGGUGGAAGCUCUAUCAUUUCGCCUUUGGGGAUUGUUCUAGCUGGACCAAACUAUGAAGGAGAGGGUCUUAUCUCAGCUGAUCUAGGUAAUAAUAUUACUAUUAAACACUUGUUUAUCAGUUAAUCUAGCUGGGACCAAUCAUGUUCAUAAAAAUCUUUUGACAGAUCUUGGGGACAUAGCACGAGCUAAGUUUGACUUCGAUGUGGUCGGUCAUUACUCGAGGCCUGAAGUUUUUAGCUUGAACAUAAAGGAGCAUCCGAGGAAAGCGGUUAGCUUCACGUCCAAGGUAACCAAAGAUGAGACCGUCAAAAUGUGAGAGACCAACGCUCAACGUCAUAGACUUAUGGGAGUUCUAUGUAUAUUUUAAUAACCCUCGUCAAGAAUUGUAAUUGAAAUCAUUAUCAGAUCCAAAGUGUUAUAUGCAUUGAAGAAUAUAUAAUAACAAUUUUUCUUUUCAAAAAAGAAAAAGAAGAAUAUAUAACAUGUCUCUGUUUCCGACCGUGCCAGGUUCUUACAAAGACACCCCAAAUUUUUAUAUUGUUCAUAGAUUUGAUCCAGAUAUUAUUGUAGGAAUCAGGGAUACCCUCAUACACAGCACUCCAGUUUCCAGUAAUAUCUCAUGAUAAUAGACUUUACAAGUUGUUUGUUCUUUGAAGAAUUUGUGUAAAAGUCUAUUAUGGAACCAGGAAACUCAACAUGAAGAAGCUCAACUAAUGCAGGUAAUAAUAACCAAGGCUUAAGCUGACAGAACACUGCACAACCAAAGAUGCAUUCCAGUCACCACUUCUGGUCACAGAGAAACCAAUUCUAUCCCAUCCAAGUUUAAAAUUUCUCCAUCUCACAGGCAUUACACAAUAGCUAAAAGAGAAGCAACUAGAGCAAAAAAAUAUGAAAUAUUUUGAUGAAACAUUCGACUAGUGUUGCAUUCGAUUAGGGUUCUCAUGAGAUGUAUUUUUCUUGUUGCUCGUGCAAAAGCUUCGCUGAAGAUUUGGCAUCAAGGUAGAGUGAUGUUACUUCCUCUAUAUCAGCCUGUCAAAAGACAGAAAAAAAACAAGAGAUAAACAGCCAUAACAUUCAUUUAUAGACUGCUCUAUCGUUUGAGAUUUGCAAGGAAGUACCUUGCAGAUACUGUCACGACCAUUCAUUUUCGCCACGAUGCUGGCAGGAGACAAAAGCUGAAACUGAACCGCGUGCCUGUAAGCACAAGAAGGUUUAGAGAGAGAGAAAAAUCUUGCAAAGAAGCAAUGAUGCUGGUUCAGUCUUAAAACCUUAGCGAUGUUCUUUGCCCAAUGUCCCCAAGUAGGACCAAGCAUUCUUCAUCCACCGUUAGCUCUUCUACUUGCGCACGAAUGGCUAUAAUCUGAUCACAUAACAAAUCUAUUAGAAGGCUGUUGAUUAAUUGAAAUAAAAAAAAAACUAAAUGACAACUGAGUAACCUGUAUCAUCUCAGAGGGAUUAUAGAUUUGAGUCCUGAUGAUGACCAACCGAUCCAACAAGUCAAUAGGGACUCCAUGGGGACUCGGCAUAUCAGUCCCUCUGCAAAUAAUGUGAAUCACAACACUAAGUUGAACCCAAAUUCACAAAGAAGAAGCAUAAUGGUUUAUAUAUUUCUCCUCACCUAACGUUGCAGACUCCUCUAUUUGUUGCAAAUAUCACUAUUGGAGACAAGGAGCUCUCCAGAGCACGGUUUAAGUAAGAAAAGCACUCCAUAUCAAGCAUAUGAACCUAAAGAUUUGUGAUUUAAAGAAAGUUAGAUCACUGCUCAUGAGUCCUGAGCAUGGUGGAAUGAGAAAACUUACCUCAUCGAUAAAUAGAACUCCGGGAACAAGCUCUGCAACACCUUCAUCUAUAUAACGGUUCACGACCUGCAAAUAAUCAUACACUAUUAUACUAUUAGUCCUUUUAACAAAAAGUUAAACAAGUAUAGUUUAGGUCUCAGUGAAGAAGAUCAACCUUGUUAAUUUCUUGCCGCAGCUUAUCAGUGAUCUCUGUCUUCCGGGGUUUCAUCAUCUGCCCCAUCAAAGAAAGUAUAUCCUGCCCACCUUGUGGUCUAGCAUUUGCUGCAUCCAGAUCUUGAAGCGUCACAUCCUAACCAAUGUGAACGAAAAGUUUUAGAGGCUAUAUCACACAAGGGAGAGUUCUUGGGAUAAGCAAAGAUCAUAGAAAAGUAAAAAACCUGCACUAUCUCUUUCUUUUUGUGAACCUCUCCCUUGGGGAGUGGAACAUAUUCUUCUGCUUCCAGAUCGAACUCAGUGGCGAAAGCAUCACUUCGACCCACCCGCUUGACAGCUCCACUGUUUGCUUCAAUGUAUAUAACAUCACCCACAGCUACCUGAUAGUCAAACAGUAAACAUAAGACCUUCAGGACACAAUGAUGAUCUAUUUGGACCUGCGAACCAAACAGAUGAAGACAGUACAGGGUGCAAAGAAGUCAAAACAACUAACCUUUUCUUUAAUCAAGGCAUCGUAGAUAGUGGGAUCCAACUUCAACUGUUUGGUUCCUUUGACUGUCUUGAGUCCAACGAUAACAUGACUGAUGCUUUUGCCAUAACCUCCGGUAAGACUUUCAGUUUCUUCUGGUGACAGCUCCGUAACCUAGAACUCAAGGUAAACUCGUUAAGAAUCUGACGGCAAAAGAUAUAUUAUAUACACAACAACAAAAGGAACUGACAAAUUAGCAGCACACAAACCUCUCCUUCGUAGACGUCUUUGGUUUCCUUGAUACGUAGACCAAUGGCACGUCUAAAAUUCUCCAUGAGAACCUCAGUUUUCUUAACCUCCGAUGAGUAAACCUCGGAUCCAACCAUUGGACAGAAGGGAACCUGCAAACAAAAAAAACAAUCCAAAUAACAUAAAGCUAAACAUGAAUUUGAAAAAAAAACAUGUACACCAAAUCUGAUGAAGAUGCCAAUGAGGAUACAUGACAUUCCGUGAUUACCUUACUUCCCAGCUCUUGUGAUAUUCCAAGAGCCAAAGCUGUUUUACCAGUUCCGGGAGGUCCAGCGAGCAAAAGAGCCUUGCCAGCCAUUUUCUUCUGUUUAAUCAUGUCGACUACAAGACCAGCUGCCUCUCUAGCCUCGAGUUGACCGACGAAUCCAGCCGCCAAUGGUAUAGGAAUCCCGGUUGGCUAGAAAAAGGAGAGAGUAAAUUAGCAAUUGGACAUAAUAAUACUCCAAGGAAUAGAAAGAGAUCACACUAAUGCUAGAAAAAAAUAAUCUUAGUCAAAAAGAACCACAACUAGUUAGUAAGAAACACAGUGAAUGACAACACCAAAGAAAGCAUGUCUUAACGGUCUCAAAACACCCUUCAGUACAAUAUAUCAAAGCAUCGUUCAGAAAAUAGAUGGCAAUAAAGAUUGAAACUUUGCAAAAAAAAAAAAAAAAAAGCUUGGGUUUUGCUAAAAACCCUUAUAAAAAGGUUAAAACUUUAAACUCUAAACUCGGGGACCUAAAGCAAACUACUGCAUUCUACUAGAUUCAAAGAGAGAUACUCAGUGAGAGAGAGAGAAGAAGAAGAACCUCGAGGCCGAGGCCUUUGAUAUGAGUGUGAGUAGCAAUCCGCUGUUUCUGGGCGGUGGACUGUAUUUCUUCAAUCUUUACUUUCUCCAUCUCCCUCAACCCCUUUGCGUGUUCUCCUUCUGAGAUGACUAUUUGAUGUAUUCUCCGACGACGACGACGGCGGAAGAGUUGAGCUCUAUUUUGAUGUUUAAGGCGAAACCUCUCCUUUUCUAUAUGUUACUAAUUUUUGUUGCAACAAUAGCCCUUCUAUUAUACUUUCUUUACGUAAUCACACCCCAACUUUUAAAUUUUUAAGUUGAAGAAAUAACAAUUAGAGCAAACAAUCUUCUGGAUCCCUGUUCUGUUAUCUCACUACUAGUAGCAGUCACCGGUCAUUAAAAAGUAGUAGUGGGAAAGAGAAAGGUGGUAAAAAAAGUCAUACAAAUGCUUACUCUAGAGUAGACUCAAGAUCGUAAAAAAAUAAAUGAAAGAGGCGAAACUAGAAUAUAGUAACGAAUAAUAAAAAAGGGUGUUGUUUUGUAAUUUGUUCAAAGUCGCGUAAGCCUCAGAAUGACAAGUUUGAAUCCUUUGCUGUUUUGGUUUGUUUGUAUACAAAGCAGCAGCUCUGGUUCAAGUGUACAGAGACAAACCAAGAUCUUCAGUUCGUCUUCCCAGACGUCUGUGACCUUCUGAAGUUAAGACGAUUUGUGAAUUUGUUCGGUACAUGAUCUCAGUGGGAAACCAAAACUGGUCUCAUCUGCUAAGACUUAUAGCUGAGCCUGAGGAUGUAGUAUGUUGUACGGAGUUGUCGGCCAAAACGGCAUAUGGUUUCUCAAAACAACAUUGCUUUCUUGUCUUUUACUUCUCCACGUUGUCUCCUUGUACAUAUUUCAAUUUAUGUAUCACAUUCAAGGGAAAAUUCAAGAGCAUAUUUCCUUAUGUCAAUGUACCAAAAACAAGAUUAUUGAACAUGCGAGAGCAAAAAGUUGUGUGUUAGACAUUUUUCAUUCUACACAUUCAAGUCAAAUACAAACGGGAAAUGAACUUUUCACUCUCUCUUCAUAUCACAAGGGCCAAUCCAAUUGAGAAGAACUAGAGAUUUGGUUUGCUAUUGGUAAUAUAUAUGAGCAAAACUUUAGGGCACAAAAAAACGCAAAUCACCCUUUUAAAAUGGUAUUGUCACCUUUCCUUUCUUUCUCUGCACAUCCGAUUGUAUUUUAGAGUUAAUAGUAUUUUUCAAGAGCGUAGACUCCAUCCACGUGCAGCUAAUGCACUCCGUGCUCUCAUAGCUGCCUCUGCUGUGUCACUCAAUGGCGGAUAACUCCAACUCUCCGACAUCUAUAUAAAACCCAUUAGAAUCAAAUCAGAUCAUGAAGACAUGGAGUAAAAUGGGGGGGGAGAAGAUAACUCUACAAAUAUUUAUGAAGAUGUAAAGAGUACUUACGUCUUCGAAACCCGUAAAUGGGCGGACAACUCCUCGCUCCCUCAAAGACUUGUGGAAAUCUGCAAUCUUCCAUUUACAGUGAUCGCCUCCAAUAACGUACACUGGUUUCCUGCAGCAGGGAAAGGAAUAAUCAGAUUAUAGUUUUGAAAUGUAGGAAAAAAAGGGAAAGAAUUAAAAAAAACUGAAAGGGUUUAUCUCAGUAUACUAUAUUACCCGGUGCUGCAGGCUUCGCUUAUGAGACUGACAGAAUCUGCUGUCACUACAAAGGCAUCACCCCAAGCUAGAUGUCCCAUGUAAGGAUUUGGUUCUGAAUUAGCAUUUCAAAAACAAACUUUUGUCAAUUGCAUUGUACUUGUGGACAAAGCUGAAGUAAGUUUUUGUAUGGAACGAACUCCAGUACCUUGGCCAUUCCAGAUGUAGACUUUUGGGUUAUCUCCUAAUUCUUUGAAAAUUACUCUUGAAACCUAAAUGAAUAAUAAAAUACCAGAUGAAUCUCAAGAGCAUCAGCUAAAACUAUCACAGUUAAUAGAAAUAUGUGUUAGGAGACCUUUUCCGGGGUUUUGUAGGAGAGAGCAAUCCUGACACUUCCACAGUUAUCAAGGACACUAAGAAGGGCGUCUGUUAGCUGCUUUGCCAGGUCUGCUCCAUAACGACAGUUACCUGUUCAGGAAAAAAACAAGAAAAACCAUGGUAAUGAGGUCUAAACUCCAGUUUUCAAAAGAAAAAAGGGGCUCAUGUGCUAUAUGCUGGAAGUGUUAGAAAGCUGUCUAGUAACUUAAAGGAGUAACAGAACUUACGUCUGGGCCAGCCAAUGUUAACCACAACUAAGGGCUUUGGAAGAGCAGCAAACUCAUCAUGCCAGGCACUAGCUGAUUUACGGAGUGUGGCGUAAUCGAUCCCGUGUAGAGCUCCAGUAGUCAAGACCUGAAAAUAGGUGUGUCCAUUCAUGGUAUUAAUUACAAAUGAAAUUUCCACUACAAGUUUCAUCUCCAAUUAUAUGAUGGAAAAGAGAAUAGAGCAAAAAACAUGGCACUUACUACAUGAUCCUGAGGUGGCUCACGUGGAGUUAUCCAACUACGCAUAAAUCUAGGAACCUGCUCUUGCGCUUCGGGAGUUAGAGGAUAAUAGUCGUGACGAGGGGUUAUCACCAUGUCGAACCUAUUCAGGUGUGAUCUAGGAUGUUGUAUCUACAAAAAUGAAGACCAUAAUAAUUAAGAGGGUCCAGGAAUAAAACUCUCUCCUUUUUUAGCUGAUUACAUGAUUCAGGAAAAAAAAAAAUCUUCCCUCUAGAUACUUAAUCAAAAUUUUAUCUUGAAGACUGAAACAGUAGUUCAAAGCUAAGUCUAGAGUGUCUUUUGAGUAACAUAACAAACCAUGUAAAAUCUUUUAACAAACCUGAACAACGAAGACGUUUUCAGAAGCAAGACGCCUUAUGGAGCUAGCGAUAGAAACUGUAUCUCUCCCACACGCAAUCACUACCAACGGGCCAUCCCUGUGAAAAGAAAAUAAAAUCGCGUACGUAACAGUGUCCUAACGAACAUAGAAAGCCAAAACAUAACUCUGAAUUUUCAGAAAAGUUACAUACUUUUCAUAGGUCUCACGAGCCAUGGUCACAAUCUCCUUCACGUCAGCCUCGAGAAUAGAAGACAAGCCUACACUGCCACCAUUCUCCGAGGAUAUGUAUUUAGUUUGUUUGGAACUAAGCAUCAAUCUGGAGUAGAGGUAAAGAUGCCUGAGUAUAAACUCCAACUUCUUGUGGAAACCAACAGGGAGCCAGUGUAGCCACUCAUGUAUCCCUCCUUUAGGCCUCGUCACUCGCUUCCAUCAUAAAAAAAAAAAAGAUAGAAAAUCUCAGCGAACCAAACAACCAUUGUUCAUGAACUUCAACGCCAAUUUCAACUUAAGUCAUGUUCGUUUGGUUGCCGCAGUUUUUGGCUUCGGCUUCAAUGAAAAUAGUUAUUGUUUGUUUCGUCGAUGCAGACGCAGUUUUAAUCACAGACGCAGAUUUUUUCAUCGAAUGACGCAGCGUUUAGACGCAAACGCAGUACCGGCAUCAAUGAAACGAACAAAAGUUUAUUAAAAAAAUUGACGCAGCCGCAGGUAGCUGCGUCAACCAAACGAACAGCACUUUAGCAAGCUAUAAACGUAGAAUCGAAGCCAUUGUUGUUAAGGCUAAAUCGGAAACUCACGUAGAGUAGGUGGUUUUCGGCCAAGCCGAGGGCACGAGCGAGACCGAUGGACUGGUUCUCGGAGCCGGGGAAACCGUUUCCGAUGACGACGGCGCGUCUGACGACGUUCUGAGGUCCGCCUUGUUCGAAAAUCUCGGGUACGCCGGUGGAUAGACUGGGUGGAUCCGGCAAUAGGAUUGGCCUCAUGCCGCGGGGUGGUGAUUCUUCUACUGCUUGAUCAGAUCAAAAACCCCACGCCGAGGAGAUUUGGGGAUUGAUUUUGAUCAACUCUGAGCGAAAGAGGAGGAAGGAAGGUCGCGUGCUUCACAACUUGCGAAAGGUAGAAACCAGAGGAAGAAGAUGUGCUAAUCACGCAACAUUGGUAAAUAAAGUGACAAACUUAAACUGUCAUGCAAAAAACAAAUUAAUCGGUAAAUAGAUGUCUCAUUUUGCAAAGUUUCGAGAAGUGAUCAUAUGGGCCGUUUCUAAAGCCCAAUAUGUAGAAUUUAAUUAACCCUAGAGUUUAGCUUGCAAGCUCAUAACCUAAGCAACUAAUCAUGCUUUUAAUUGUUACUGCAGUUGAUGAUGUUGUUAAGCUGCUGGUCUGAUAGGCCAUUAAUAUCAAAAUUUACAACAUGUUUACAGCAUAACUGCCAUGUUUGUAUAUAAAAAGCACUGUUAUUGUUGCAUACUUGCAUCAAUGUCAGUCAAUAAACCAAAGAGAAAAUGAAAAAUAAGUGCCAUUUGAACAAAAUAAAUUACGCAUAUGUGAUGUAUAUUGAAGAUUCAAGAAUCAUAAGAGACAAACGUAAUAAAGUUGUGGAAACACAAUGAACAAAAUCACACGAGUGGCUAAAAAUCUAAGACAAGGUAAAGAGUUUAGUGCAAUGUGAACAUUUACAAGAGCGUUAUAAAAGCGAGGAGGACCAUGGCAUGUAACCUCUCAAAGCUUACUGUCAUUUUUAUGAUAAAUCAAGACUGAAAACUGAAGGAUGCAACUGGGUGAUUUACAAAAACAGUGGUCUGCUUCAAGCUGUACGCUCCGGAAAAGAUCAUCUACCUUCGAUGGAGUCUCUGAGACUAAGAUCUGCAGGAGGGCAAAGUGAUGCCUCCACAGAAAGACGCAAUUAUUAUGUACAGCACAAGAACUAUCACGCACGUCAACAUUACCCUGCCAACACACAGACAAUAAUAGCAUGCUUCAGUUGAAAUUUGUGAAAUCAUUCAAUUCUAAUGUCCAAACAAACAUUAUUUAUCUCUAUUAUAAGAAACAUAUCAGUAAAGCAGUCAAAGGGAAAUCAACAAGUGACAGAGAGGUCCUUACAAGAGCUUAGCGUUUUUCAUCCAAAGAGCUCUGCGUAAGCGCUUGGAUUGUUUCCUGAAGUGAAAGGCAUUAUCUUGCAUAGUUGCAGUUUUAUCAACAAGAAGCUCAAUCCUAUCACCUCUCUCCAUUAUCUUCUCAAUGUUAUCUACCAUCACCGAUCGAAUCUACAAACAACAAAAGUGAAAAAAUGAUGAAACUUCAACUUCAAGAAGCGAAAAAAAGGUUGUGGCUUUUGCAUUAAGUUACCUCACUGACUUCUCCUUGGACACGAUUGAGAGUAUCAACACUAGGAUUACUAGAGAAGAACUCCAUCUGCUGAUGCAAAACCCUCGAGAACUCAUCGUUCAUCGCGUAAGCUGGAGCACUAUGCGCCACUCUCCCGUAGUUCUUCAUGAACCUCAUAUGAAUCUCUUCCAAAUACGAAAACGGUAACCUCCCUAACACAAUUCAAAUCACCAUCACACAAAGCAAAACCAAAGACUCUGAAUCAAUCAGAGAGACUUAAAAAUCACACAAAGCAAAACCAAAAGACUCUGAAUCAAUCAGAGAGACUUAAAAAUCACACAAAAGCAAACCAAAAACUCUGAAUCAGUCAGAGAGACUUCAAAAUCACGAUUCGGAGAAAGUGGGGGCUUACUUCCGAAGGUAUCGUUGGCCAUACAGAGGAAGGUAAGGCCAUCGGAUCUGAGGAUAUGGAAGAUGUAACGGUCUUGGGAGAAACAGAGUCUUUCGUCGGCGGUUUCCGGCGAAAGCUUCUCGAGGAUCCGCCGCACCACGGCGCCUGUGUUCCCCGUGACGGCGCUGAAUUCCGCUAGUACCACCGUCCCCCUCGCCACAACCGCGUAGAUGAUCGCCAUCGGAAACGAGUCAGGAAGUGUGGAUCACGCGCUGAUCCUCCCGGCGACAAUCUUAUUAUGAGCAAACGUUUUGGAAAUGAAGCCCUUGAUUUAUUAUUACGUUGUUAAUAGUGGCCCUACAUAUUUGUUUUCUUACAUUUUAACCCCUAGACAAUUGCACACGUUAAUUGAUUAAUGGAUUUCACUAUCUAAGAUGGAAUCAUAUAAUUUUAUAAAUUCAUCCUGAAGAAAUCGUAACUAGAUAUUCUGCUCUGGUUGAUAUUUAGUUUGUAGUAUCUAAUCUGAUUAUAGAAAAGUGAGGUGGACAAGAGCAAACGAUUAAACCAUGUAUUAAACCAUGGACAUGGACAAGGACAAGAGCAUUAAACGACCACUGAUUGGGUAAAUCAUUGAUUACUAUAUAAACGAAUAUGACUAUUUCAUUUAUCGCAAAUUGGUUUUAAAUUAAGACUCUAUAAUAUAAUGUCUGAAUUUAACAAUUUGCUCAUUCUGAUGUUUUGUUUACAUGAAGCUGCCAACUGGUAUUUGGUAGUGCAUAUAACGGUGUCAUUUAGAUGGAGCAUAUGAAAGUGAAAAUACGUAGAUGGGUUCCUGAAAGAACAUUACGUGCAUAUGGUCCAGUUGAAAAUUGUGAAUGACUAAAUAAUAGAGCAUCUAGAUACAUCUGGAAGAUAGACAAACGUUCACUUUCACCUUACGCAGGAGUAAUGUUUAAUGUUGGUUCUCUUUCUGGAGAUUGUUCGUCCAAAAAAGUCACCAGUAUUAAUGCCCUUGCUAAAAAAAAGUCAUCAGUAUUGCAUAUUAAUGCCCUUGCUAAAAAAAAGUCAUCAGUAUUGCAUAGUCGGUAAGCACGGAUAGGAAACUUGACCUGAGGGCGAACCUAACUCAGUUACCUUUAAGAGUAUAUAUAGUAAAUUUUUACCAAGGUGUAAUAAUUACAGAUUCUAACACUUAUUAAUGUUGGGAUAUUGACAAAUGUUUUGUGUCCAUUACGCGUAUUAACUUCAAAACAGUAUUACUAUUAAUAAACUCAUGAAUGACAAUCCUAACUUUUUAUAAAAGAAAAUCCCCUAUAUAUUAUUUGAGAAGCAUUACAACUUCUAAUAUAUAUAUAUAUAUCGUUUUAAAUUAAACUAUAAACCAUAUAAAAUACAUAAAUAAUUUAGUUUCAAAAUUUACUUUGAACAAUUUUUUUGAUAAAAGUUUUGAACGAACAUUGACAACUUAUUUUUAAAAAAUAUAAAUUACUAAAACUAUUAAUCCCACAAUAAAAGUUUUGUUAUCAGUAAUUUAAUUUUUUUUUAAAAGAUACAAAUGAUCAAAAAAAUAUAUGAGUAGAAAUCAUCAUUUAAUAGACAUUAAUAUUAAAAAUAUACUAAAAUAUACUAUGUAUGUUAGUAUCAUUUAAAUUUAAUUACAUAUCCUAUCAAAUAUAAAAAAAUAUUUUUUGGAUUAAUAAAAUUGAUUUAUAUGUUCACACCAAUUUAAUUAUAUAUCUAAUAGUUACUGACUUUUAAUUAUUCAAUAUAUAUUUAUUAUUUCAUAAUAUGUAAAAAUAUUUAAUACAUAAAAUAAUAUUUAUAUAUAAUGUUCAUCUCGCGCAAUGCGCGGAUCUUAACCUAGUAUUUUUUAUAUGUCCACGCAUAUGCCGUAAAUGUAAACCGCAAAUGUAAGCAGAUAACCUAAUUAAACAGAAAUCAAAUUACCUGACUUUCUUAUCUACUCAAAAUUUGGAUUGUAAAUUUAAAUCAAAUAUUUUGUUAGCCAAUCCUAAUGAAUUAGUUUUCUGAGGUCCUUUAUAUUAUGUAACUAUGAAUGACUCAAAGUAGGUUCUAGGCAUCCAGAUGUAGCGUUCGUCUUGUCUCCCAUAUUUUUAAAGUUAUAAUACAUAAACUGUACGAUUUCCAAAUUGUCAAAAAAAAAAAGUUAUUAAAAUUAAUUUAAAACUGUUUAUGUAUUCUAAAUCUCAAUUCGAUUUUGAAAUUAUUAGAUCAAUACAUAAAAAAGUGUUGUUUUUUUUUUUGCAAAAAUAAAAAAGUGCUGUUGAUUUCAAUCUUGGGUUAUAAGAGGAAUAGUAUUACUAAUCAUAUAACAAUUUUAGUAUGCUGAAUUGCAUAAAUUCUGAGAACUAAAGCUUAGAGAAAGAAGUUGUAAUUUAGGUAUUGGCUUCGGGCAUUGGUCGUGCUCCAAACUAUCGAGUAGCGAAGACUAAAAGAGUUUUUAGUCUUCUCCACUUUAACCUUUAUAGCGAUCACGCAUAUACAUCACUUUCUCUAUAGUACAAAACAAUUAUGUUCUUUUGGCUCUAUUCUCUUAUUUGAAGUUUAUUAUCAUGUCUUUUUGAAAACAUGCUCAACUAUAUUACUUUCUAACUUACUACCUACCAAAACUUAGUUAUAUAAUGUUAUUUUGGACUUUUAAUCCUUGUUUUGUUUUUGUCUCGUUUUUCCUCCCUCUUUGUUGAUUAUUUCGUUUAAUAAUUUAGCAUGGAUGGAUCUGACUUUUGAGUUUCUACACCAAAGAAAACUUAAUAAAAUCAUUUUAUAGUUUCACCUUUUGUCAUUUAUUCUUUCUCAAAUUCUUACGUUACAAGGAAAAACGUAAGGAAUCUUUAUAAUCAUCAUCAACGUAAUUUCAAAAGCUUUAGAUCUAUAGGAUAUAAUGGGCGUAAGACCUGCAACUUCCAUGGUAAUUAAAAAACAAUAACGUAAGAACGUAGUAAACUUUAUUUUGCUUAUGGAUCUCGCUAGAUUCAAGACCAGUUCAGCUGUUCCCAUUCCCACAUUGGUUCAGUUAAACCAUCAACCAUCUCUGUGUUCACAGAGAGAUCAACAUGUUCUCCUCCUGACAUGGAAGUUUCUGGUGAGCUUCCCACACGAAAUGAUGUCUCAGCAACUCCAACAUCACUUGUAAGCAGUUUCUCUGUCUGUAAACUUCCCACUGGGCGUCUAUCAAAAGCUCUUGAGCUUCCUGAUGUUAUGUAGACCCGACAUAAACUGAAUUCAUGUCUCAACUACAUUUAUAAAAAUACACACACAUUAAUGAGUUUUUAUUUAUUUAUUCUAACAACCGUUAUAAGACUUUAUACAUGCAACCUUAGGGAUUGUGGAGAAGUUGACUGUUUCGUCAACGGCUUUGUACUCAUUCAUCUUCCAUUUUGUUUUUCUUCCGGUUGGUGCUUUUCCAGUGUAGAAAACCAUAGUUUUCUUGACUCCAAUCAUUCGGUUAUCUUUGGAAAUGACUGGACCAGGUGAUCCAGUCGCUUUCCAGUACCCUGAAUCAGUGGUUCUGUUUGGUCUGCCUCCUCUUGCUUCGCGUUCUUGUCUUGGCACGAAGAAGAACCAUUGCUCAGCAUCUCCUCGACAUCUCUCCCCCGCAACAUCUGCCAAGAAGAUUUUUUUUUAAACACACAAAAAGAGAGCACACACACACACACUAACAUUACCACAUCUAGUUUGUAUUAUUAAUAUAUAAUAGGAUCUUUAAUUAAAAUGAAUAAAAUGGGUCUGAUCAAAAAACCAAUCUUAGUCUCAAUAUCAAUACAAUUAAUGAUCUGUUAUUUCAUAUAGAUCCCUUUAUAUACCGAGUCCUAAUGACUAAUACCAUUACAAUGAAAAAACAGCCUCUUUGUCCCUUGUUUAUUUUUAAUUCAAUUUUUAUAUUUGAAAAACCAAAGCAGGAAACUAAAACAAAAGGAACCAAACCAAAACUAUGGUUUCUGUGAAAAAUAAAGAUAUAUUAAAAAUGAAACCAAACCAAAGCCGGAUAAACCAAUAUCAAUUGGUUAACUAUAGUAAUUGUUUUCCUAAAACAAGAAAACCGAGUAGCCUGAUCCACAAUCCAGACAUGACAGCAUGGCAGCUAUACAACACUAAAAUGGAAAAAUCUACGUGCUAUAAAACCUAACUUGUACCAUGCUCCUGUGUCUCAAGUCUCAACAAGUAAUAUUAUGAUGAUUUUAACGCCAUAAUGGAGCUAAGUUGAAGCUACAUUUUUGAAUGAGGGUAACAAGUAACAACGUACUUGGAAGAUGACUAGGCUCGACCUCAAAGACGUCUAGGACUGGUAUGACACGGUGCAUUGAGUCAUCAUUCCUUCCUUCGAGCUGGUUUCGUAGGUAGAACGCAAUCAGUUCAUCUUCCGUGGGAUAGAAGCGAAACCCAAUGGUGAGCUCCUCCGCCAUUUUUGUAUGUUGUAAAUUGACUUGCUGCAAAGGGAAACCUCUUAAAGUCUUUAUUGUAUAUAUGUUGUGACAAAUCGAUUUGCUUCUUGAACUUAGAGGUUAUGGUCUCACUGGCAUUAAAUAAGUUGUUGAAGUAGAGAUUGGUUUGUCCGAGUGAAACGAGAAAAGGUCUACGCGUUUUUAGACUUUUAGUAUUAAAUUUUAUUUAUACUGAAAUGGGAAAAGACAAGGAUGUUCUUGUACAUUUAUGUGUGUUUGAUUAAAUAUUACUUUCGUUGUCAUGUGUUUACUGUUUGAGUAAAGCUUUUUUUACGAGGCACGUACGCCAAUUGAACGAGUCAAGCCCUCGUCUUAGCGUCAAAUUUCAGUCUCUUUUCUCUUUGUUUUCUUUCAUAUUUUUUUCUAUUCGGCUUGCCUUUUAUUUUUUUCCUUAAUGGCUUGCCUUUUUUAGAAUAUAAUACUUUAUUUGAAGCAAAUUCAGAUGAAUCAAUUGUUUCUAGGGUUUGUUUUCUAAUCUUAAUUUUGUUAAUUAGGACAGUUUUCUUUGUAAUGAGGUUCGUAAAGAAUAUGCAUUGUAUAUCAAAGAUCAGUUGCAUCACUAAUAUACGUUUAAUCAUGGUUUUAAAAAUCGGUCUAGGCCUAGGCGGUAAAUCGAUCUUAUCCAAAAUGAUUUUUAUAAAAUUUGAUUUAUAUGAUUUAAAUGAAAUCAUUUUAAAUCGGUUUAAUAGGUAUAAAUUGAUCUAAAUUUGUUAAACUAAUCAAUAAUGUUAGUAUAAAUCUAUAACUUAUCUAUUUUCUUUUGUUUUAUUUAUCAAAUUUUAAUAAUUUUUAAAAAAAAAUUUAUAAUUAAAAUCAAAAGCUAAAAUAUUUUAUAAAAUGGUAAAAUAUAUAUAAAAUAAAUCAAUAAUAUGUUAAAGCUUUUGCUUCGGCUUUAGAUAAUUCGCCUAAACUAAUUUUCUAUAAAGCACGUAGUUGUUAUUCUUUAAACAUUGCGUUUAAUUAUGCACAUAAUAAACAGUCUAGCGUUAUCUGACCCGUCAUUAGGAUUUAGGGGUCUAAUCUCUAAUUUAAAACAAAGAUAGAUAAACCAAUACGGAAACUAAGAAAUGGGUCCACCCCCGAGACUCUUUCCUAAACAAAUGAGUGGCUUCUAUUAACUUGAGGUUUAUUAGAAAUGUCAAACUCGACUAAAAAGAAGUCAUUAGUGAACGUUUUGGUAUACUUGUAUAUGUUAAUAAUAGUUUUUUUUAGAACCGGAGGUAUCCGAGCCCGAAGGCUCGACUAAUAUCUUGCGGAUCGGCUUACUUGUGAUAGGCAAAUCCGGUUUUUGUACAUGGAUUCGAUAUCCACGCUAACUCACCACACAAAUAAAUAAAUUUAAAUGAUAAAUUUUGAAUCCAAAGCGUUUAUUAUCUUUUCAAGUCAGCCGUACCAUCCGACUACACCUGCAUGGUUAUGAACUUACGCUACAUAUAGUUUACAAGCAAUUUAGUAUAAUUUACAAGAUGCUAGUAAUUUAUCAGAUUUUAAAGAUGGUCUACGUCUAUCAGUUGUUUUCUUUGAUCAUUAGGAAGUUAUUGAUUAAGAGAAUCAAUAAUGGUAAAAAGAGUAUGAAUUUUCAAAAAUAAUAAAUUAUUAGUGAUUUAUUUAUUUAUUUUUAGUUGUAAAAACAAUUAUACUAUUAAUUAAAUGAUAAUUGUAGUUAUUUUUUUAAUUUUUCAAAAGUUUUUUAAAAACAUUCCAUAUAAAAUACCUUAUAUCAUUCCUUCAACUUUAGUUGUUUUUAUUUU